rnacentral:lncRNA from 1 species
UUAUUCUGUUAUGGGCUUACUUUUCUUUGUUGUUUCUUGUAGGUGUGAAAGAAAUGUCUCGGAAUUAGUCCAUAUGAUUUUUGACAAUAAAUCAUACGCUGAUCCGGCUAUUCUUUUACCUCCUGUUCGUGCUCCAACUCUUACUGCAAUCUCCAGCGUUGCAUCCUUCACUCGCUUUGUUAGUGACUUUCUAUUUUUAUACCGCAGCUUUUUCCUUUGCUGUUGUUUUUUCCCUUUUCUGUAGUUGUUUUGCUGAGUAGUUGCUACUCUCUGUUGUUUUGAGGAUCAAGCAACCGUCUGGAUUAAGGGCCGUGUUGAAAUUGCGUGUCCAAUGACUCGCUUUUGGCAUCUCACCUGACCCCACUGUUAUCAGCCAUAUGAUUUUUCCAUUACCUUAGGGAUCUGGUGUCUUUCUUGCGGCCUGGGAAUGUCUAUUUUUCCAAGGUUCAUUCCAUGUUUGGUAUUAGUUAGUUGCUUUGGUUCCAAUUAGUCUUUUUUUCAAAUGGCUUUGUUUUCUCCUGCUGGUUAUUUCCUUUCGCUUGCGUAGGGUAUGGAUUAGAUUUUUUAUUCAUGACGAUACUGGCUAUGUAAGUGUUGUCACUCUGGGUGCUGAAGCUGAAAAGAUAAUUGGACUUAGUGCAUUUCAAUUGUACCAGACUGUUGAUGACGAGGUUGUGUUUUCCUUUCCACUGUUCGGAGCUUUGUUCACUGUAGUUGUGCCUUGCUAUCCGCUAUUUUCUUAUCCCUGUUUUUUUAUCUGUGCAGUUUUUUGGCCUGUAUAGACAAGUUCGCCGUCGCCUAGAACGGAAGAACCUGUUGUGUUAUAUAAAGCAUUCCUCAGAUGUGAUUAGGUCAACGGCCAUCGCCAAGUUCACAGUUGUUACUUGCUAUUUGUGUUAGGAUCAAGGCUGCUCUUCCGAUUGCCAUGUUGCUCUUGGCUAUUGGCCUUCUUGAUCUUUUGAGCCUUUGAGUCUGAUGUUAUGUAUGGACUGUAUUUUGUCUGUUAGGUUACUUUUUUACUUGAUCUGUAAUUCAGUUGCUUGUAAAUAAUGAGGAGCCUUUAUCCUCCCACAUUCAGAGUUUGGUUCCAAUAACCAAUUGUUUAAGGACCUUUGUCAGCAAUGCCUCUGUGUCAGCAAUGCCCAGUUGUGGCUUUUUUCACACGGGAUUUGCGCCUUGGAUGUUUAAGACAUUCCCAGUUCCGGUACUACAUUUGUUUCCCUCCAUCCCAUUUACCUACUGAAAACUUGUGGAGUGAUUAAUUUUGUUUGAGAAGAAGCUCUUUUUUUUAUGCUCGUUUCUUGCUGUGAUUCUAUUUUUUAAGGAUGAAGAAAAGAAAAGCAUGUAGAAAACUUGUCACGGAUUGCAUGUGCAUUGUUUUGGUAUUUUAUGCUUUAUUGAAUUGAUAAAACAGGGGAUGACACUGUAAUUGGGAAUGGUGAGGAUGAUGAUGGAGCAGGGCCAUGUGGUGGAAAGUUCAAGAAGUUAUUAAUUUUCUCUAGGAAUGAUUACCUAGGCUUGAGUUCCCACCCAACUGUUAUCAAGGCCGCAGUAAAGGUAAUUUUUUUUAAUCAAUAUGUUGUUGAGUUAUGGAUUCUCCUGAUAUCAAAUGGAGAAUUUUGGUUAAUAACUUGUGUUGUGUUGUGGUUUCCCCUGACAAAUUAGGCAGCUCAGUUGCAUGGGAUGGGACCUAGAGGUCAAGCAUUAAUUUGUAGUUACACAAAUAACCACAGGUUGCUGGAGUCGGCGUUGGCAGACUUAAAGAAGAAAGAGGUAGUUUCAAAAUUUUCAUUCAGUACCCAGUAAAUGCAGAUUUUUCAAAAGGUUUUAUUGAUAAUAUUUUUAUUUCAGAACUCUAAACAAUCAAGUGAUAAGAAAAGUGGUUUUGACAAUCCAUAUGACAAAAUUUUUAGUUAGGUGUGAUUCAACUAGGUCUUGGUUGCAAUGAAGCUUAAACCCAAUGAAUUGGUUCUUGCCUCCCAUGUCUAUUGCAGCAAUAUAUUCAUUAUAGAUUUCAUUUCUUUAGAAGGCAACAUAUAUCACGUAUAAACAAAUUGGAUGUAACUUCCUAUUUCAUGUACUAUGGUCAAUAGAUGGUCAAACUUUACCUGCUAUGCUUUUGAUCGUAAUGAAGGGUUGAUGCUGCUGGAUUUAGACUGAUGAAUUCUUGCUCUAAUGUCACAUAUUAGGAUUGCCUUCUUUGUCCCGCAGGCUUUGCAGCCAACAUGGCACUUAUCACAGCAGUUGGAAGUGUUGGUUUGCUGUUAGCUGAAGGGGGAAAACCUAAAAGGGAUGCAAGAGUUGCCAUUUUUUCUGAUGCACUCAACCAUGCAUCAAUUAUCAAUGGUAUCCGCCUUGCUGAGAAACAAGGGAGUUUAGUCAACAUUGAGCGUUUGUAUUGGUCUUUAUACUGGUGCCUUCGCUUAACCAUUACGUUUCUUGCAUCGAUGCUGCUGGCUUCUGUAAAUUCAAAAUGCUCUUCCGAAAUACAAAUGUCUCCAUGGUCUUCAACAAGGAGAAAUAUUUGUAUUCAUACCCCAGUCCCGUACAUCCCUUGCUGUUUUAAUUUUCGGAAUCAACGGCAUAGAAAUCAUGUAUCCAUGGCAUCAUACAUUUCACCUUUAAUAUAUUAGUAGCUUUGAUUACCAAAUUAGUAUAUCGCAUCCAUUACCAGAUUAGCUUGUUCCAUUUGUUCAACAGUUUUCGAUUGUUAACCAAUACAUAUACCUCCACUAUUACUUCUGAUCUAAUAUUACUUAUCAAUAAAGCCAACUAUUAUUUACACAAUUUUAAUCUUUCAUGGGCAUUCACGUUUUAUAUUCCACCGCGCGAAGCGCGGUUUACCUCUCCUAGUACCUCUCUAAGUUGGUAACUGUGCCCCAACUGGUCAAAAAAUUAUUCCUUUUUAGGCAUCGAGUUUCGAAAAAAUUUUGUAUUUAUCCUUGCUAACUUGUAGAAAUUCAAUAUACGUAUAUGCAUUCGUAUACUAGCAAUAAUAUCCAUUGCAUUUUUGAAAGUUGUUAAGGAGCAACUUCAGAUCAAUUCAGAUACGAUUAGUGCAACUGCAAGGGGAGCCCAUCUCCAUCUCUCAUGCAGGGAUCUUCCUCAAUUUUCCUCUCAAAUUUUUACGGCAGCUGAAGGAGAAACAAAUCCCACCUCCAGAGCUAGCAAGGAUUUCUUUCUUGAAAUUUACUUCCUUUUUUUUUUUUUUUUGUCUUUUUUGGCUGGGAUCGUGAAGAAGAGAAAUGCGAUAUUCAACUAUCCAACAAACAAACGGAGCAAGAAAGAAAAAAUCAACAAAGUAGUCGAGGCAAUGUUGUGAACUUGUAAUCAUACUCAAGGAGUACCCGUUUGGCAUUGUCCAUUAAGAAAGGCUCCCUGAUCAAGUGCCUCAAGGGCAAUGUUUUUUGUUUUGAAAGAUUUAUUCCUUUUUAUUAUAUAAGACCCUUUUGCAUGUUGGCCUAGUUACCUUGGUUAAAGACAGAAAAAAGAAAAGAAGGGGCCAAAAAAAAAAGAAAAAAAAUUUAAGAAGACAGGUUUCGAGAACAGAAGGGGCCAAAAAGCAAUUUUGUGUUGGAAUCAUCAUAAAGCCAUCUCGAUUAAGUAAAGAAAUUUUUGUUGUUUAUGGACUCAUUCACACUCGUAUUCAAUCAAGAACCUUGCACCUAGACUUGCUUUUAGUUUUAAAAAGAUUUAUUCCUUUUCAUUAGGUACCUGUGGAUUCGACCCUACUCACCGCUAUAUACAAAAUCUGUAUUUUUCUCGAGUAGGUAUUUAUUAUUGCACAGGUUCGGCACCUGUCAAUUUUUGGCGCCGUUGCCGGGGACUGGUGUCAGAUUAAUUUGUUUCUUUUUUUCAUUUUGUUUUUGUUUUUAUUUUUAUUUUUAUAUUAUUUUUCUCAUAUUUUUUUUAUAUAGUUUAUGGCUUCUAACACUCCAUAUUUUGGUAAUAGUCUGGAUCUUGUUUGCGGGGAAGGCGAUGAGACUAGUUUUUUUGCUAAGUUUGCAUAUUCAGAGGCACUAAACUCUAUUAGAGAAAGAAUGGCUGCUGCAACCCGUAAAAUUUGUUAUGCCAGGGAUCAUUCAACCGGUAUGUGCCCCGAAUAUCAAGAUAAUCUGAGUGUCCCCCUCAAUAAUUAUGGAGAUUUUUCACCCUGGUCUCAAACGUGGUAUAACCCUAAUCCAAACGGGUAUGAUCAAGAAUGGUGGGAUAACUCCGAUUAUAAUUAUACAACGGGGCCAAUGAAUUUUCAGCAGUACGAGUCUCAAGAAUCGUCAUCUAUGUCAGGUAUGUCUCUUGAAGAAAUAGUUGAAUCAAUAGCUAUUAAUACAUAUCAAUUCCAACAGGAGACACAAAGGAGAAAUGAGAUGAUGAAGGAGGCAAUGAGUAAUCUGGAAGAUCAAAUGUGUCUAUUGACAUCCAGAAUAAAUCGACUGGCUUCUCAAUUUGAAGAAUUGCCCUCGAAAACCAUUGUUGAAAAUGAGAGUGCAAUUUGCCUGACUAGUGAUGAAGAACUGCAAGAUUUUCAAGAAGAGAGAUGUACAGAUGCAGUUGAAAAAGAACCCGAAAAGGAAGAAAUUGAACCCCAACUGCAACCCAUUCAAGUGAAAGAAUCCAGUGAAGAAUCAGCAAAUGUGGUGACACCACCUCCAUUCCCUAACCUGCAUUUUCUUAACUCUUACUCUAUGAUUUCUGUUAAUGAGAUUGAUUUUGUUAUACCGGAAGUUCUUGAGUCUCAUGGCAGGAAUGAAUUAAGAGUAGCUAUGGUCAAAUAUCUUGAACCGUUGAAUGCUCUUGACGGAGGAGUGGAUGAAGAAUUGCGAUCAAUGCUUGAUUAUUUGGCGCCCUCAACUAGUCCAUGGAAGACCGUAACUCGUGUGCUCAAAGAUUACUCUAUCUAUGAGGGUUACCAGGAUCACAUUGAAGAUGAAGCAUUGAAGCGAGCCACAAGAUUUUAUCCUCCAUGAACAAGCAUAGCAUGUCUAGCCAAAGACAUUAAAGAAAGGCGCUUUUUGGGAGGCAACCCGAAUAUUGAUUUUAUUGGUUUUAGUUGUUUAUUUCUUUCGUUUUGUCGUUUCUCCAUUGGGUAGUAUCAAGGCUAAUAUCUCCUCCACUGUGACCAGGAAGUGAAAUCUUGGCGUGCCCGCGCGGUGUUUGUGUUUUCUGAGACCAGAGGACGAAGACCAAUCUUGGCGUGCCCGCGCGGUGUUUGACGACCCAAAAAUGAAUUCAAAAAAAAAAAAAAAUUUUUAAAUUUUAUUAUUACAAAAAAAAAAAAAAAAAAUUUCAGCAAUUUCCAAUUGGGACGAUUUACAUUAAGCGUAAGUUUUAUUAAAAAAAAAAAAAAAAAACAAUUUCCCUUUUCUCUUUUCUUUUUUCUUCUUUUUCCUCUUUUCUUUUUCUUUUUCUUUUCUUUCUUUCCUUUCUUUCCCUUUUCUUCUUCUUCUUCCCCGCUGCCUGGUUUUUUUUUCUUUUUCCUUCUUUUCUUCUUCAGCCGAUGCUCCUCCAUCGCGCGUCGCCGCCUCCCUCGCUCACCUCCAAAUCGCCGCGCCUCUCUCUUCCCACCGCGACAGCCGCACGCCACCAGCUCCACCUCACUCACCCUCGCCCGCCUCCAGCGUCAUCCGCAACCAGAGCCGCCGCUGGCCCCAAGCUCCACGACCACCACCACCUCGCGAGCUGCAGCCACGCAGCCGCCUGCCAUCGCCUCCUCCUAAGCCGCGCCCAUCCACCAGUCGCAACCCUUUGAGAUCAGCCCACGACGCGCGCCCGCAGCACAGCAGCUCCACCUGGGCGACCUUCUCUCUCGCCCAUCCUCAGCUCAGCCCACGCAGCCCGCGCGCCGCCGCUCCACCAGCAGCUUGCGGCCAAGGCGCGCCGCUCGUCAACCCCGCCUUCCAGACCAACAACCCCAGCGCACGCCCUCGCGCGAUACCAGCUGCAAGACGCCGCCGGCCCACGCUGCCGCUCCGUCGCACGUGGCCUUCUCCCUGAAGAUCUCUACUUCCUCCUGAGCUCGUGCGCUACCACCAACCCUGCAGCCCUCCAUCCGACGCCACUAGCCGCCGCUAGCCCUCUCUGUUCCAUUGCCGACUUCCACUGGCUGCCGCCCGUGAGCCCAGCCCAAGCUGCUCACGAGCUCGGCCCUCGCUGCACGCGGUCCCUCUCUGCCAAGCUCCACUUCGACCAGCAGUCCGGCCAAGCCGCGCCUCUCUUCACUUUCACCCUGUGCGCCGCUGCUUGUCGCGAGCUCAUCACCAGCCCUCCAUCAGGUCGCACGCCACCAGGAACCUAACAGUCCCCACGCCGUCACCACCUGUCGGUUUCUGACAGGUGGAGGUAUCGUGACUUCUUCCCCUAAUUAGUCUCCAUCUCUGAAAUUUGUGGUUGGAUUUCUUGUUAGAUACAGGAGGGUGGUACUUGGGCAUUUUCUAGGAUAAAUUUUGGACAGAUUUGGGGGUAAUGGCUGCCAUAUGUGGGAAAAUUCUCUGAUAUUUAUUGAAUUGCUGGCCAUUUGCUUUAAUUUUUUUUCCCUGUGACUCACCAGUGGUACUGGUUGAGCACUUUAGCCUAUCAUUGUUGCUGUUUUUGGAGACACUUGCUUAUUUUCAAGUUUCAGUUUUGGUGGAUUGAGUUGCUACCGUUGAAUUUAAUUCUUUCCUGUCUGUGCACCAGUGGUACUGGUGGGAGUGUUUUGAUUACAUUCGUUGAUUUUUUUAUGGUCGCCUGACUGUUUGCGAGCUACUAACGUUGUACUUCAGUUGUGGUCGCACUUUGACCUGUGGUUGCUGAUAUUGCCAAUUGCUUGGCUAAAUUGCAAAUUUGGUUAAUUGUAUUGGGUAAUUGACUGUCCAGUUGGAAGCAGUUGUUACUACUUUGGGGUCCAAGUGUGUCUCAUUUGCUGAAAUUUGUGUCCAAUUGUGGGUGAAUUGCUGCUAUUGCUUAUUGGGGGCGCCCGUGACGCUUCUUUUUGCUUAUUGAUAUUGGUUGCAUGUUCUAAGCGGUUCUCGUGACUGAUUGCUUGUUUUUGGACGGCUACUGUGCUCCUCCUUUGUUUAUUGCUUAUUAGUUGUGUCUUAUUGACUUGCUUGGGGUCUUUGGAGCAGUUGUUGCACUUUGGACGGCCUUAAUUCUGAAUUUGACUACAUGGGGUCCAUGAGUACUUAUUGAUUGCAUUUGCUAUAAGUGUUGGGGUCUGGUUUAAUCUAUAGGAGGUUGAAUUGUGCAUUUUGCUCAUUGGGAUGGCUUUAAAAAUUGUUAUUGCUUUGAAUUUGACUACAUGGUGAAGCCACGAAUGGCACCAGCUCCAGAUGCGAGUCGAGAGACUAGAGACUCGGAUGACCCACAUUGACGUCACCAUGCAAGUCUUGAUCCCCAAUUUCCACCUGAACUGCCCCUGUUUUGAUGACUUCAGGGAAGUACCGUUGCCCCUCUCCUUCCUUCUACUUUUACAUUAUCACAUUGAGGGCAAUGUGUGAAUUAGGUGUGGGGGGGAAUCAUUGUGGUGCUAGAAAUUUUGUUUUUAGUUUCUAGAGUUUUUUGUUUUUCUUUAUUUUUUUUUUGUUUGUUUUUUGUCCAUCUUUCGUUUAUUUUCUUUUCUUUUCUUUUUUUCUAGUGGUCAGUCUUCAUAUGAAUACCAAGUUUUGAUGUUGGAUUGUUGUCUCUGAUUCUGAUGUUGCCAAGUUUAUUAAUAAAAGGUAUCGAGUUGAUGUGGUUGAGUUCAGGAACAUCUUUCUGGUGAAUAUCAAUAAUUGCUUGACUUUUCUAAUUUUUAGUUAACUUUUCUAGGCAUAGGGAAUGAUUGUUGGCAUUUUUCUCGUGAAUUGGUCCAAUUAUUAAUUUUAGUUCUCCAUGUUUGGAAAUUUGAGGCUGGCUGCUGUUAUUUUUGUGUUAUUUUUAGUUAUUGUGCUAUAUGGUUAUAAAUAAGAGCUGACUGUACUCCGCUAGUGAUUACUACUGAGUAACCGGGAAUCUUCACCUAAAGUGUUGAUUUUCGCGACAAAAGGUAGUAGUUGCUAUGAGUGCGCGGUCCCGUAGCAAUUAGAGCUGAGUAACCGGGCUCUUCCAUCUGUCAAAUGUUGGAGUUCGCGUCAAAAAGCUCUAAGGGCUAUAGACUAAGUCUUUUGUUAUUGGUAAAAAAUAAAAAAAAAUAAAAAAAUAAAAAAAUAAAAAAAGAUUGUGUUAGUAUGUGAACAAGUCAGCUUGCCGGUUUGUGAUCUUAGUGUCGAGAUUUUGGUUAAUAGCUGGACCAUUUACUGAUAAAUGUGAGCAACCAUUCCUUUUUCUUAGAUUAGUUUGCUUUAAAUUGGAAAAGUUGGUGGUUGGGAAGCUAACUGGGGGGAUGCUUCUUGGAUUUUAAUUACUAAUGCCCGAUAUAUGGUUCUCUCUUGAAUAUCUUGGCAAUUUGGUAGAUAGAGCAAUGACCAUUAUCAAAUUUUGGUGUCUGUAUACUUUCCCCAUGCUUGAGGGCAAGCAUGAUUCAGGUGUGGGGGGAAUUGAUAGAGUAUAAUUUGUUAGUAAAUUUAUUAUUGAUUUCCCCUUCUAUCCCUGACAAAUAUUGUGUUAAUUGCUGAUAUUUACUCAUAUUUGGUAUUUGGAAUCAAUUUCAGGAGUGAAGCAGAAAAUUACCAAAAAUGAGGGACUUGUAUGGAAAAAUGCAGACUUCUAAGGGCUUCAACCUUUAGGUCCUUGAAUUGGUGGGGACCACAAGCUAGUGCAAGGCAUUUAGUCAUUUGGGCUUUUCAAAGAAAGCAACGUAGAGAGACUUGGAACAACAAGUACUUUGGAGGUUUUGUCCACAUGUGCGGGGACCACGGAUAAGAAGCAUGAGUCAUUUGGACUCUAGGAAAAGAAACGUACAAGACUUUGAAUUUGGUGUGGGGAUCACUAGAGAUAGCAUUAGACUUCCUUUUGGCUUUAAAAAUGGAGAAACGUACGGGAGAUCAAUCAAUCAAUAGUGAAUCAAUAGUUUUAGUUUAGGCUUUUAGCAUAGUUUUAGUUUUCUUUUCUUAGCUCUUUCGCAUGGUUGUUCUCCAUUAAUGGAGGACUAACCUCUUAAUUCUAGUCAAGGGGACAACUGAAGACUUGGUUCAACAAUUACUGUGAGAUCGAAUUUAUUUUAAUUGUUUCCUCCAUUUAUUGGUAUUCAUAUAUUUCCUGCUUUUAACUGUUAUAGCUCUUGUGUAUGAUUGAUUAGUGUGCAAUAAUUAAUUAUUCAUAUAGACUAUUUUGCUAAAUAGAGGUAAUUGAAUCCGUAAUUGUUCGUUAUGUCUAUCUUAGUAGCAACUGGCGUAAUUGGAUUUAUGUCAGGGGAGCAUACGAUCUAGUUUAAACAAACCCUCGUAGCGUGUUUGUUAGUUAGGAUUGGACCUUUCUAAUUAUUAAUGCAAUCUAGAAAUUAAAUCCUACGGUCGUACCUAGGGUUGUUUUUGGGUUAGAGAAAUAGUUAACGGUCGUACCUUAACUAUCGAGAAAUUAAGGAAAAGUUGGUUGUUUAUCGCGUGCAUGACAACUAUAACUAAUCUAUUAAUAAAUGCGGAAUUAUCUGUGAAUCAAUGAUCAGUGCCUGAACCAUUUCUGAAGUGUACCCUUGGCUAGAGUUUUCCCUUAAUUAUUUCUCUUAAUCAAUUAUUUCCUGCAGUUAAUUUAUUUAGUUAGUAUUUAAUCCAAAAACCCCCCAUACUUUGGACUCUAGAAGAAACGAAUUAUCCCCAGUCCCUGUGGAUUCGACUCUACUCACCGCUAUAUACAAAAUCUGUAUUUUUCUCGAAUAGGUAUUUAUUAUUGUACAGGUUCGGCACCUGUCAGCAAAUGAGAGAUUGAUCCCUAUAUUUAUGCACAGAGGUUGAAGUAAGUAAAUCAGGGAAAGAAGUGGGAAAGCCUCCUAAAGCAACUUCCACGAAUUUGGGGUUGGCAUCCUCCCGGAUUUUUCCCCAAAAAAAAAAACAGAGAAAAACCAUGAGUUGACUGAGAAUUAGUGGUAGUCGUCUCAAGAGUCAGAACCGAAAUGCACGCUAAUAGCCUAAUACAAGCAUGUAGUGUUACCGGGCUACUGGAAAUCAAUUCAACUCUAAACAUAAGUCUUUCUUCCACAUUCAGGGGGUCCAUGUGGAGAAUUCGAUAGAUUGAUGAAAACCGGAUACUAUUCUGGUCAAGCAUGGCUAGUGGACUGUCCCUUUUCUUGGUCUUUAAUUCAAGCUUUAGCAUUUAAGGGGCAAUGUUUUAGGUGGGAGAAGAUUUCAUUCAUAAUGUGUAACCGAUUUCUGGCCGUGUAAUUUUAACUUGCUCCAUUUUUCAUAUGUGACCAACUAUACUCAGGUUUUUGGGACCUGAAGAAUUUUUAAACCAAUUGAUAUAUGUCGCAGGAAUAUUUUCAUAUUCGCUCGUGGUUAAAUUUAAUAAUAUUGUACAAAGCUAAUUGAUAAGGCUUUUAUAAUAUUGUAUUUAUCUCUUAGAUAGAGCUACAAACAAAUCUCAUAAGCCAGUUUAUCAGUAACUAAUUGAAUCAAUAUUGGCUGAGUUCAGGCAGUUUAAUUAAAGUAUUAAUUAGUUUGAUUAAGAAGAUGCUUCGAAACUUCAUGAUAUGUAGACAUACUUUUUAACGGUAGCAUUGAUAAUCUAUUUUAAACCCCCUUCAAAAAAAUUAUAAUUAAUAUCUAGUUACAUAUGUGCUCGAUUAAUUAUACUUGAACUCAAGUUUUAUUGGGUUCAAUUUUUUGUCAACCUCUACUUCUAUGAAAUCAAGUCUUGUCUUGAGAUGACAAUGGGGGCAAUGCUUGUGAAGGGAGGUAUGAGGUACGGCCAUAAAUGGGGCCUCGUCCUCCGUAUUUAUUAAACAUUACUAUUAGUAGUAGUGGUGGUAAUAUUAGUUUUUUUUUUCGUGUUAUGUUGGGUUAAAUUAUUAGUAGUAGAAAUAAUAUUAGUUUUUCUAAUAAUAGUACUAUUAGUAGUAGUAGUGGUGAUAAUAUUAGUCUUUUCUAAUAAUAAAGAGACUAAUAUAAUUAAAUCUCUUCUCUAGUUCUCUUCAUUCCCUACCUUUCUUGUCGAAUUAUUUCCUGUAGUUCUGAUGCUUUAAUGUGGAGGUUCUGACUCAUCCCAUUGGUAUACUCACAAAUGUUUUCACACAUUUUCAAAAUGAAUUCAAGCCAAAAAAAAAAAAAAGAAGGUGCUAAGAAGGAAAAAAAGGAUGCCCCCGUAGAGGGAGCAAGGCGAGGUAGGGGGAGCAGGGCCGGGAAUGGAGCGGGAGCAGGGGGAGUUAUAUGACAACAGGAUCCUCUGUUACUCUGUUGUCAUUCCUACUCGUCGAGUUUCAACUCGUGCUUUACAUUAGAUGUGCAAAGCUAAACAAAUUUCACUGUAGAUUUGUCUACAUUUUUCACUUUACAUAAAAUUACAUAAGGUUAUGUGGAUGUUUUAAAACUAUGGGUUCAUAUCAUAUUAUUAAAAAAAUAUAAGGGAGUUAUGAGUAAUUUACUCUAAAAUCUAUUCUACCCAAUAACUAUAGGAUUAUCACCUUCCAAGGUGAUAGACAAGUAAUUGUAAUCAAGCUUAGGACAGAUGGAACAAGUUACUGGAUCUCAACAAGCAUUGCUAAAAAUUUUGCAUGGGAUUGAAAUUCUUUUUUUUUUUAGUUUCUAAAAAUAUAGUGCAAAAUAGUACUAUAAAGUAUCCAAAUCAUUCUGUAAGCUCCAAAUACACUCGAGGUGAUCCUUAUGAAAUAAAGCCACUGCUAAUUUAAUUUGUGAAUUAGAAAAAAAAAAAUUUACGCAAACUUUUCUAAUUAUAUAUUGCAUGAGGCAUCGUGUUGACCUCAAAUCGUAAUUAAGUGCCAAUGAAGCUUUUAUAUUUGAAUUCAGUUUCUUAAGCAAAAUAUUGAAUAGCAUAUUUAUUUGUGAAUAUAGUGACAACAAAAGCAUAUUGCACGCUAUUAUUACAUUGAAUUAUUGAAUUCGGCGUGCAAAAUAUAUAAAACUCUCCACCGCUAAAAUUUUCAACUUAGAUAAACCAGUAAUGUAUAGCACAGUAAUUGCACACAGGGAAUAAUUACAAUCUUUUAAUACACCCUAAAAUGAGAAUUUAAAUUCUCUAUUGUAUUUAAACUAAUGCAAGGUAGCGAUUGUAGCUAGGGUUCAUCAUAUUUACCAUCAUCGUAGCCUCUAUCGAUUUCUUCAACCCUGGUAUGCAUCUGCUGAGGGCCUUAGCAGUUUCUUUGUUGAAAUGACAUGCACAAGUUUUGAGCUCGGCCAUGAAAGGGCUAGUUUCACCAACAAUGUUGGAGAUAAUAAGGUGAGGAAGAUGAGACACGAAUGAGAUAUACAUACAUUUGAUCCAAGUCCAAAAUUUGAAGGAAUUUUUGUAGGCCUUGUUGCAUCGUCCCAAAUGGAAUUGGCAGCCAAAGUUCUAGCAAAUUUUGGCACAUUUUGUCAUGAACCACGGUGCGAUUAAUGGCAAUUGUAUUGUUGGCUUCAUCUUUGAUUACCUUAAAAAUAUCAUACACGGGCUAGAUUAAAUGCUAACCUCUUGACUGCUUAAAUUAGAUGACUAUCCACGACCUAGAAUUCCGUAGCCAAAAUCAACUUUGGUUAAAUACAUAGCGACCUAAAUAUAUGCAACACCUAAAAAUGAGAUGAAUUUGAGCUCCCCCACCUAAAAAUGAAUUUAAAACUUAUUUUUAAAAAUCAAUCCCGUUCAUAAUAUAUUUCAUUACUUGUAUUAAUUGUACAUAAAACUUCAUAUGAAAUUAACUAAGUUUUGCCCUUGGAUUAAUCAUUACAAAUUUUGUUAUAAUUUUAACUCAUUUUUCACCAUUCAUAAGUUUUGUGCAAGUUGAAUGCUAAAGUAUUUGUAAAAGAGGAUCAUUUUUAAUAUGUUGAUAUAGAUAUAAAAAAUGGAUGACAUAAUCGGAUGAAUUUAUUGAAUUAUAAAAUUUUAGACAUAAACAAAUGAAGAGAACAAUAGAGAGAAAUCGGAUGGAGAGAAUCCUAACUCCCCACCUAAAUGGCUACCAAAGCAUUUUAUGAAUGGCUCCUAUUUUUAUCUCUUAGAUCUUUAACUUUACCAUUUUAUACUACUCUACGGAAGCUUUGUCACUCCAUUGGAAUCCCAAAUUUACCUUAAUCCUAAUUGCAAUUGACUCAAGUGGAGGCCAUCUCCAUCUCUUUUGUAGGGAUCUUCCUCAAUUUCACUCUCUUAAUUUAGUGCAGCUAAAGAAGAACCAAACCUCAUCUUGUAGGGAGGUAGCAAGUAUUCAGUUAUUCAACGCACAAACAGAGUAAGGUGCAAGACACGUUGACAAUUUGUUUGGAUAGUCAAUUUGUUUGGUGAUCCUUGUAGAAUAAUGCUACUAUAAAUUCAUGGCACAUGAAGAGUACUGCACAAAAAGUCCUAUUAGUUUCCAAAUUGACCUCAACUUGAUAAGUGACAAUGAAAUUUUUACCUUUCAGUUCGGUUUUUAAAGCAGAAUACUGAGUAGCAUAUAUAGUUAAUUGGGAUUAUGAUGACAAGCAAGCAGAACAUAGAUGCUAUGUUUUCUGCUGCAAGAUGUAGAGGAAAUAAAAUCUGCUAUUAAACUGAAAGAUUAUAUAUAUAUUUUAGAAAAAAUUAUUUUGGAUUCUGAACUUCCAAUUUAUUGACUUUGAUAAGUACAUUAUCAAUACCCUCCAGCACUAAAAGUAUCAACUUAGUUGAAUCGUCAAUCAACUUAGUUGAAUAAUUGCACGGUUGGAAUACUACCAUCUAUUAGUAUAGCUUGAGAAGCAGAGGCUUUUAAAAUUAUUCAAAUCUCUCUUUUUUUUUCAUUUGAUUCUAUGUUAAUUAGCCCAAAAUUCACUGUAUUAGUUGUCUAGGUUCACUAUUGUCAUAGCCUAUAAAUAAGUAUAGGCAUCGACCUACUCUACAAUUGUGAAGUUUAUACAAUUUGGAUAUUUUAUAGUGUGGAAUUCAAAAAUAGAAGAUUAAAUAUCCAUACAAUCAUAUGACCUUUGAAGCUCUUUGGAGAAUUAAUUAUUUUUACUAACGUCCUUUCCAGCAAAUAGCUCAAGCAGCAGGAAAUCAAGUUGCAGACAUCUUUCUUAAAGGAACCUAAGUCCAUACUUCAUUCUUUGCCAAAAUUCUUUAACUUGAAGAAGUAAAAUAUGAUUCUGAAAAUUUAGCAAAUUUCAAAGUUGGAUAUCCUGGAUUCAAAAUUAAGAUUGAGCAUUCAUCUUCAACCAAUUCUACGACGGAGUACUACUCUAUCCUGAUCAAGCCACGCAAUGCCUUUUGCGAUCCCAAUUGCAACUUUUAUCUUAAACCUGUUUUGAGCAGAAAAGAGAAGAUCAUAUAGGUUUCAUUUUGACAUGAAUUUGUAGAUCAAAAGUAUGUUGUUAAUUCCCAAAUUGGGCUGUCUUAUUCUUCCAAGAAUCGUGAGUACAAAUAGAAAUUGUUAAUCAAUUCUGUCAAAAUGAUGGAAUUUCUACCUCAAAUAGAAAAAAAAAUGAAAAAAGAUAACAGAGUUUCUUGAGAGCAAAAGGCCAACCAUUUGCGUAGUAUCUUCGUACACUGUCCCAAUUCAGCAAAUUCACACAUGUUUGAAAGAAAUAACACACAACCAUUACUAAAUCCUGCAAAACGAAAUUACACAAAAUACGCCAACAGCAAAUUAUCUGCAUCGCCUUUAUGGCCUCAUUCAUUGUUUCCACCAUAUCUUGACAAGAAAAGAGCCUACUGUUACCUCAAAUCUUCUACAAAAGCACCAAAGAAAGCCAGACCACACAGAUGAACACUACCGUAGCACUCCCUGAUGAUAUCAUUAAGAAAAAAAUAGAGCAAUAAUUAGUUGUUUGCUCAUCAAUUUCAUGCCUGCAUUACCAAAAAAACUACCAAAAGCUAAAUAUAGAUUAUUUCUGCAAGCCAAUUAAUGGUAAUGACAAAAAAAAUUACCUGAUAUUGUACCCGCUGAUGCCCUUCAAUAUUUUCCAUAAAUGAUCUUCAGAUUCUCAUUUCCAUAAUUUUUCUGUUCUUCUGCAAUUUCCCAUACUAAAGAUUCGACGCCAUCUCCACAAACAUUCAUCUUAAUGGUUUCAAGAGUUGGUAUACGCCCUAAACAAGAAGGCAUCAUUUCCAAAUUAUAAGUCCUGUCGAGUUUUAAUUGCUGAAGACACGGGAAGUAAUCAUCACUGUCAGGGUCUACCUCUGUCCACUCCACAACCUCUACAUCUUCCAACGUCAAGACCCUGAGUUUAGGGAAUCCUCCUUCCAUCAACUCCCAUUUUUGGCCGUCCAUUGACCGCUGUCUUAAUUUGAGGACUUCAAGAUUGGGUAAUUGUUCAAUCAAUGACAUUUUUCGACAGGAUAGACCCAGGUUGGAAAGACACAACUUUUUCAAAUUCCUGGGAAAAGAAAGCCCAACAUGUUCCCGUGAACCUGAGAAGUUGUAGCCCCCUAAGGUGAGUGAUUCUAGGCAUUCUAGUCGACUCAUGUCGCAGCACACUCUUCUUUUUCCCCAACAACUGAAAAUUUUAAGUUGGCGAAUAUUGGGAAUCCUUCUCAAUAUGUUCUCUUCCCCUCGACGAAAAAGACACAGAGUAGAGAGUGUGUCUAAAUUGUGUAGGGUGCAGAGAAUUUCAACAACGUUUUCAUUGGAAGGAAGACAAACACGCCUUACAUGUACAUGCCUCAACUUCUUCAUGUUCCAGAUACUGUCCGGCAAUGAAAUCUUCUCACCAGAUUUUAGACGAAAGGUUUCCAAAUGUGAGAGAUUGGCUAUAGAUGGGGGAAUGAAUUUCAUUUUCCAAGCUGUAAGGGCUAAGUACCUCAAACAAAGAAGUGAUUCGACUUCAGUUGGGAGCUCCUUCAGCCUUAGGUUAAUGCCCUCUAAAUUCAGAACUUUAAGAUGUUUGUAGAUGCAAAAAAGGAAGGAGAUAUUAAGCAACUUAAACUUAUUACGUCCUGGAGUAGCAUCAAAGAAUACCAGAGUACCUAAAUAUGGACAAAAUAGCUUUGACUUUAUAAAAUCCUCUUCACUGGAGCAAAUGGACAACCGAGGUAGGUUGGGAGGUUCAUUAAAGGUAGAAAGCUCAUCAUAUCCUCGCAGGACCUGAAGAAAUUUCUUUUCUUUCGCCUCACCCUUACAGAACUCAAAUAUCAAAUCGUGAAUGUAACAAGUUUUGACUCCUCCAAUGGAUCUGUUUUCACUUACCAUAACUAGGUUUCGACCAAUUAGGUCCAUCAAAUAUUCUUCGGCAAUGUCCUCCAGUCUCUCUCCUUCAAUUUUUUCCACAAACCCUUCUGCAAUCCAUAGACGCAUCAAAUUCUUGGCACCAAUUAUUUCAUCUUCUCGAAAUGCAGCAAAAUACAGCAAGCAUGCCUUCAAGUGACAUGGUAAAUGCUCAUAACUGAGCUCCAAUGAAUUCUUGCACUGGUCUGUACCAGACACCAUGGUUAAAGUUAAACUUUUAGCAAAUUCUUCCCAAACCCAAAUAUCAUGGUCUAUAGUUGCUAGGACUCCAGCUACAACAACAAGUGCAAGUGGCAAUCCUCUGCACUUUUUGGCAAUCUCCAUUCCCAAUCCAUGCAAUGCUUGAGGACAAUCUUCUUUUCCAAAUACCUUCUUCAGCAGUAAUUCAAAGCUUUCUUUCUCACUGAGUGGGCGAAGAUUGUGAGGUUUCCCCCCAUAUUCAACCUGUGAAGCCACAUUAGAAGAUCGACUCGUGAAGAUGAUUCUACUUCCUUUCUUUUCAUCGGGAAAUGAAAUUCUCAGCUCAUUCCAUACCUUAAUGUCCCAGACAUCAUCAAAAACAACAAGAUACCUCUUCGUCUUCAGCCUUUGAUAGAGCUUGUGAAGCAAUUCAGGUUCAUUCAAGUUUUUAAGCUCUUCAUCCAUCCUAGAUUGUUUUCCAUUAGAGCACAAAAUUUGUAUUAACAAGCUUUCCAUGUCAAAUUUUUGAGAAACAGUGCACCAAAGACGAAUCUGGAAGUUAUAGAUAAUUGAACUAUCAUUGUAAACUUUUUUGGCUAAAGUUGUUUUACCAAGCCCAGCCAUUCCCACAAUGGGAACAAUUUCCACCUGUUUUGAUCCGCUUACAAGUCGUUCAAUUACCUUUUCUACCUCAUCAUCAAGACCAACCAUGACUUCAUGGGCUAUUGGCAUUUUACCUUUUGAUAGCAUGUGGCUGAAAGUCUUGCUACCUUCUGGUGCUCUUAAGCUGUGAAAGGAAGGAAGACUUUCAAUAAUGCUUGAGCCACUGAUCUGAUCCUUAAAAUGCUUGAUAUGGAUGUUGGUAUUAGACAGCAUAUCAUAACAGUCAAGGGCCUCUGUGGAUCCUGAGAAGCUGACUUCUCCUUCCUUCACUCUGUUUAGAGAAGGCGAGCAAAUUAUAAUGCCUGCCUCACUAAGAAGAGCACCAAUUUUUUCAUUUUGCUCAUCCAUCUUCUCCUGCUGCUCCCUUAAAAUGCUUCUCAAAAACCUCAAUCCUGCAUAGAGAAUUUCAAUUUCAUCUUUCAUAGAAUCCACAAAGCUAGAGCUGCAGCAUAACAACUCCCAGAGACGACUUAUCAGACAAUCAUUGAAGUUGUUCAAUAUCUGCUUAUCCCUCAUUCUAUCAUGCAAUGAUUUUGAGGAUCUUGUAGCUCUAAGAACGUCCAUAUAAAUCUCGUAGACUUGAAAAUCAACAGGUGUGAUUUUCUGUUGUUGUUCAUAUAUCAUGGAGCAGAACUCAGGAUUGUGCAGAUCCUCAUCUUCCCAAAAAGAACACAUGUAAGAGAGGCGUGCUGCGUUCAAAGCCACCACUUCAAAGUGAGCCAACAGCAAGGCAGGAAUAUCUACAGUUCCUCGCAAUUUGCCAAAGGGAAUGAAGCUUUUGAAGAAUGUUAGCUUUGCUUCAAGGGCUUGGAAUUGAGAACUCAAAGCAGCAUAAAUAGAUGAUUCACUAAUUUUGCGAUGCAUAUAGCCAUUUGUCAAAUCUGCUAGAUUUUGUAGGAUGAAGUCUAUGAAUUCCAUUAGUUCAUCAUCUGUCAUCCAAGAAUUUGAUUGCAAUGACCUGCUGCUUGCCAAAGCAAAGUAAAUUUGGAUGAUUUCUUGCUUAAGUAAUUUGAUUUCUUGCUCAAGUAAUUCGAUCUGUUUCUGAAUUUCUGGCUUAAGUAAUCUUUUACCCGCUUUUGAUCUAAGGGAAAGAGAGUGAAUGUCCUCCUCGUAUUUGUGAAAGGUGUCUUCAAUGCAAGAUAAGAAAGAUGGAAGACUCACCUUCUUCGCUACAUUGCCAGACUGCAAGUACAAAUCAUUGCUUUGGGUGGACUUUCUUGCACACAUAACAAAUGUUUUGAGAAAUUUCAUGCGUUUGAUUGUAUCACGAACACGAUCACGGCAAGGAACAUACCGGCUUCGGACGAUGUUCAGGAGCAGCAACUCUAGAUCAAGUAAGACCCGAUCGAUGCUGCAAGUGGAGACCAUCUCCAUCUCUUAUGCAGGGAUUUUGGUCUCAAAUUUUAAGAGAGAAGCAAAUCUCACUUAUUGCAGAGCCAGCAAGUAUUUCUUUCCUGAAAAUUACUUCUUUGCUUUUCUUCUUCUGAAGAGUAUUGAGACAAUCAAUUAUUGGCAACAAGGUGGAAUCGGCAUCAAGGUGGACCCCAGACACUGAUAAUACUACAACUAGGUGUUGGGCAUCUGAGGAUUUAAAAGAUACUACAAUUUUGUCACGUUAGCAAAAGUUAGUGUGAAAAUAAAUCGUGGGUCAUCAGCAAUAUCAUUUGCUCAUGUCUAAUUACAAAAGGAAGUUGAUAAAAUCAAUUAUUCAACUAGGUGGAAUUGGAGCUAGGCACGUAUUGGGUUAAAUUGGCUUCACCCAAAAUCCAAAUUUAUCUUGAACUAAUUACAAAUGGAAAUUGAUAAAAAUUAGUUGACUCUGUCAUCAACAUUUUAUUAGGGAAAUUUGAUAUGACCAUCUCUCAUGAUCACAGAGAAAUGCAUUCUUGAAACAUUUUCUGUUGGGGUCAUUUCGAUAACCAAUGUUGUAUUACAAACACAUUAAUUUUGUACUCUUUCAACGUGGAUGGCCUUUUCUGCAACUCUGAAAAAAAUUUGAAGUAUCUUAUCCUCAAAUACUUGUCUACUCUUAUGCAGGGAUUUUCCUCAAUAUCACUCUCAAAUAUUAGUGCAGGUAAAGGAGAAACAAAUCUCACCCCAGGGCCAACAAGUCUUUCUUCCCUCAAAUUUUAUUUUAUAUUAUUUUUUGUAGGGUAGUGAAGAAAAGAAAUUAAAUACUCAAUUGUUUAACAAACAAACAGAGCAAGAAACAGAAGAUCAGCAAGGCAAAAGACAAAAUGUUGGAAUUAUCAUAAAGUCAUCUUGUGUUUAGUAGAUUAAAGAAGUUUUCAUUGACAAGUUUAUUAUUUUUUGGACCACUCUGGUAUUUUCCAUUAGCAAAGGGUCCCUGCACCUGUACUGAAAAAAGCGUAAAAAUUUAACCAAUUGCUCAAUUCAGACUUGUUUUACUUUAAUCUUUAUAAAUUGAUUGUUUCUUUGAAAAAUUUAAGCAUUGUUUCUCCAUAUAGCCACAUCCUAUUAUUACAUACAUAAAUUCUAUGAAAUAACAAUUUUCAUUUUUGUUACUAUGGAAAAAGUAAAAUGACAUUAGAGGUUUUAAUUUAAUGGAUUCUUUCAGUUGAAUGUAAAUAAGUACAACUGAGCCAGGGCUUGAAAACUUGAACUGCCAAAACAAAGUGGUUAAUUCUACCGUUUUGCACUCUAAAGUUGUUAAUUCUUUCAAAAUAGUAUGGUUUCACACACUAUUGGUGCAAGUUUAGGAAUAACAUGGAGCUGUAUGUAGGGGUGACAAUUUGUCCCAAGUCCCAAUGGGCUACUCAUGCCCAAAGAGACUUUGAGUGAAAUGGGUAUUGUAAUUUGAUAUUGGGUUUAAAAUGGGAUAUAUUCUAAUUGUACCCAUUAAUUAAUGAGAAAUGUUGGAAAACACUUUGCCCAAAUAUCUUUCCAAAAAAUUGACAAACCCUUUUGGGAAGUAUGUUCAUCUGAAGAAACUUGACAAAUAACCAAGCCAGACCCAGAACCCACGGUUAGCUCAAGACUACCUUACAACUCCUGCGUUGACCCAUCCAUUUGACCAACCUACCCACUGGGUAUACCCAAAAUUUCCCCAGAUUCCAUGUCCAAAUCAGUAUAUUUAUAUAAAAAUAUAAAAAUUAUAAUAUUCUAAAAAUACUCAAAAAUAUGUUUCCACAAUACCUCUAAAAAUAAUUCAAAAAAAUCUACAGUAAAAGUUUUUCAUAUAGUUUUUGAAAAACAACCCCAAAAACAACUAAUCCAAACGGACUUGUUUUUCAGAUUCAAAAUGCUACAGUGGUGUUUUUGAAAAACAAACCCAAAAACAGCUAAUCCAAACGGAGCCCAGAUUUUCCAUUUUCCUCACGACUCUGUAAUUCGUAUCCUAUUCUACCUCUUUUCGGACCCUCCGAUCGGGACCCCUUCCCUGUUAGCAUCACCGAUUUCUCUCAUCCACCGCCAAAAACCUUAGCUUCAGAUCCGGAUUCUUUUUCUCGAUCCAUGUAAGAUCCAACCCGAAUUCGUUUGGCUUUCCGGUUUUGGUUUUUUUUUUUUUUAGAUUGUAAUGUUUGUAAUUAAAUUAGCAAAUUGACGUUAUCCGACUGUGUUGGGAAGUAUGUUCAUCUUAAGAAACUUGUAACGUGGAAUAGCUAAUUCUCUUGAAUGACGUGUGCUUCAAAAAUUCAUUAGUGUGUUUUCAGGAUGAAGGGGUGAUAAAUCAUAAUUUGUUGCUAAAUUUAUAAUUAUUCUUCCCUUGAUUUUAGCCAAAUAUUGUUUUAAUUAUCGGAUUCUACUUAUAUUUGGUUAAUGGUGCCAAUUGUAGGAAAAGGAGCAAAACGUGAUUAAAAGUGGCAAAUUUUCCAAUUCAUUGGAUAGUGGCACGUUUGGGGUUGGUUUCCAAGUCCGAGUCGAAUUCAAGGCAAUUUUUGAAGGAAGAUUUUGAAGAUUUUAAUCUUCAUUAGUAGUUUUAAUAUUGGAUUAGGAAACUUGGAAUAUUUUCUUUUAUGGUUUCUUUUCCUAUUUAGGAGACUAGUUUUAUUUGGUAGUAGACUUCAAUUAGGAAAUAAAAAAAAGACGGGAAGCCAGAUUCCCGUUUGAUUAGGACUUCAGCCAAAAAAACAAGAAAAGAGUCGUGACUCUUUGGGAAAAAGGGGAAGGUCGGAUCCCGCGUGAUUAAGAGUUGUCAAGGCAGCAACAAAUUUGGGGGACUUUUUCUUUUUAGCCGACUUUUACUUUUCUUCCUUGAACGAAUUUGGGAGACAACAAUUGUAAGCUUCGAAUAGCUUUUCCGCGUGGGUUGUUCUCCAUUAAUGGAGGACUAACCUCCUACUUCUAGUCAAGGGGACAACUGACAAAUUGGUUCAGCAAUUACUGUGAGAUCUAAACCGCUUUUAAUUGUUUCCUUCAUUUAUUGAUAUUUAUAUGUUUCCUGCUUUUAAUUGCUAUAACUCGUGUGAAUGAUUGAUUAGUGCGCAAUAAUUAAUUAUUCAUAUAGGCUAUUUUGCUAGUUAGGGGUAAUUCAAUCCGUAAUUGUUCGUUAUCCCUAUCUCAGUAGCAACUAGCGUAAUUGGAUUUAUGUCAGGGGAACAUACGAUCUAGUUUAAACAAACCCUCGUAGCGUGUUUGUUAGUUAGGAUUGGGUCUUUCUAAUUAUUAAUGCAAUCUAGAAAUUAAAUCCUACGGUCGUACCUAGGGUUGUUUUUGGGUUAGGGAAAUAGUUAACGGUCAUACCUUAACUAUCGAGAAAUUAAGGAAAUGUUGGUUGUUUAUCGCGUGCAUGACAACUAUAACUAAUCUAUUAAUAAAUGUUGGAAUUAUCUGUGAAUCGAGGAUCAGUGCAUGAACCAUUUCUGAAGUAUACCCUUGGCUAGAGUUCCCCCAAUUAUUUCUUUUAAUUAAUUAUUUUCUGUAGUUAAUUUAUUCAGUUAAUAAUUCUUUAGCAUUCAUUCCUCACACCCCCCAUUUGUCUUGACUCAAAAUAAACGAAUUAUCCCCAGUCCCUAUGGAUUCGACCCUGCUCACCGCUAUAUACAAAAUUUGUAUUAUUCUCGAGUAGAUAUUUAUUAUUGCACAGGCUCGACACCUGUCAAGCGGCAAAUUUGAAAGACUAUUAGCAUGAGUAGGUUCUUGGAAUCUUGCUAGAGGAAGAGUACUAAGUUUGCAUGAGAGGAUUUAUCUAUAUGAGAGCUAUUGGAAAUGGAUAAUAUGUUUAUUUUAUGUUUUGUAUCUUUACUUGUAAAGAAACUGACAAAACCUUGAUUUCCUUGUUAUCAAUUUUUAAUAAAAAAUAAAAAAUGAAUUAAAGGAAAAAAAAUAUCUAGAAAAUAAAUUUGGGUAUUGGGCGGGAUCAAUCUAAACCCAUCCCAAAGUGAUCCCGUCCAAGUUAGUCCCAAAACACAUAUGGAUAAGAUUGGACCCAAACUCAUAUGACUCGGUUCCAUCUCAAACCCAAGCAAAUCACGCCCAUCCCGUCUAUUUUACCACCUCUAGCUGUAUGCUAGGUUCUCAUUAACAGAUGAUAAUGAUUCGUUCCUACGAGGAAAAGCCUCUGUUUUAGUCGACUUUCAUUCACAAUAACAGCAGCAGUAGUUUAGGUGACUUGAGACACUUUGAUGAUUUUAAGGUCCAAAGCAUAUAGAAUAACUAAAUUAAGGGUCCGUUUGUUUCGGGUGAAAAUAUUUUCCAGGAAAAUAUUUUCCUAAUUUCCCGUGUUUGGUUGCACAAAAGUUACUGAAAACAUUUUCAUAUGUAAAAUAUUUUCACUCAUCCUAUGAAAAACAACUUCCCUUCCAAACUUACUGAAAUUGUUUUCCGAAAUGCAUGCAUUCCACCGGUAGUAUGUUCCAAAUUUACUGAAAACAUCUUGUAGUAUGUUCUUUUUUUUUUAGUGUAAACAGGAGGAAUCGAACCCAAAACCUCUUCCUUACACUCCCUCCCCCCGUACCAUCUAACCCAACCCAACCCAACCCUCCCCCUAGUAUAUUCAAAAAAAAAAAAAAAAAAACCCCAUCCUGCUCAUCCUAUACUAGUAAUUAAUUAUGUAUAAUAGGGACAUUUUUUCUAGAGAAACUUUCAGCAGUGAAAGUGCAAGAUAUAUGUCACAAUAAGCAUUGCAUGUGAUUGAUAUUUGACACUAAAUGGUUAGCAAUUUGUUUAUUGCUUAAGGAGAUAUUUUUUUAUUCAUAUAUACAUUUCUCCAAGAUUUUUUAAAGUUAAACAAUGAGAUAAAUUUUCUUAUUUUGUAUGGGAAGAAGUAUGUAGUUAUAAUGUGUAGAAAGUAAAGAUAGAGAUAAAAGUGAAAAUAUUUCAAAAGUUAAACAAACACCAGAAAAAUGAAGUAAGAAAAUAUUUUCAAUAAGCUAACCAAAUACCUGAAAAUGAUGAAAGGGAAAUGAUUUUCAUGGAAAAUUACUUCCACAACAGACCCUAAAGGUAGGAUUAUUCCCUACCAAGAAUGGUCCAGACGGAUCAGUCCCUCUCUAUCAUACAUUUAUAAUAGAGAGGAAUAUAAAGUGGAAUAUAAGUUGUAUUAGCAGACAUAUGCAAGUGGUGGGCUCAGUGCUUCUGAUCCAUUGAUAAGUAGCGGGUUGGUUUCAUAGAAUUAUUGGGAAUUAUUGUAUUCCAUUUCCACACAAUGGGGUCCCGGCUCCACAGACCAGAAUUAUUGCGGACGGGGGCAGGGCGUGAAGUUUUUGUGUAAAAUGCACAAUGUGUGACUCUGGAUAACACGGUGUAAUUUAUUUUUAAUAGUAUGUAAUUAUAGAAUAAAAUUUUGUAAGUCUAAUGUAUAGUGUGAAAAAUACUAUAUAAGAUGCAAUCUGAAUUUUAAAUUUUUUUUUUUACCAAAUCUUAAUCAUGAACCUGCAAUAACAGUAACCGUUCUUGCCCCUUCUCCAAUUAUUGUAAGCCCCUGUUUUUGCAAUAAUUUCACUUCUUGUCAUGAGGCAAUCAGUGAGUAGGAAAAAAUCGACUAUCCACAGUUUAAUUUGUUAAACUUCGUAAUUAAGAAGCCUUGUUUUGAUAGCAGAUGUGGAGUGAGGGUUGAGUGUUUUAAUUCAUCCAUGUUUGAAAUAUGAAUAGAGUAUUAUUUGAAAUGUUAUUUGAAAUAAUUAUUAUAGCACUUUUUAUGAUGUGAUGUAUGUGAGAUAAAAAGGUGAUUGAGAAUAUAAAAGUUGAAUUAUAAAAUAUAUUUAUGAUACAAACGAAAUUUAUGUUUCUAGACCAAAAAGAAAUCAACCAAAAAAUUUGCUCAACCAAUAAGAAAAGUUAAAGUUUCAGUUAUGCAAUAUCAAUAUUGGCUCUCGAGAAAGUUAGUAGAGAAGUCUUCAAAUGUAUUUUUGUGUUUCGUAAUUAGUAUAUAUUUAGCAUUUAGUAAUAAUAUAUUUGGAUAUAUAAUUAUAUAUAUAUUUAUAUCAUUAUAUAUAUAGCUAAUUUAAGGAUCGGGCCUAUAUCGGGUUUAAAUCUGAUGAGGACCAAAUUUGACUCAUAUUUAAUUUGGGCAUAAUUUUAGGUUCAAACUCAAAUUGGCUCAGUGAAAGGUCGGGUUCAUUGGACUUUUUUUGGGCUGAACGCGCCAAGGUCGAGCUGAUCCGACCCCAUUGACAGUCAUAAUAAAUAUAAAGAGUAAAAUGAUAAAGUUCAAAAUUAAUGUUACGGAAUGCAUUAAUGUUAACAAUAUACAAUGGUCAAAGAAAAUGAUUGGAUUAAAGAAGUAAAAAAUUCUACUAAUUAGUAGCAGUGCUUCUUUCCAAGAGUCAGGACUUAAAUGCAUGCUAAUUAUUUAUACUAAUUUAUCUACUUGUAUCAUAAACAUAUUUUUAAAUUACCUUUUCAUAUCAAAAAAGUGAUACAGAAUUUUUUUAAAAAUAUUAUCCGAAAUAAUCUCCUAUCCAGACACAAAUAUAUGCCCAUUUCAGACUGUGUUACUUGGGCCAUUGGAAAUUAAUUGAAAGUCUUCUCAUUAGUCUUUCUUCAACAUUGAGGGUGUCCAUUUGGAUAAUGAGAGAGAAGGAGACUGGUUGUUCUUCUGGUCAAACACGGGCAGAGAACCCUCCCUUUCCUUGCUUUUUAACUAAGGGUUCAUGGGUAAGAAAAAUUCUUACUUUCGUAAGAAAAUGUCAGAAAAAAAAAAAAAAACUAAGGGUUCAUGGGUAAGGCAUACCCAUAUUUUUAAAUGUUUGAUAUCAAUUCUUAUUACUCAUAUAGAAAACUUCCACGAGUUGAUUGAGAAUUAGGUCUUAUUUGAUAAUUCAAUUCAACACUUAAAUUUAAUGGAUUCAAAUUUUAAUAUAUUCAAAUACGUUUGAUAACAAAAAAUUAACAUUUGUAUUAAUUAAGCAGUACUGAAUUUUUUUGACAAAAUUUACUCUAAAAAAAAUGAUAACCUAUUCACUUAUCAUUAACACUUAAUGUGACAUAUUUAAAUAAUUUAAUAGAUUCAAAUUUCAAUUUUACUAAAUGCUGAAGAGUUAGAACCGAAAUGCAUGCUAAUACAAGCAUAUAUUAUUACAGCUAUUAGAAAUCAAUUCAACUCUUAGUCUUUCUUCCACGUUCGGGGGGUCAAUGUGCAGAAUUCGAUAGAUUGAUGGAGAUCAGAUACUGUUCUGGUCAGGAAUGGCUGCUGGACGGUCCCAUUUCUUGUUCUUUAAUUCAAGCUUUAGCCUUUAAUUCGGGGGUUCUUGUUUUUAGAUGGGAGAAGAUUUCAUUCACAAUGCGUAACCAGUCUCGCCUUAUGAUUCUAACCUGCUCCCUUUUUUACGUGCGAGCAACUAUAUUCAGGUUUUGAGACCUGAGCAAUUUUGGGCUAAUUGAUAUACAUUGGAAAAAUAUUUUCAUAUUCUCUUGUGGUUAAAUUUAAUAAUAUUAUACACAGCUAAUGAACUGAUAAGAUUUUUAUAGUGUUAUAUUUAUCUCUUAGGUAGAACUACAAACGAAUCUCGCAAACCAACUUUUUAGCAGCGAAAACUGCCUUAAUUGGCUGGCUGAGCUCAAGCAGUUUGAUCAAAGUAUCAAAUCAAGUAGUUUGAUUAAGAAAAUACUCCCAAACCUCAUGAUAUGUAGGCAUACUUUUUAACAUUAGUACCCAUCGUCUAUUUUAAAUUCCUUCAAAAAAAUAUUAUAACUAAUAUCUACUUACAUAUGAGCUCAAUUAGAUCGGAUCUAUGCAAGUGGAGGUCAUCUCCAUCUCUUAUAAUGCAAGGAAAUUCCUUAAUUUCACUCUCAAAUUUUAGUGUAGCAUAAGGAGAAAUAUUAACAAAUCUCGCCUUCUCCAGAUCUAGCAAGUAUUUCUUCUGUGGAAUAUUCAAUUAUUCAACAAACAAACAGAGCAAAAAAGAAAAGAUUAACAAAUAACAACGUAGUCGUAACAGUAGUGUAGGAAUUACGAGAAAGUUGCAUCUCGGUUUGGAAAAGCAAAGAAUUUUUUUUUAUUCAUUACUUUAUGGUUUUUGAAUGAAUUAUUUCACUCUCAUUUUGUAGCUAAGAAGCACCAGUGUCGGCAUUGUCCACUAAGAAAGGGACCCUACACCUAGACCCUUUUUUUAAUUUUAAAAAUUUUCGCUUUCCAUAAGGUAAGGCUUUCUUGGAAUUUUCGAGAGAAAAAGAGCAUAUAAGGGGCCCAAAAAAAAAAGAAAGGAAAACAUUAAAGUUGAAGAGAAAUUUUUAUUAUCACGAAAAUAGUUUCUUUCAUUUUCAAGUGAAAGGGAGAAAGAGAAUGAUAAUUAAUAAUUAUUCAUCUAUGUUAGCUUUAUUUCGCAAUUUUUUUUCUUUUUGUUGAAAAUUCAAACAUUGUUGUUCAAUAUGCAUGCUACAAAAAUCAAUCUUAUAAUCCAAAAAUCAAUAGCUAGUUUUUAUUUUCAAAAGAAAGUAGUAAAUUGACUUCAAUGGAGAUUUUAGUUUGAUGGAAUCUUUGACUUGAGUUUAUAUAAUUACUAACAAGGGCCUUAAGCCAUGAACAAAGAGUAAAGAGGAGUCAGCAUCAGUCUGUGAUUACGUUUCACGGGUCAGGUGUCCUUUCCGCCUAACAAUUUUAUAACCCGAACCAGUUCUAUUGGUUCGAUAAAAAGUUAAAUCAUAAUUGUGUCCAUGGUCAUAGAGUACUCGAAUGACCGGGUAUUUGGCAAAGCGGUUCACGGAUCCGAAGGUACUAGACUCGGUACCAAAAUUAAAAAAGAAAUCAUAUUUUCAUAAUUGAGAAUAAGAAAAUAAGUAAACACCUAAAAGACUUUAUUAUUUGUUAAGAAAUAACACAUAACCAUGAAUAUUUGCAUGUUCAUAGUAAAAACAAGUUUGUAAAUAUCACUUAUUCUCUGAAACAAAAGCUAAAUAUAUUAUAUAAUUAGCAAGUUAAACAAGUUAAGACUCUUAUAUUAUUGAGAUAGUCAAGUAUAUCAUCUCAAAUAUAAAUAUUUGAUGAAAGAUGAUUAUAUAUUCCUCUAUUAAUUUUGGUAUUAAUUUUAGUUUUAAUGGACAAAAUUAUAAGUAUAUCCUUACAUAUGAAUUAAGGUAUUUGCGAUUUUCAAAGUUUUUGAAUUGCGACAGGAUGUACGUCCUUGUUAAUCCGAUUUGCUGCUACUCGAACUACACAUAUUAAAACCGAUUCGAGUACCCUAAAUUUACGGUUCAGAUCGAAUCAAUGUUUACGAAUUUUUGGAUUUCUCUUAUCAAAAUAAACAGCAUGUAUUACAUAAACUUGCAAAUCUUUAUUACCGACAAACAAACAAAAAUUUAUUCCUAUCAUACCAUAGAACCCAACAGACAACGGGAAAAAGAGGAAACCAAAGAACAUUAAAGCGGUUAACAGUUGAGAAUUUUUUACAACCAAAAUUUAGCCAACUAAUGAAAUCUAAUUGAGCCACCCAAAGAAGGGGAAUUGACAGGUAAAGAUGUAGCCAUCCAAAGACAAGGAGCUUUAGGACACCUCCUAAUUUAUACGUUUAGACUCCUUUCCCGCAAAAAACGCAGGAGUUCUCUCGAGGCUAGUCUGUUUUGAGAACACAACCGAAGAAAAUGCUUGGUUCAACUUUCCAAAUCCAUGUAAGAGGACUCCUAGUAGAAUUAAGAAUAUUGCUACAACUCAAAACUAAUUUAGCAGAAUCAAUCUUAGUAGCAGGUGGAAAUUUCCAACCCAAGAUUAGAUAUCAGUGACAGGUUGGAAUAUUACCAUCUAUAACUUGAGAAACAGAGACUUAAAAUUAUUCAAAUCUCAUGAGCUCAAAACAUAACAAAGUUCCUUGACUGCAAAUUGACACAUGUUUGAAAAGAAAUAGUACACGAUCAUCACUAAAUUCAGCAAAACAAAAUUACACAAAAUACACCAACAGCAAAAUAUCUGAAUAACCUUUAAGCGGCCGUGCAUAUUGAUAAAAUGGUGCACGGUGUACAAAUCUCAUUGAUUGUUUCCACCAUGUCUUGACAAGAAAAGAGCCAUCGAUCCUUUCAAUUGUCACCUCAAUCUUCCACAAAAGCACCAAAGAAAGCCAGACCACACAGAUGACCAUCACACUCCCUGAUGAUAUAUCAUCAAGAAAAAAUAGAGCAAUAAUUAGUUGUUUGUUCAUCAAUUUCAAUGUGCUCGUGCACGCACUAAGGCAACUGAAGUAGUACAAAAAAGCUACCAAAAUGUCAAUAUAAAUUAAACUCCCUUAAAUGAAAAAAGCAUGAUUAUUUCUACAAGCCAAUUAAUGGUAACGACAAAAAAAAUUACCAGAUAUUGCACCAGCUCAAUCUAUGAUGAUGACCUUCAGAUUCUCAUUUCCAUUAUAUUCCUGUGCUUCUUCAAUUUCCCUUACUAAAGAUUUGACACCCUCUCCGCAAGAACUCACAUUAAUUGUUUCAAGAGUUGAUAUAUGCUGUAGACAAGCAGGCAUCAUUUCCAAAUUAGAAAUGAUUUGGAGUUUUAAUUGCUGAAGGCACGGGAAGUAAUCAUCACUGUCAGGGUCUGUCUCUAUCCACUCAACAAUCUUUACACAUUCCAAAGUCAAGACCCUGAGUUUAGGGAAUCCUCCUUCCAUCAGCUCCCAUUUUUGGCCGUCCAUUGACUGCUCUCUUAAUCUGAGGACUUCAAGAUUGGGUAGUUGUUCAAUCAAUGACAUUUUUCUACAGGGAAGACCCAGAGCUUGAAGACUUAACUCUUUCAAAUUCAUGGGAAAAGAAAGCUCAACAUGUUCCCGUGAACCUGAGAAAUAGUUGCCCCCUAAGGUGAGUGACUCUAGGCAUUCUAGUCGACUCAUGUUGCAGCAUACUCUAUUUCGUCCCCCACAAUUGAAAAUUUGAAGUUGGUGAACGUUGGGAAUCCUUCUCAAUAUGUUCUCUCCCUCUUGAUCAAGAUAAAGACACAGAUUUGAGAGUGUGUCUAAAUCGGGUAAAGUGGAGAGGUUUUCAACAACGUUGUCGCUGGAAGAGAGAAGAAUAAUGCAGUUACGCUGUACAUGUACAUGCCUCAACUUCUUCAUGUUCCAGAUGCUAUCUGGCAAUGAAACCGUCGUGCAAGAAUUUAGACGGAAGGUUUCCAAAUGUGAGAGCUUGGCUAUAGAUGGUGGAAUGAAUUCCAUGGGCUGAGCUGUACGAAGGGCUAAGUACCUCAAACAAAGAAGUGAUUCGACUUCAGCUGGAAGCUCCUUCAACAUUAGGUUAAUGUCCUCUAAAUUCAAAACUUUAAGACGUUUGUAGAUGCAAAAAAAGGGGGAGAUAUUAAGCAUCCCAAACUUAUCUCCUGGAGUAGCAUUGAAGAAUAGCAGAGUAUCUAAAUCUGGACAAAAUAGUUUUGACUUUAUAAAAUCUUCUUCACUGCAGCAAAUGGACAACCGAUGUAGGUUGGGAGGCUCAUUAAAGAUAGAAAGCUCAUCAUAUCCUCGCAGGAUCUGAAGAAAAUUUUUUUCCUUCGCCACAGUCUUACAGAACUCUAAUAUCAAAUCGUGAAUGUAACAAGUUUUGCCUCCACCAAUGGAUCUGUUUUCACUUACCAUAACUAAGUUUCGAUGAAUUAGGUCCAUCAGAUAUUCUUCUGCAAUAUCCUCUGAUCUCUUUCCUUCAAUUAUUUCCACGAACCCUUCUGCAAUCCAGAGACACAUCAACUUCUUGGCACAAAUUUUUUCAUCCUCUCGAAAUGCAGCAAAAUACAGCAAGCAUGCCUUCAAGUGAUAUGGUAAAUGCUCAUAACUGAGCUCCAUCGACUUCUUGAAUUGUUCUGCACCAGACACCGUGGUUGAAGUUAAACUUUCAGCAAAUUGUUCCCAAACACAAAUAUCAUGCUCUAUAGUUACUAGGACUCCAGCUACAACAACAAUUGCAAGUGGCAAUCCCUUGCACUUUUUGGCGAUCUCCAUUCCCAAUCCAUGCAAUGCUUGAGGACAAUCUUCUUUUCCAAAAACCUUCUUCUGCAGUAAUUCAAAACUUUCUUUCUCACUGAGUGGGUGAAGAUAGUGAGGUUCUCCACCAUAUUGAACCCGUGAAGCUACAUUAGAAGAUCGACUCGUAAAGAUGAUUCUACUUCCAUUCUUGUCAUCCGGGAAUGCAAUUCCCAGCUCAUGCCAUGCCCCGGUGUCCCAUACAUCAUCAAAAACAACAAGAUACCGAUUCUUCAAUAGCUUUUUGCGGAACAUUUCAAGCAAUGCAUGUUCAUCCUUUUGAAAGUCAUCAUCCAUCCUGGAAUGUUUGGCAUCAGAGCACAAAAUUUGUAUUAACAAGCUUUUCAUGUUAAAUUCUUGAGAAACAGUGCACCAAAGACGAAUGUGGAAGUUACAGAUUACUGAACUAUCAUUGUAAACUUUUUUGGCUAAAGUUGUCUUACCAACCCCAGCCAUUCCCACAAUGGGAACAAUUUCCACCUGUUUUGUUCCCCAUAUAAGUCGUUCAAUUACUUUUGCUGCCUCAUCAUCAAGGCCAACCAUGACUUCAUGGGCUAUUGGCAUUUUACCUUUUGAUAGCAUGCGGCCGGAAGUCUUGCUAACUUCUGUUGCUCUUAAGCUAUGAAAGGAAGGAACACUUUCAAUAAUGCUUGAGCCACUGAUCUGAUCCUUAAAAUGCUCGAUACGAAUGUUGGUAUUAGCCAGCAUAUCAUAACAGGCAAAGGCUUCUGUGGAUUUUGAGAAGCUAACUUCUCCUUCUUCCGCUCUGUUUAGAGAAGGCGAGCAAAUUAUAAUGCCUGCCUCACUAAGAAGAGCACCAAUUGUUUCAUUUUGUUCAUCCCUCUUCUCCUGCUGCUCCCUUAAAAUGCUUCUCAAGAACCUCAGUCCUGCAUAGAGUAUUUGCAUUUCAUGUUUCAUAGAAUCCAUGAAGCUAGAGCUGCAGCAUAACAGCUCCCAGAGACAACUUAUGAGAGAAUCAUUGAAGUUGUUCAAUAUCUGCUUAUCCAUCAUUCUAUUAUGCAAUGAUUUUGAGGAUCUUGUAGCUCUAAGAACUUCCAUAUAAAUCUCAUAGACUUGAAAAUCAAUAGGCGUGAUUUUCUGUUGUUGCUCAUAUAUCAUGGAGCAGAACUCAGGAUUGCAGAACGCAUCAUCCCAACAAGAACACAUGUAAGAGAGGCAUGCUGCGUUCAAAGCCACCACUUCAAAGUGAGCCAACAGCAAGGCAGGAAUAUCUACAGUUCCUCGCAAUUUGGCAAAGGGAAUGAAGCUUUUCAAGAAUGUUAGCUUUGCUUCAAGGGCUUGGACUUGAACACUAACUUGGGGAUCCAUUUCAACAAUACACAAAUCGAUAGUUGUUAAAUCCGCUAGAUUUUGCAGAAUGCUGUCUAUAAAUUCCAUUAGUUCAUCAACAGGCAUGCAAGAAUUUGUUUCCAAUGAUUUGCUGCUAGCCAAAGCAAAAUAAACUUGGAUGAUUGCUUGCUUAAAUGAUUUGAUCUGUUUCAAAAAUUUAAAAACCACUUCAUCGCCAACAUCACGUAUGCCACGUGCAUCAGAUUCCAACAUAAGGUAAAGAGAGUGAAUGUCCUCCUCAUAUUUGUUAACGGUAUCUUCAAUGCAAGAUAAAAAAGAUGGAAGACUCACCUCGUUACCAACAUUCUCGGAUUCCAAGUGAAAAUCACUGCCGUAGCUCCAAUUUCUUGCACACAUAACAAAUGUUCUGAGAAAUGUUAUGUUCAGGUACGCAGCUUCAAUUUUGAGAAAUGUUACACCCACGUACGUAUAUCCAAUUUUGCCUGUUCGGAACAUGACAUUGAGGUUGUCCACAAGCAACUUUAGAUCAAGGAAGACACGAUCGACGCUGCAAGUGGAGGCCACGUCCAUCUGUUGUGCAGGGAUUUUUCCUUAGUUUCACUCUCAAAUUUUAAGGGAGAAAAAGAUCUAGCCGACUGCAGAGCAAGCAGCCCGAAAUUUUUUUUCCUAGUGGGAAGGUGAAGAAUGAGAAAUGAGAUAAUAAAUUAUUCAACAGACAAACGGAGCGAGGUCAAGAAAGAACAGAUGAAUCAAAGUUAACGAGAGAGCGGUCAAAUAAUCUGGAAAUGAUCUUGGUUUGAAUAAAGUAAAGAAAUUUUAUUGACUUUUUUUUUUUUGAUACAAUAACUUCCUAUACACUAUGAGGAGGGAAGACUUGAAGAGGUUCUGGGAAACCCGGAGGGGACUGAACCACCACUGGGCGAGACGAGUGAGUUAAGUAAGGCCACAUUUAAUUAUGAUAAAUUAGUCCUUUACCUUACCAAGCCUUAUAGUUUUUUGGAGUUCUUUUUAAAUACUCAUUUCGUUGUUGAGAAAGUGGUCUGGAAUUGCACGUUAACAAAGGUACUGACACUUUUAUAAUUUCGCUCAUUUUGGUAUAAUCAUCGCGUGGUAAAAUGUACUGACUCCCAUUCCCUUUGUACAAUUUUUCCAAAAAACUCAGGGGACGUUUAUGAAAUUAUCCCACUGUACAUUUAUAUUGACUCAAAUUGAAAAUAACUAAAUCAAUAAGGGAAAAACCUUCCGAAAUCUUAAGUGGAAUACGUGCAAGUGGUGGGUCGGGUUUCAUAGAAUUAUUGGGAAUUGUUGUAUUCCAUCCCCACACAAUGAGGUGAACAACUCUUUUGUCUUUUUUCAAAUGAAAAGGAGAGCUACUCAUAAAAUAUGCGCAUUAUCAUAAUGAAUAUAAACGCUAAGAUAAUAAAUAUAAACAGUAAAACGAUAAUGUACAAAAUUAAUUCCUUUGACAAGUGGUGGAAUAUAAGUUGCACUUGGAGACAAAUGCAAGUGGUGGCCUCGGUGCACUUGGGGCCCCUGUUUUUGCAAUAAUUCCACAGUUUAAUAUGUUAAACUUUAUAAUUAAGAAGCCGUGCUUUGAUAGCAGCUGUGGAGCAAGAGUUUGAGUCUUUUAAUUCAUCCGUGUUUAAAAUAUGACAAUUUUGUCAAUUAUGGUUAAGCUAUUACCUUAUUUAGUGUGGGUAUAUUAUUAUUAUUAUUUUUUUUUUUUUUGUCGACGGAGUGGGUAUCCGGGUCAAGUCCGUAAAGGCGGCCCGACUAAUCGAGUGUGGGUAUAUUAGGAAGAACAAAAAAUAAAGAACCAUCAAAAUAUAAAUGAUCCCAGAGGCUUUUAUUGGGAGGAGUAUAGAGAUAUAAAUACAAAUAUAGCUUUAACUGGUUUCUUUUCAUUUUUUUUUUAUUUUAGCAUGAAUCUUCAAGCUAGCUCUCUAGUUUUCUUCAAUUGUUUUCCUUCUCGAGCAAACCACUAAAUUUGAUCACUUUCUCUUCUAAUUCUUUCGUAUUAAUAAUCAUGACCAUUGAUCUUGGAGAUUAAUAACCAUGACCAACAAAGUAAAGAGUCUGAGAAAAAAAAACUUGAGGGCUUCUUCAACCCUUAAAAUUGUGGAAGCAGAGAAUUCGAGAUUUCUACAAUUAUUAGUGUCAAUUAUAUCAUAAAAUAUACGCAUUACUAUAAUAAAUGUAAACUCUAAGAUAAUAAAUAUAAACAGUAAAACAAUAACGUUCAAAAAUUCAUGCUACCGGCGUGCAUUAAUGUUACCAAAAUACUAUAGUCAAAGAAAUGAUUGGAUUAAAGAAGUGGAAAUUUCUACUAGUUAGUAGUAGUAUUUCAUUUUCAAGGGCCCGGACUUAAAUGCACGCUAAUUAUUUGUAUAAAUUUAUUUACUUGUAUUAUAACAAUAUUGUUUAAUCAUAUUUUAUUUCACAUAUAUCACAUUAAAAUAGUCAUACAAUACUUUUAAAAAUAUUAUUCCAAAUAAUCUCAUAUGCGAACACAAGUGUAUGCCCAUUUCAGUGUUACUUGGACCAUUGGAAAUUAAUUUUAGUCUUCUCACUGGUCUUUCUUCCAUAUUCGGGGGGUCCAUUUGGAAAAUGAGAGAGAAGGGGACCGGUUGUUCUUCGGGUCAAGCACGGCAUACCCAUAUUUUUAAAUGUUAGAUAUCAAUUCUUAAAUAUUUUCAAAUGUUGACGAAGAAUUGGUGAUAAUGGUCUCGAGAGUCAGAACCGAAAUGCAUGCUAAACCAAGCAUAUACUGUAUUAGAAAUCAAUUCAACUCUUAACAUUAGUCUUUCUUCCACAUUCGGACGGUCCAUGUGCAAAAUUCGAUAGAUUGAUGAAGACCGGAUACUGUUCUGGUCAAGAAUGGCUACUGGACGGCCGCUUUUCUUGUUCUUUAAUUCAAGCUUUAGCCAUUAUGAGGCAAUGUUUUAGAUGGGAGAAGAUUUCAUUCACAAUGCGUAGCCAUUCUGGUCUUGUGAUUCUAAACUGUUCCAAUUUUUAAUGUGUGACCAACUAUAUUUAGAUUUUUGGGACCCGAACAAUUUUGGGCUAAUUGAUAUAUGUCGCAAGAACAUUUUCAUAUUCUCUUGUGGUUAAAUUCAAUAAUAUUAUACACAGCUAAUGAAUUGAUAAGGCUUUUAUAGUAUUGUAUUUAUCUCUCAGGCAAGACUACAAACGAAUCUCGUAAACCAGCUUUCUAGCAGCAGCGACAACUGCCUCAAUAUUGGCUGGCUGAGCUCAAGCAGUUUGAUCAAAGUAUCAAAUCAAGCAGUUUGAUUAAGAAAAUACUCUUAAACCUCAUGAUAUGUAGACAAACAUUUUAACAUUAAUACUGAUCAUGUAUUUUAAAUUCCUUCAAGAAAAAUAUUAUAAUUAAUAUCUACUUACGUAUGAGCUCAAUUAAUACUUAGGAUCUAUGCAACUGGAGGUCAUCUCCAUCUCUUAUAAUGCAAGGAACUUCCUCAAUUUCACUCUCAAAUUUUAGUGUAGCAUAAGGAGAAAUAUUAACAAAUCUCGCCUUCUCCAGAUCUAGCAAGUAUUUCUUUUGUGGAUGACAGGUGCCGAACCUGUGCAAUAAUAAAUACCUGCUUAAAUAAAAUAUAAUUUCUGUAGAUACUGAUAAGCAGGAUCGAAUCCACAGGGACUGGGGAUAAUUCGUUUCUUUUAAAGUCCAAAGUAUGGGGUUUUUUUUGGAGAAUAUAAAAUAACUAAUUAACUAACUAAUAAAACAACUAAUAGAAAUAAAUAGAAAUUAAUCAAUAACCAAUAUGACUCUAGCCGAAGGUACAACUUUUCAGACACGAUCCAUGCAACUGAUCAUCGACGCAAAGAUAAUUCAAUUACUCAUUAAUAGAUUGGUUAUAGUUGCCAUACACGCGAUGAACAACCAGCCUUUCCUUAAUUUCUCGAUAGUUAAGGUACGACCGUUAACUAUUUCUCUAACCAAGAAAUAACCCUAGGUACGACCAUAAGAUUUAAUUACUUGACUGCAUUAAUAAUUAGAAAAGCCCAACCCUAACCAACAAACACGCUACGAGGGUUUGUUUGAGUUAGAUCAUACGUUUCCCUAACAUGAAACCAAUCACGCUAGUCGCCACAGGUAUUAAUCGAUAGAACAAUUACGGAUUCAAUCAAUUAAUAUGACAGUAGAUUAUUAGGUUAAUUCGAAUAUCGGGCCCUUGACAUUCAAAUAACAAAACAAUCAUAAACAAUUAAAUCAGGAAACGUACAAAUACCAAUAAAUAAAAGAAAUAAAUAAAAUAAUUAGAUCUCACAGAUGUUCGGAACCGAGUUCUCAAAUUGACCUUCGACUAGAAAAACUUAGCCACGCCUCAUGAGAAAAUCUCCACGUAAUUUAAUUGAGGUCUAGGCCAUCAAAGGAACCAAGAAAGAAUAAAACUAAACUAUGCUAAAAGCUGUCCCCAGCCUUUCUUACGAUUGUCCCUUUUAAAGCCAAAAGAAAACAUGAAACAAUGCUAUCUAUCUAGUGACUGAAUUGAGAGUCCAAGGGCCAUAGAAUUGGAGCUCUGCCAAAGUCCUUGUUUUUAGUUUCCUCUUACCCCUAAGACUCCUAGUACAAGUCCACCCUUUUCAGCAUAAAGAUAGGAAAUCCCUUUUCGUAGCAUCCUGUGGAGCCCGGCUUGUAUUUCCUUUUAGAACUUCCCAUGUGUGGAGUGUUUAUCUCAAUAAAGUCUCCUUUUUAGCACUUGUUUGCUCCACUUCCUGUAAUUAGGGCCAAAUACCAAAUAUAAGUAUAUUUCAAUUAUUAAAACAAUAUUUGACAAGAACAAAGAGGGAAAUUAACCAUAAAAUUAACAACAAAUUAUGCCCUAUCAGUGGAAUAUUUAAUUAUUCAACAAACAACUGGAGCAAGAAAAAAAGAUUAACAAGUAACAAUAUGUAGCGGUGACAAUAGUGUAGGAAUUACUAGAAAGUCACAUCUCGGUUUGGAAAAGCAAAGAAUUUUUUUAUUCGUUACUUUAUGAUUUUUGAAUGAAUUAUUUCACUCUCAUUUUGUAGCUAAGAAACACCAGUGUCGGCAUUGUCCACUAAGAAAGGGACCCUACACCUAGACACUUUAUAUUUAAUUUAAAAAAUUUUUGCUUUCCAUAAGGUAAGACUUUCUUGGAAUUUUCGAGAGAAAAAGAGCAUAUAAGGGGCCCAAAAAAAAAGAAAGGAAAAAUUAAAGUUGAAGAGAAAUUUUUGUUGUCACGAAAAUAGUUUCUUUCAUUUUCAAGUGAAAGGGAAAAAGAGAAUGAUAAUUUAUAAUUAGUCAUCUAUGUUAGCUUUAUUUCGCUUUUUUUUUCUUUUUGUUGAAAAUUCAAGCAUUGUUGUUCAACAUGCAUGCUCCAAAAAUCAAUCUUAUAAUCCAAAAUCAAUAGCUAGUUUUUAUUUUCAAAAGAAAAUAGUAAAUUGACUUCAAUGGAGAUUUUAGUUUGAUGGAAUCUUUGACUUGGGUUUAAAUUAAUUGCUAACAAAGGCCUUAAGCCAGUGAUGGAGCCAGGAUUUUUUCCUUGGGGGGAACCAAAAAUUUUUCGAACAAAAUUAUCUUAAUAUGUUAUGUUCAAACUAAUUUUCAUUUAUUUAAAUAUAUGACAUCUUAAAAUAUCAAAUUUUAAUUUUAAUUAUAAAGGUAUGUCUAUUCCAUAAAUAUGUAGUAUAGUCAUAACUUAAAUUAAGAUAAGAAAUAACAUUUGAUUAAAUAUCUUAUAACAUCACAAACCACUUAAGUUGCACAUUAUGAGAAGAUGCUCCAAUAUGCCACUUGUGCAAAAACAAAAAUAUAACUAUGUAAUAUAAAUAUAAUUAUUUUCAAUUAAAAAAAGAUAAAAGUUAUGUUAAUAUACCUUGAAAUUUCAUCCUCUUUUAUUAAAAGUAAAUUGAGAUUUACGUUCUUUCAUAGAACUAAAUUCAUCUCUAAUUGAAUCAAUGAUAAUUUUUCGAACAACUUCCUUUUUUUAUGUACAUUGUUAGGCAAUCAUUUAAGAAAUGGUCUUUUAUCUUGUUUUGGAGUUUUAUUUUGAUUAUUUUCAUAAUUGAAAAUGCCAUUCUAUAGACUAUAAAACAGAUUCAGGAUUUUUUCCUCGGGAGAGGGGCCAAAAUUUUUCUGAACAAAAUUAUCUUAAUAUGUUAUGUUCAAAAUAAUUUUCAUCUAUUUAAAUAUAUGACAUCUUAAAAUAUCAAAUUUUAAUUUUAAUUAUAAAGGUAUGUCUAUUUCAUAAAUACGCAGCAUAUUCAUAACAAAAAUUAGGAGAAAAAAUAACCUUUGAUUAAAUAUCUUAUAACAUAACAAACUACCCAAAUUGUACAUUAUAAGAAGAUGCUUUAAUAUAUCAUUUGUGCAAAAAUAAAAAUAAAAAUAUAACUAUACAAUAUAAUAUAACUAUUUUUAAUUAAUAAAAGAUGAAAGUUAUGUUAACAUACCUUAAAAUUUCAACCUCUUUUCUUAAAAGUAAAUUGAGUUUUACGUUCUUUCAUAGAACUAAAUUUAUCUAUAAUUGAAUCGGUGCUAAAUUUUGAUCAUUCUUUUUUUUAUGUACAUUGUUAGACAAUCAUUCAAGAAAUUAUCUUUCAUCUUGUUUUGGAGUUUUGUUUUGAUUAUAUUCACAAUUGAAAAUUUACGUUCUAUAGUUGCAGUUAAUAUAGAAAGAGUGAGAACAAAUAUAAUCAAUCUGCCAAUAACAGGAUAUACCACUCGAUUUCUUGUCUUCACCAAACUUUCAAGUAAUUAUUUGAUAUUUGUAUAUGAGUCAACAAGAGGCUAGAUCACUAAUUUUAAAUUUUUUAUCAAAUAGGCUAAGGUGUAUAUUUGUAUAUGGGCCAAUAAAGUAAUUAUUUUUAUUUUAGCCCAUUGAUAAUUAUGAAUUGAGACUUUUGUUGCAACACAUCAAAUUGGGUCAAUUUACUAUGGAUCAUCAAAUUAUAUGUUUAAUUUUUUGAAUGUUAAAUAAUUAGUACAAUAAAAAAUAAAUAACUUUUUUUGAAGAAAAAAUUAAAUCAAAAGGUGGCUAAUUCAUACAUACACAGAUAUAUAUAUAUAUAUAUAUAUAAACUCUCAUAAUAUAAACUAAAAUUAUAAAAAAUUGGGGGGACAAUUUUAACUUAUAUAUAUAUUUACAUAUUAUGAAUUAAAAUUUUCAAAACUUAAGGGGCCAUGGCCCCCCUUGGCUCCAUCAUUGCCUUAAGCCAUGAAAAAAGAGUAAAGAGGAGUCAACAUCAGUCCAUGAUUACGUUUCACGAUCGGCGUCCUUUUCGCCUAAUAGAUUUAUAACCCGAACCAGUUCUAUUGGUUCGACAAAAAAUUAAAUCAUAACAUUGUCCACGGUCGUAGAGUAUAGAGCUGCUCACAAAUCGAGCCAAUCGUGACUCGAGUUCGGUCAAUAGCGAGCUCGACUCGAGCUCAAACUAAUUAAGUCGAGAUCGAGUUCUAGUUAAUCAACUCGAGCUCGAGGUUAAAAAUAUUAAGUUCAUUGGUUCACAAGCUCGAUUAUGUAUAUAUAUUUUUUAUUUUAAUAGUAAAAUUACAUAUAUAUUUCUAAUAUUUUAUUAUUUGUUAAAAAUUAUUAUUUUAUUCAUUUUUAAAAAUAAAAUAAUUAUUUUUUAUUUUUUAAAAAUAAAAUAAAAUAAUUAUUUUUUAUUUUUUAAAAAUAAAAUAAAAUAAUUAUUUUUUAUUUUUUAUUUUUUAAAAAUAAAAUAAAAUAAUUAUUUUUUAUUUUUCAAGCUGGAGCUCGAGCUUGACAUUUUGAGCUCGUCAAGCUCGAGUGUCAUAAAAUUAACUAGAGGCUUGGCUCGAUUAGACCAAAACUCGAUUCGGUUCGGUUCGUUUGCACCCCUAGUCGAGUAUUCGAAUGACUGGGUAUUUGGCAAAGCAGUUUAUGGACCUGAAGGUACUAGACUCGAUACCAAAGUUAAAAAAAGAAAUCAUAUUUUCAUAAUUGAGAAUUAGAAAAUAAUUAAACACCUAAAAUACUUUAUUUAAAUAUAAUUCAUUAUUUGUUAAGAAAGAUCGCAUAACCAUCAAUACUUGCAUAUUCAUAGUAAAAACAAGUUUGUAAAUAUCACUUAUUCUCAACAACAAAAGCUAAAUAUAUUAUAUAAUUAGCAAGUUAAAUAAGUUGAGACUUUUAUAUUGUUGAGAUAGUCAAGUAUAUCGUCUCAAAUAUAAAUAUUUGAUGAAAGAAGAUUAUGUAUUCCUCUAUUAAUUUUAGUUUUCAUGGACAAAAUUGUAAGUAUAUCCUUACAUAUGAAUUGGGUCAGGCAUAUGCAAUUUUCGAAGCCUUUGAAUUGCGACAGAAUGUUCUCGAACUACACAUAUUAAAAACCGAUUCAAGUAUCCUAAAUUUGCGGUUCAGAUCGAAUCAAUGUUUGCGAUUUUUUGGGUUUCUCUAAUCAAAAUAAACAACGUGUGUUACGUAAAAUUGCAAAUCUAUAUUACUAACAAUCAAACAAAAAUUUAUUCCUAUCAUACUCUACCAUGAGUAAAUUCCCAAAAAGAGAGAGUUUUCAAACUAACUUCCCAAAGGGUGGCAAUUUUUGAAUCUCUUCCCAAAAGGUGAAAAACGCAUCCAAGGAAUGCAUUCUUCCAAAUAAAAACGUAAUUUUCAAAUACGUUAUUUUAACUUUCAUAAAUUUAUUUAAAUAGGGAAAAUUGGUUAAAUAACACAUUAGUAGAAUGCAUUUUUUGAUGUCACCGAAAAAACACAUUUCAGAAAUGCACUAUUUUGUAUAAAAACUCAUUAGACGAAUGCGUUUUUUGUUUAUCAAUCUGUACCACUUUUUUUCAUUUCUUUGAUCUUGACUUGGGUUAUGUACGGUUUUUUUUUGAAAAAAAUUAUCUUAUUAUUUUAUCGAAGUUAUUGUUAAUUUAGCUCACUAACACAUGUCAAGAUCCAAAAAAUGGUUAUUUCAUAGUUGUUAUUAAUUUAUCUGGUAUAGAUUUCAUUUUAAGUUUGCAAAAGACUUAAAGGUUUUGAACUUUGGAUUUUACAUACGUAUGCACAUAUUUUGUAUCUCAAAUGUUGGUAAUUUGUCUUAAAAAAUCUUAACACUUUUUGUAAAGAAAAUUUUACGAUUCGUAAAAGGUUAAUCCUAAAUGUUUAGUGUAAAAAUAUGAUGGCCCUAAAUGAGUUAGAACAAUCACAUAUCUUGAAAACUUGAAACAAAGGAAAAAUUCCAGAACUCCUCUGAGAUUUCUGACACUAGCACUCACCUCUUCUAUGGUUUAAGAAAUAGCAGUAACCUCCCUUAAACUUACUGAUUCUAUUGCAUAUUCAGUCCAAACUAGAAAAAGUGUCAUUAAAAUAUUGUUUUAAAGAGUGAGAUCAGAAAUUUGUACCAGAUUUGCCCUUUGUAUUACCAAAGUAGUAUUAGCAAAGGAAUGACAAAGUACUACAAAAUAAUUAACAAUUAAUAAAUUUCAGGCGGUAUAGUUUAUGGGCAAAUGGGCAUUACCUAUUCAAAAUACUAGAUGUUUUGUAGAUAUUUUAUUCUCAAACAUUCAAUUUAUAAUAAAUAUAUAAAUAUUUUUAAGUAAAAUUCAAAAAGUGUUACAGUAAUUUCUUGCCAAAAAAACUAGUAGGUUAUCUAUUUAACAUAAAUUAAAUAUUUUUUAAAAAAGAAAUAUCCCAUAAAGUACCAACUCUUUAUGGCUUUUCUCUAUUAUAUGAACCAAGUACUAGGUUUUUAUGGACAUUUUGUUCUGAAUCAUUUAAUUUAUGCUAAAUAUAUUUGCAAAUAAAAUUCAAAAGCCGUUACACAAAUAUUUUUACGAAAGGAAAACUAGCAUGUUUUGGAUUUAAUAUAAAUGAAGUAUUUGAAAGUAAAAAAAAAAAUAUCCAUAACAUACCAGUUCUUUACGAGUUUCUUCCAUUAUUUUACUUUGAAUCAUUUAAUUUAUAUUAAAUACAUAAAUGUUUAUAAGUGAAAUUCAAAAAGUGUUACACUAAUAUUAUUAUGAAAGAAAAACUAGUAGGUUUUGUAUUUAAUAUAAAUUAAAUAUGUGAAAGUAAAAAAAGAAAUUACCUACUUUUUGCUAGCUCUUUACGGGUUUCUUUUAUUAUAUGAAUAAAGUACUAGCUAUUUAUACGCAUUUUACUCUGAAUCAUAUAAUUUAUGUUAAAUACAUAAAUGUUUGUAAGUAAAAUUUAAAAAGUAAUAUACUAAUAUUUUUACGAAAGGAAAACUAGUAGGUUUUGUAUUUAACAUAAAUUAAAUAUGUGAAAGUAAAGAAAAAAAAGAAGAAAUUGCCCAUAACAUAUCAGCUCUUUAUGAAUUUUCUUUAUUACACGAACAAAGUAAGAGCUAUUCGUGAGCAUUUUACUCUGAAUCAUUUAGUUUAUAUUAAAUAUACAAAUGGUUGUAAGUAAAAUUCAAAAGUAUUACACUCAUAUUUUUACGAAAGGGAAACUAGUAGGCUUUGUAUUUAACAUAAAUUAAUUAUGUGAAAGAAAUACUCGCAAGUAAUUUAAUUAGUUUAAUUAGUUAUUUAAUUAAAUGCAUCCAUUUCAUAAACCCUAAAUUCGAAAUUUCAAGUAUUACCUAACAAUAUGCCUAAUUAGCUCGGCAGUCUCCCAAUCACCACCCUUGCUCUUACGCUGGUUGCGAAUGCGGGAUAAGAUGUCCGAAAAAAUUGAAUGGGUGAAAGAGAGUAUUGGAGGCACGUAUUGGGUUAAAUUGGCUUCACCCAAAAGCCUAUGUUUUAGUCGACUUUCAUUCACAACUAGUUUUGUACCCAUUCGUUGAAUGGAAAUUAUUUAAAAAUAAUAAAUUAUUUAGUGUAGUUCAUAAAAAUAUUUUCAUAAAAUACAAACUUAUUGUAUAAUCUAUUAUAACCUUUCUUAAAUACAUUGUUAUUAAAAAUUAGUCUUAUAAUGUAUAUUUAAACAUCUAAUUCAGUGAUUAAUAAUUCAAAAUGCAAAAAAAAAAAAUCGACAAUAUGAUGACGUUAAAAAACUUGAAAAUAGGGAAGAUCAAAUUUUGGCUGAUCUUCUGUAAACAAAAGAAUGGCCAACCCGUUACCAAAACAUCAAAUUUGGUACUUAAUAUAAAUGGCUUAAAGGUUAAUGUGAAAAGAAAAGAAACCGAGUGAAAUAUUAAUAAAAGAUAAUAAUUCAGAAUCAAUCAAGUCACAGGAACAUAGCAACCUUCUAAAUCUGUUCAUGGCUAAUAGAAACCAAAACGAAAACAUAAGAUGUAUUUUGCUAUUAAGUCAAAAACAUAAAAAAUCUAAAUAGUCUGAUGUAUAUUGCAUGACGUGAACUGCUGUAUGACAAUGAACUUGAUGUCUUGCCAUUUAUGUAACUAAUGACACCUUUUUAGGAAAGAUGACUUUAUUAUAUAUAUAUAUGAUUUAUUAAGAAUCCUAUUAGGGGGUUAAAAAGAUAAGUGACAGGUGCCGAACCUGUACAAUAAUAAAUACCUACUCGAGAAAAAUACAGAUUUUGUAUAUAGCGGUGAGUAGGGUCGAAUCCACAGGGACUGAGGAUAAUUCGUUUCUUCUAGAGUCCAAAGUAUGGGGGGUUUUGGAUUAAAUGCUAACUGAAUAAAUUAACUGCAGAAAAUAAUUAAUUAAAAGAAAUGAUUGGGGAAACUCUAGCCAAGGGUACACAUCAGAAAUGGUUCAUGCACUGAUCAUUGAUGCAGAAAUAAUUCCAACAUUUAGCAAUAGAUUAGUUAUAGUUGUCAUGCACGCGAUAAACAACCAACCCUUCCUUAAUUUCUCGAUAGCUAAGGUACGACCUUAGCUAUUUCUCUAACCCAAAAAUAACCCUAGGUACGACCGUAGGAUUUAAUUUCUAGAUUGCAUUAAUAAUUAGAAAGGUCCAAUCCUAACCAACAAACACGCUACGAGGGUUUGUUUAAAUUAGAUCAUAUGCUCCCCUGACAUAAACCCAAUUACGCCAGUUGCUACUGAGGUAGAGAUAACGAACAAUUACGGAUUCAAUUACCCCUAUUUAGCAAAAAUAGCCUAUAUGAAUAAUUAAUUAUUGCGCACUAAUCAAUCAUACACAAGGCCAUAGCAAUUAAAAUCAAGGAACAUAUAAAUACCAAUAAAUGAAGAAAAUGAUUAAAACAGAUUCGAUCUCACAGUAAUUGUCGAACCAAAUCGUCAGUUGUCCCCUUGACUAGAAAAGCUUAACCACGCCUCAUGAGAAAAUCUCCCCGUUGGGGAAUAUUGUCGAAUACCUGGCGUGUGUCAGAGGCCAGUCCAAAGAAAGAAAACUAGAACUAAACUAAAAAAACUAAAACUAAAGCCCUCGAUAUCUUUUGCUUCUGUACGUUGUCCCCUUUUAAAGCAACAAAAGAAAGAUGACUAAAAGCUAUCUAGGUGGUCCCCACACAUGUGGACAAAGCCUCCCAAGUACUUCUUGUUCCAAGUCUCUCUACGUUGCUUUCUUUAAAGCCCAAAUGACCAAAUGCCUUUCACUAGCUUGUGGUCCCCCACCAAUUCAAGGGCCCAAGGAUUGAAAUCCUUAGAAGUCUCCAUAUUUUUCACAAAAUCCCUCCUUUUUGGUAGUUUUCUGCUUCAUUCCUGAAAUUGAUUCCAAAUACCAAAUAUGAGUAAAUAUCAGCAAUUAACACAAUAUUUGUCAGGGAUAGAAGGGAAAAUUAAUAAUAAAAAUACUAACAAAUUAUACCCUAUCAAUUCCCCCCACACCUGAAUCAUGCUUGCCCUCAAGCAUAAGAACAGCAAUUGAACACCAAAAUUUUGACAAUGGCUAUUGCUCUAACUAUCAUAUUGCCAAGAUACCCAGAAAAACAUAUAUCAAGCAUCAUAGUUAAGAUCCAAGAAAAAUCACUCCGGUUAGCUUCCCAACCACCAACUUUUCCAAUUUAAAGCAAACUAAUCUAAGAAAAAGGAAUGGUUGCUCACAUUUAUCAGCAAAUGAUCCAACUAUUAACCAAAAUCUCGACAUUAAGAUCACAAACUGGCAAGCUGACUUAUUCACAUACUAACACAAUCUUUAUUUUUUUCUUUUUGUUUUUUGUUUUGUUUUUUUUUUUUUUGAAGGAACAAAAGACUUAGUCUAUAGCCCUUAGAACUUUUUGACGCGAACUCCAACAUUUGACAGAUGGAAGAGCCCGGUUACUCAGCUCUAAUUGCUACGGGACCGCGCACUCAUAGCAACUACUACCUUUUGACGCGAAAAUCAACACUUUAGGUGAAGAUUCCCGGUUACUCAGUAGUAACCACUAGCGGAGUACAGUCAACUCUUAUUUACAACCAUAUAGCACAAUAACUAAAAAUGACACAAAAUAACAGCAGCCAGCCUCAAAUUUCCAAAUAUGGAGAACUAAAAUUAAUAAUUGGACCAAUUCACAUGAAAAAUGCCAACAAUCAUUCCCUAUGCCUAGGAAAGUUAACCAAAAAUUAUAAGAGUAAAACAAUCAUCGAUAUUCACCAAAGAGAUAUUUUUGGACUCAACCAUAUUAACUUAAUACCCUUUUAUUAUUAAAAUUUGGCAAUAGCAGAAAUAGAGGCAACAAUCCAACAUCAAAUUUUGGCAUGCACUUACGAGCCAAUCACUAAAAAGAAGAAAAUGAAAAUGAACGAAAGAUACUAGCACCAUAACUGCUCCCCCCACACCUAAAUCCUACAUUGUCCUCAAUGGAGGAAUUAAAGCAAUUAAAGUGAAGAGGACAACGAAACUUCCCUCUUUGAGUGGCCAAGAGGUAGGCGGGGACGGUGGAGGAAACCAAUGUGGUGGAAGUACGCGCCCAAGUUCUGAGACAUCAUACUCAAUUCAACCAGCAAAUGCAAAACUCUGUCCUCCCAAAAUCUCAACAAAUAGCUCCAGUUGGCCAGUUAAUGCCUUAACUCAGAAUCAGAAAUUUCAACAUUGAGAGUUUAGGUAUUUGACAAUAACAAUUCAGUCACAAGUUCUUGGCUGUCAAUUAGACAGCCAAUCAGAUGGAAUUACCAAAUCUAGUCAAAAUACCCCAACCAGUACCAUUGGUGCACCCCACAGAUAAUGAAGCAACUUAAAUGGCAAACCCAAUCAACAAAAUGUACAUGUGAGGCACCCAAGGUCUAUACAAAUGUCACAUACAAAGCAGCGAUUGCAAUCAAUAAUCAGUAGUGGUCCUAAUUUACUCAAAUGCAGAAUUAAUGCAGCCCAACAAUUCAACUGGAUGUACCCACCUUGACAAGCAAAGCAAGUGGCACAGGUUUCCCAAGUCAACAGGCAAUUCAGAGAUAACUCAACCGAAAUCACAGUAGAAACUUCAAUUAAAUACACUCAACAUGAAUAAGCCAAGCAAGUGUCAUAGAAACUCCCCAAUUCAACAAGCAAUCACAGUAUUUCAACUCACCCAAAAACUCAACAAUUCCACCCAAAAGUUGAACAAAUGCCCCCAGCGGUGAGCCUCAAGAAGUGAACAAGUCAAGCAAUAGUAGUGGAAAACUUUGACAUUAACAACUGAAUCUCAAACCCCCAGCAUUUCAACUAGAUGCACUGAACUGGAAUAAGCAAUGUAGAGGGUAUAGAAGCCUCCCAAUUUAACAAACAAGUGCAAUAUUGCAGCUCACCCAAAUACUCAACAAAUGGCUCCAGUUGGCCAGUAGAAGUCGCAACACAAAAUCAGCAAUUUCAAGGAUAACAGCUCAGGGCUUGGACAAUAAUCACUUAGCCAACCAAAUAGAAGUACCCAAUUGAGGUCCAAUCACCCCACCAGUACCACUGGUGUAGUAAACUAUGGAAGAGAAAUCACACACCACCAAUAUCAGGCCACCGACAAACCAAAAUAACAAUUAACCCUGCUCAUAAUUGAGAAUCGCAACAAUCAAAACACAAGCAAAGCUGCCUCCCAAUUAGCAAAAGACAAUUUCACGAAUCCAGCCCACCCAAAAAUUAGCAAUUUCAAUGAUAACAGCCCAGAAAGUUGUCAAUAAGAACUCCGCCAAACAACUAGGGGUAAACAAAUUCAAUUGAAAAUAUUCCCUCCAGUACCACUGGGGGUAAAAACGUAGGCCAAAAUCAAUGAAACGUCAAUCGCAACAAAUCGCUUCAGGUGGCCAGUUAAUGCACAAUUGCACCCAACCCAAAAGAAGUAAUAAAUUCAAGUGAAAAUACCCCAACCAGUGCCUUCCCCCCCCCCUUUUUUUUUUUUUUUUUGGAAUGAAAGAGUAAAUGUACAACUCAAUCAACCGAAUUCGCAGUGAUAGUUCCAAAAGUCAGCAAUUCAAGCCCAAGCUUUCAGUGAAGAAAGGACGAAUUAAUCAGUGAAGAAAGGAACCCCAAACUUCCAGCUCCCAAUUAAGCAGCAAAUAAGAGAGGACGAAUCUAUAGUAGCCACAAGAAAUGACGCCCAAUAGGUAUACCACACAAGUGAAGAAAUAAACUCCAACAGCCACAAAUACCAAUUGUGGAAAAUCCUUAACAGCACCAAUCAAUGUUAGAAAUUGGGGGAUAAAGUCCAAAUACCUCUGCUAGGACCUCGGCAGUAGGCGGACAGAGGAGCUGUAGUGGUGGCGGGCAAGCUGGAGUUUGAGCAGGCGGCGGCGCGCAGCUCAGCGGAGAGGGGCGCCAAGCUGGUGGAGGUGAGCUGAAGUGCAGCUCGUUCGCCAAGUGGAGAGAGAGCAGAGGGGGAGCUGGGUGGCAGUUCGCGGAGCUUGGGCGAACUGUUGGUGGCGCGAGCUCAGGAGGCAGCGACGCGCUUGGAGUUGCGCGCGGAGAUGUGGCGAGCUGGUGGAGCUGUUGGCGGUGGAAGCUGAACUCACGGCGAGAGGAGAGUUAGCUGGCGGUGCAGAGUUGGUGGUGAACAGCAGCGGAGAGAGAGGUGAGAGAGCGCAGGGGGCUGGUAGAGGUCCCCUGCUUGUGCGCACGAUGCAGCGCGGCGUGUUGCGGACGAAGCUGGGGAAGAGCUUGCGGAGGAAGCGCAGGUGGAGAUGGCGCAACGGGCUCGCAGGGGAGAGGGCUGCGCGCGAGGGCUGCAGCGUUGCGGGUAGCGCGCGAGGAAGCUCCUGGUCGCGUGCGGCGUGGUGGUCAGCGGAGCGCAGGUGGGGCGCGACUUGGUGCUGGUAGCGGCGCGCCGUGGAUGAUGAAGAGGAGGAGGUGCUGCGUGGGUGAGGUUGUGGCGCAGUAGCGGCGGAUGAAGGAAUAGAAGGAAAAGGGGAAACAGGGGAGCGGUGGAGAAGAAGAAGAAAAAGAAAGAAAGAAAGAAAGAAGAAGAAAAGAAAGAAAGAAAAAGAAAAUUUUUUUUUUUUUUGGGAUUUUUUUUUUUUUUUUAAAUUGAAUUGAGAUUGGAAAAUUCGAUUUUUGAAUACCAAAACUGAAAAUGAAAAAGGAAAUUACUGUUAUUUAAAGAAAGAGGGAAAAAAAUAUUUUUUUUUUAUUAUUAUUUUUUUUGAAAGUGAAAAAUUAUUUCCUUUGUUUUUGGGUCGUCAAACACCGCGUGGGCACGCCAAGAUUGGUCUUCGUCCUCUGACCUCAGGAGACGCAAACACCGCGUGGGCACGCCAAGACUUCACUUCCUGAUAACAGUGGAGGAAAUAUGAAAACCAAUUACUACUCAAUCGAGAAACGAAAAACGAAAGAAAUGAACAACAAAAAAUAAUAAAAUCAAUAUUUGGGUUGCCUCCCAAAAAGCGCCUUUCUUUAAUGUCUUUAGCUAGACAUUAUCAUGUUUUGCUCAUGGAGGAUAAAAUCUUGUGGCUCGCUUCAAUGUUUCAUCUUCAAUGUGAUCCUGGUAACCCUCAUAGAUGGAGUAAUUCUUGAGUACACGAGCUACAGUCUUCCAUGGACCAGUAGAUUGCGCCAAACAAUCAAGCAUUGAUCGCAAUUCUUCAUCCACUCCUCCAUCAAGAGCAUUCAACGGUUCAAGAUAUUUUUCCAUUACCACUCUUAACUUAUUCCUGUCAUGAAAUUUCAAAUUUUCUGAUAUAAUAAAAUCAAUUUCAGUAACAGGAGUUGAAGAAUAGGAGUCAGGAAAAUAUUGAUUAAGGAGUGGAGAAGAUGUCACCGCAUUUGGAGAUUGUCCACUGGAUUCAUUCACUUGGAUGGGUUGCGGUUGGGGUUCCAUUUCUUCAUUUUCGGCUUCUUUUUCAACUGCAUCUGUAGAUCUCUCAUUUUGACACUCUUGCAUCUCCUCAUCACUAGUCAAGCAAAUUGCACUCUUAUUUUCUUCAAAAUCAACAAUGGUUUUCGAGGGCAAUUCUUCAAUUUGAGAAGCCACCAAUCGAUUUAUUCUGGAUGUCAAUAGACAUAUUUGAUCUUCCAGAUUACUCAUUGCAUCCUUCAUCAUCUCAUUUCUCAUUCGUGUCUCCUGUUGGAAUUGAUAUGUAUUAGUAGCUAAUGAUUCAACUAUUUCUUCAAGAGACAUACCUGACAUAGAUGAUAAUUCUGGAGACUCAUACUGCUGAAAAUUCAUUGGCCCUGUUGUAUAAUCAUAACUGGAGUUAUCCCACCAUCCUUGAUCAUACCCGUUUGGAUUAGAGUCAUACCACGUUUGAGACCAGGGUGAAAAAUCUCCAUAAUUAUUGAGGGGGACACUCAGAUUAUCUUGAUAUUCGGGGCACAUACCGGUUGAAUGAUCCCUGGCAUAACAAAUUUUACAGGUUGCAGCAGCCAUUCUUUCUCUAAUAGAGUUCAGUGCCUCUGAAUAUGUAAACUUAGAAAAGAAACUAGUCUCAUCGCCUUCCCCGGAAACAAAAUCCAUUAGAUCACCAAAAUACGGAGUGUUAGAAGCCAUAAGCUAUAUAUAAAAAAAAAUAAAAAAAUAAAAAAAUAAAAAAAUAAAAAAAUAAGAGAAAAAUAAAUUAAAAAUGAAAACAAGGUGAACUCAAAAAGAAACAAAUUAAUCUGACACCAGUCCCCGGCAAUGGCGCCAAAAAUUGACAGGUGCCGAACCUGUACAAUAAUAAAUAGCUACUCGAGAAAAAUACAGAUUUUGUAUAUAGCGGUGAGUAGGGUCGAAUCCACAGGGACUGGGGAUAAUUCGUUUCUUCUAGAGUCCAAAGUAUGGGGGGUUUUGGAUUAAAUGCUAACUAAAUAAAUUAACUGCAGAAAAUAAUUGAUUAAGAGAAAUGAUUGGGGAAACUCUAGCCAAGGGUACACAUCAGAAAUGGUUCAUGCACUGAUCAUUGAUGCAGAAAUAAUUCCAACAUUUAGCAAUAGAUUAGUUAUAGUUGUCAUGCACGCGAUAAACAACCAACCCUUCCUUAAUUUCUCGAUAGCUAAGGUACGACCGUUAGCUAUUUCUCUAACUCAAAAAUAACCCUAGGUACGACUGUAGGAUUUAAUUUCUAGAUUGCAUUAAUAAUUAGAAAGGCCCAAUCCUAACCAACAAACACGCUACGAGGGUUUGUUUAAAUUAGAUCAUAUGCUCCCCUGACAUAAACCCAAUUACGCCAGUUGCUACUGAGGUAGAGAUAACGAACAAUUACGGAUUCAAUUACCCAUAUUUAGCAAAAAUAGCCUAUAUGAAUAAUUAAUUAUUGCGCACUAAUCAAUCAUACACAAGGCCAUAGCAAUUAAAAUCAAGGAACAUAUAAAUACCAAUAAAUGAAGAAAAUAAUUAAAACAGAUUCGAUCUCACAGUAAUUGUCGAACCAAAUCGUCAGUUGUCCCCUUGACUAGAAAAGCUUAACCACGGCUCAUGAGAAAAUCUCCCCGUUGGGGAAUAUUGUCGAAUACCUGGCGUGUGUCAGAGGCCAGUCCAAAGAAAGAAAACUAGAACUAAACUAAAAAACUAAAACUAAAGCCCUAGAUAUCCUUUGCUUCUGUACGUUGUCCCCUUUUAAAGCAACAAAAGAAAGAUGACUAAAAGCUAUCUAGGUGGUCCCCACACAUGUGGACAAAGCCUCCCAAGUACUUCUUGUUCCAAGUCUCUUUACGUUGCUUUCUUUGAAGCCCAAAUGACCAAAUGCCUUUCACUAGCUUGUGGUCCCCCACCAAUUCAAGGGCCCAAGGAUUGAAGCCCUUAGAAGUCCCCAUAUUUUUCACAAAGUCCCUCCUUUUUGGUAGUUUUCUGCUUCAUUCCUGAAAUUGAUUCCAAAUACCAAAUAUGAGUAAAUAUCAGCAAUUAACACAAUAUUUGUCAGGGAUAGAAGGGAAAAUUAAUAAUAAAAAUACUAACAAAUUAUACCUUAUCAAUAAGGAUGAGAAUCUUAGUUUUGUACCCAUUCGUUAAAUGAGAAUUGUCUAAAAAUAAUAAAUUAUUUAGUGUAGUUCAUAAGAAUAUUUUCAUAAAAUACAAACUUAUUGUAUAAUCUAUUAUAACCUUUCUUAAAUACAUUGUUAUUCAAAAAUAGUCGUAUAAUGUAAAUUUAAACAUCUAAUUCAGUGAUUAAUAAUUUGAAAUGUAAAAAAAACCGACAAUACGAUGACAUUCAAAAACUUGAAAAUAGGGAAGAUCAAAUCUUGGCUGAUCUUAUGUAAACAAAAGAAUGGCCAACCCGUUACCAAAACAUCAAUUAUGGUACUUAAUAUAAAUGGCUUAAAGGUUAAUAUGAAAAGAAAAGAAACUGAAUGAAAUAUUAAUAAAAGAUAAGAAUUCAGAAUCAAUCAAGUCACAUGAACAUAGCAACCUUCUAAAUCUGUUUAUGGCUAAUAGAAACCAAAACGAAAACAUAAGAUGUAUUUUGCUAUUAAGUCAAAAACAUAAAAAAUCUAAAUAGUCUGAUGUAUAUUGCAUGACGUGAACUGCUGUAUGACAAUGAACUUGAUGUCUUGCCAUUUAUGUAAUUAAUGACACCUUCUCCUUCUUUAGAAGCUUUCUAUCAAAGUCUAAAAAAAAACCAUUGAAAACUGCACAAAAUUUUUUUAACCCCAAAAAUCCAGAAAAUAAUGUACACCUUCUUAGCUCGGCAGUCUCCCAAUCACCACCCUUGCUCUUACGCUGGUUGCGAAUGGGGGAUAAGAUGUCCGAAAAAAUUGAAUGGGUGAAAGAGAGUAUUGGAGGCACGUAUUGGGUUAAAUUGGCUUCACCCAAAAGCCUAUGUUUUAGUCGACUUUCAUUCACAAUAGCAGCAAUGAUGUCCGAAGCAUGUGGGAUCCUAAUUAAAGUUGGGAUUAAUCCUACCAAGAGUGGUCCAGACGGAACAGCCCCCUCUCUAUUAUACAUUUAUAUUGCCUCAAAUUGAAAGUAACUAAAUUAAUAAGGGAAAAAAACCUGGGCCGGAAAAAAAAAUCCUUGCGAAAUCUAAAGUGGAAUAUAAGUUGUAUUGGCAGACACAUGCAAGUGGUGGGCUCAGUGCUUCUGAACCUUUGACAAGUAGUGGGUCCGGUUUCAUAGAAUUAUUGGGAAUUAUUGAAUUCCAUUCCCACACAUUGGGGUCCCUGUUUUUGCAAUAAUUCCACGGUCUUUUCACGAGGCUAAAAGAAAAAACUGACAAUUUCCUCAUCUACCUUUUCUUUAAUUUUCAAUUGAUUCAUUCUUUCUGUCUUUCUUUCCUUUUUUUUUUUUUCAAAAUUCAAGUAUUGUUGUUCAAUAUGUUUACAUUCUAUAUAAUGCUACAAACACAUUUUUCUAAAAAUAAUUUUCUUCUUCUUCCUUAUUAGAUUUAGAAUUUUCACUGAAUUAAAAAUAAAAAAAUUUAAAAAUGAAUCUAAAAUCUUAAGGGAUAUAUCGAGCCAGCUGUGACUAGAGCUUUAGACACUUUAUUGCCUGAGUUCUUUCAGCAUGGAAAUGGCAUCAAAAGGGACCCGGGCAAUGAUAAUUAAUUAAGAUAAUUUGAUCAUGGUGAAUCUAACGUUAGAAACUGCCAGCCAAGAAGUUUCUAGGUAAUUGUCCAAUUAUUUUGUGUGAAGAUAACCACUACUACUGAAGUACUUGCAUUUCAGACAAUAAAAGAAAAGAAAACCUUAGGGCAUCUCAACUGAAAAUCUCUAAGUUAAAGUCCCUCAUUUCAAUGUCCGAAAGAAACAGAUUAAAGAUGAGACAACAGUUCCCAGGUCUUGGUUUCCAUGACAUAAAACGCUUAAUAAAUCUUUAUCAAACGGCAAUUCUUUUUUUUUUUCAUCUCAUUUUCAUGCACAAAAAUUGUAUUUUUAACUUUUUCCCCCUCAACCAUGAAUCUGGUAGCGGGAAAACUUCUAAGAACCAUCUCUAUCCACUAAGCAGAUCCCAAUACUCAUUGUAUUUUUUGUUAGAGUGGUUAUCUAAAUUGAACCUUUGGUGAAAAUCAUCACCUAUUAAAUCUAAAAUAUAUAUAUAUGACGAUUAUUAAGAAAUAAAUUAACAUUAAAAUAGCAGAAGCAUACCUAAAUCCAUAUUAACAAACUUGAUACUUGAAUCUUUAGAGAAUUUGAGAUAGCCUUCCAGAUCAACACGUAUUUACCAAUUCUUGAGAGAGGCCUUUAGUUUCUCUCUGGUAUCUUUCCUGACGAUGGGAUAUCAGGGAAGAGUUAUUUGUGGUAUUAAGAAAUAUGACAACUAGAAUUGAUACCUGUGACUUAGGGACCAUAACCCUAUUUAUAGGUAACAUUCCUGUUAGCUUUUGGAACCCUAUUUUAGCCCAUCAUAGAAAUAGGAGCCCUUAAGUCUCUACACAUUAAAGGCUCAUAUCCUAUUAGAUACAUUAAACCCAAACUAUAUUUGAUCACUUUAAUUGGGUUUGAUCUUAAUUGACAGUUUGCAAUACAUAAUUAUUCACAUAUAAAUUCAAUGUUGGAUUAAGGAUCCAACAAUCUCCCACUUGGACUAUAUGUGUAAUUUUAUAAUUAUGUUUCGCAAUUAAUCGUAUGAGCUCAACUUUACUGUCAUUAUCAUAAUGUAUCUACAACCAAUUCGGUCCAUCAAUCAUAUCAACAUAGGAUCAAAGUGGCCUUUGUUACAAUUUUAUAACUCGACCCGUCAAUGGUCACAUAUAUCGAUGCAAUUGAAUGACAUGAAUUAUGAUGUGGAUGUGUAACAUGAAAAUUUCAUGUAAUGUAAUCAAAACAUGCCUAUUUCCAACUGGUUCACCUUAAAUUUUCAUGAGAUCAAACUAUACUAAAUUCAGAGUGUAAAUAAAUUCAAACUUUAUUUAUGCAUAAAAUAUUCUUAAAUCCUUAAUAAUCGAAAACUAUCAUAAGAGCAUUUAAAAAUAAUAAACUCCCACUAAAACUGUACAUCAUUUAAUAACACGACACCCAUACGAGCAGUAUGCUUAUGAAAUAUUUUGGGUGACAAUCCCUUAGUAAGCGGAUCCGCAACCAUGGAGUUUGUCUCGAUAUGCUCUAUCGAUAACUGUUCAUUCUGCACUCUUUCUUUAACAGUCAGGAACUUGAUAUCUAUAUAUUUAGAUUUCGUCGAGCCCCUGUUAUUAUUAGAAUAUAGGACUGCUGAUUUAUUAUUACAAAAUAAUUUGAGUGAUCUUUCAAUACUAUCCACUACACGUAAUUUUGUGACAAAAUUUUGCAGUCAGAUUCCUUGGUUGGAUACCGCAUAACAAGUUAUAAACUCUGCAACCAUAAUAGAAGAAGCUAUGAUGGAUUGUUUAGCACUCUUCUAGGAUAUGGCACCUCCAACCAACAAGUAGAUAUAGUCUGACAUUGACUUCAUAGUAUCUUGACAUCCACCAUAAUCGGAAUCAGUAUACCCAAUGAUCUCUAACUCAUCUGACUUUCGAUACGUGAGCAUGUAAUCUUUUGUUUUCUGUAGAUGCCGUAAGACCCGUUUGGUUGCUUUCCAAUGAUCUAAUUUAGGAUUACUCAAAUAUUUACCCAACAUCCUAGUAAUAUAUGCAAUAUUCGGACGCGUACAUACUUGAGCAUACAUUAGACUCUCUACUGCUGAUGCAUAAGAAAUCUUUUGCAUCUCUUUUUUCUCAAAAGCAUUCUUAGGACACUGCUCAAGACUAAAUUUGUCUCCUUUAGUCAUAGGAAUGUCACCUGAUUUACAAUUUUACAUGCCAUAUCUUUUAAGAACCUUUUCGAUAUAACCCUUUUGUGAUAGUCUUAAAAUACCCCAAAAUUAAUCCCGAUAUAUUUGUAUGCCUAACACAAAAAAUGCAUCACCAAGAUCUUUUAUCUCAAAAUUCUUGGUUAGAAAUUUCUUGAUUUCAUGCAAUAGACCCAUAUCGUUGCUAGCAAACAAAAUGUCAUUAACAUACAAUAUCAGAAAAAUAUAUUUGCUCCCACAGAACUUAUGGUAUAUACAAUCAUCCAUUAAGUUCAUCUCGAAAUCAAAUGAGAUGAUUACUUGAUGAAAUUUGAAAUAACAUUGUCGAGACGCUUAUUUGAACCCAUAGAUGAAUUUUUUAAGUUUGUAAAUCAUAUUUUUUGGAUCUCCUGAUACAAAGUUUUCUGAUUGCACCAUAUAAAUUGUCUCAUCAAUGUUACCAUUGAGAAACGCUGUCUUUACAUCCAUCUGAUGUAACUCAAGAUCAAAAUGUGUCACUAAUGCCAUGAUAAUUCUAAAAGAGUUCUUUGAAGAGACUGAAGAAAAGAUUUCUUUAUAAUCGAUACCUUCUUUUUGUAUAAAUCCCUUGGCGAUAAGACGAGUUUUGUAUCUUUGCACAUUGCCUUUCGAAUACCUUUUAAUUUUAAAUAUCCAUUUACAACCAAUGAGUUUCAUUCCUUCUGGCAAUGGGACAAGAUCCUAAACAUCAUUGUCCCUCAUGGCAUCGAUCCACUUUUGAGAAUUUGAACUUUCUAUCGUUUGACGGAAGUUGAUUGGAUCAUCUUCCAUCAAUCCAAGGUCAUUCUCAUGUUCUUGAAGAAAAACAAUGUAAUCAUCUAACACUGCACUUUUCCUUUCUCUAGUGGAUCUUCUUAGCGGCACUGGUUCUUGAAGAGGAAGAGUUUGUUUUUCUAUAACAGUUUGCUCUUCGAUAUUGUCUUGAUUUGUCAUAUCAUGAUCAAGUUCAGGAAUAGGGUCCUGAGCAAAUUCAAUGAUACCUGUGAGAAUAUUAAUAUAUUUCUCUUUAAAGACAAUGUCCCUUACUAUAUUUUCUCCCCCAAACUCGACAUCCUCAAAGAACCGGGCAUUUCCUGUCUCAAAAAUUGAUUUGACUGCGGGAUCAUAAAACUUGUAACCCCUGGAUCUUUCAGAGUAUCCAAUAAAAUAACAACUAAUUAUUCUUGAAUCCAGUUUCUUUUCAUUAGACCUAUAAGGUCUUGCUUCAACUGGACAUCCCCAAAUAUGUAAAUGCUUUAAACUGGACUUUUUUUCUGUCCAAAGUUCAUAAGGGGUUUUGAAAGUUGCUUUAAUUGGAAUUCUGUUAAGGAUAUAUGCUGCAGUCUUAAGUGCUUCUUCCCAGAGUGACUCUGGUAAGGUAGAAUGAUAUAUCAUACUUCUUACCAUGUGUUUAAGCGUUCUAUUUCGUCUUUCAGCUACACCAUUCAUAGUGGGUGAAUCCGGCAUAGUGUACUAUGGGACGAUACCGCAUUCCUCUAGGUAUUUAGCAAAUGGUCCUGGACGUCGUUCAUCUGAACCGUCGUAUCUACUAUAGUACUCACCACCACGGUCAGAUCUGACGCUUUUAAUUCUUUUGUUGAGUUGAUUCUCAACUUCAGCUAUAAAAUUUUUGAACACGUCCAGUGACUAUGACUUUUCAGAAAUGAGAUAUAUGUAACCAUAUCUUGAAAAAUCGUCUAUGAACGUUAUAAAAUAUUGUUGACCAUUCCAAGCAGAUGUAAAAAAUGGCCCACAAAUAUCUGUAUGUAUAAGUUCUAAGACGUCUAAGAACCUAUUGGUUUCAAAUCUCCUUUUAUUGAUUUGUUUUCCCUUUAUACAGUUAAUUGAAUCAUCAAAAUCUGUAAAGUUUAAGGGGUCGAGAAUUUCAUUUGACACAAGUAUUUCUAUUCUCCGUUUGGAGAUAUGUCCUAAUUUCUUAUGCCAUAAUGCGGCUAAUUUCUCAUUGAUUAAUUUUCUCUUUACUCCUCUAGUACUCAAAUACAGGGAUUCAUUAAAUGAGGCAACUGUAUCAAUUAAAUAUAGAUAAUCGUAGUGCAUUAAAGAACUAGAACCAACCAAUUUUGAAUCAUAAAACAAUUCAAAUUUUUCAUUUCCAAAUAAACAAGAAUAAUCAAAUUUGUUCAAAGUAGAAAUGAAAAUUAAAUUCCAUCUAAAAGACGGUACAACAAAUGUCUCAUUAAAAUCCAAAAAAAAUUCGGUCUUUAACAAUAAUAAAAAAACUCCAAUUGCUUCAACUUAGACUGUUUUGCCAUCGCUCACGUAGAUAUAUCUUUCAGUAUCAUUAGGCUUUCGACAAUUCAAGCAACCCUGCAUAGACACACUGAUAUGAGUUGUUGCACCAAAAUCUAACCACCAUGUGUAUCUAGGUACCGAAGUUAAAUUAAUCUCAGAACAAACCAAAUUAAGAAACAUACCUUUCUUAGCACGCCAAGCGUGAUAGUUGGUGCAAUGCUUCUUUUGAUGCCCUUCAGUUUCAUAGAAGAAACAACUAUUCUUUCUCUGAUCAUUUGAUUUCUUUUGUUGUUUCUUUUGUGGCGCUGUACCUGCAGCUCCUUUUUCCUUCUUUCUUUUAAGUCCCAUACUUUUAUUAUUAGUGGUUGAUAUCAAAUGGGCACUUUCUGUCUGCUCUUGUUUCAACCUUUUCCCUUCCUCUACACAGUGUGAGAUGAGUUCAUUUAGAGACCAAGUUUCCUUUUGACAGUUGUAACUUAUCUUAAACUGGCUAAAUUGUGUAGGAAGAGAUAUUAAAAUCAAAUGCACUAGUAACUCUUCAGAGAGUUUGAUGUCCGACGGAUCUAGACGAAUACCAAGUUGGGAUGAUUUGCGAAACUUUGACCCUUCUAGAAUCACAAGCCACGAACUAAGGAGAUUCCUUAACCCAAGACUAGCAAAUUUAGUGAACCAAAAGUAUAGUUAGAAGAACGCCACAAUCAAUGAGACUACUUGAUUGAUAAGUUCGAUGAACAACUUGAGAUUAAUUCUCAAGUAUUCAAAGGAAAUUCUCUUGAGGCAAAAGAGAGUGAAUAAACUCACGAAUAUUUUGUAAAAACCUGAAUAUCCUUCAUGAAUGAAUACCUAGGCUAUAUAUAGCCUUACAAGACAAAACCCUAGACCGUCAAUGGACGAUCUUGCCCUUCAUUAAGGGUGUAGUUGUCCAAGUUGUAUUAACUUAAUAUCUAACAACUAAUUAACUAAUCUAGGACUCAGAAUUCGGCCAAAGGUAAAGUGUAAUUGACCGAAAUUAUUUAAUGCUAACAAACAACUAAUAAUGGUAACUAAAAACCUAAUUAACAAGCUAGUGAUCCGCGACUAGUCUUCGCUUGAUUCUUCCACUUGAAGGAAAGUGUAUAAAGUAGUUUCUCCAUGGUGUAAUCCUUCAAUGGUCCUCAAGUCAUCCCCAAUUCGUUCUUGAAUCGUGCAAACAAGAGCUUGAAGUGAUUCUUGGAUUUUUCUAACGCGUGCUCGUGUAGUUGGACCACUUGGUAUUUGCAUGACUUGGGCACUAGAAGUUCGAGCAGCCGUGAGCCCCUCCUCAUUAGGCCCCUCCUCUUGAAGGCGAUUUGUCCCCAAAUCAAACUCAUCGUCUGCAUGAAAAGGACUCAAGUCAGAUACAUUAAAUGUAGCAUGUAUUUCAUACUCACCUGGAAGUUCAAGUUUGUAGGCAUUGUCAUUUAUACGCUUUAGGACUUGGAAUGGACCAUCCCCCCUUGGGAGUAGCUUGCUACGACGUUUGAGUGGGAACCUCUCCUUGCGCAUGUGGAUCCAUACCCAAUCACCAGGCUCAAAGACCAUCUUGCGGCGCCCCUUGUUGGCACUUUGGAUGUAUUGAAGUGUACGCUUCUCGAUGUUGGCUCGCACCUUAGUGUGUAACUCACGUACAUAUGCAGCUUUGUUCUUACCAUCCAAGUUAACUCUCUCAUGAACAGGUAAAGGAGUUAAAUCCAAAGGUGUGAGAGGGUUAAAGCCAUACACGAUUUUAAAAUGUGAGUAAUGUGUGGCAGAAUGAACAGUGCGAUUGUAUGCAAACUCCACAUGUGGUAAACAAUCUUCCCAAGAUUUAAUGUUUUUUUUUAUAAUUGCGCGCAAUAGGGUAGAUAAAGUCCUAUUAACCACUUCGGUUUGACCAUCCGUUUGUGGGUGACUAGAAGUAGAAAAUAGUAACUUAGUACCUAGUUUACACCACAAAGUUUUUCAAAAAUAGCUAAGGAAUUUGGCGUCCCUAUCAGAAACAAUAGUGCGUGGCAUGCCAUGUAAUCUAACUAUCUCACGAAAGAAUAAAUCUGCAACAUGCUUAGCAUCAUCUGUUUUAUGACAAGGAAUAAAAUGGGCCAUUUUGGAAAAGCGGUCAACUACCACAUAGAUUGAGUCAUGGCCUUUUCUAGUCCUAGGCAGUCCAAGCACAAAAUUCAUUGACAGAUCAACCCAUGGUUCAUGUGGAAUAGGUAAAGGUGUAUAGAGACCAUAAGGGUGUACCUUUGAUUUUGCUUGGUGACAAGUCACGCACCUUUCAAUGUGUCGUUCCACGUCACUCCUCAUGCGUGGCCAGAAGAAAUGUUCUUGGAGAAUCAUUAAGGUCUUGGCAAUGCCGAAGUGUCCCAUUAGCCCUCCUCCAUGAGAUUCUCGUACUAGGAGUGUGCGCAUGGAGCUCUUGGGAAUGCAAAGCUUGUCCUUGUAGUAUAGGAACCCCUGAGAGAUGAAAUAAUGCUCACGAGAGUGUCGUGGCAAGGCGACAAAAAUCUCACCAAAAUCUGGGUCAGACGCAUAAAAAUCUUUAAGGAAUUCAAAACCAAGCAACUUAGCGUCUAAUGUAGUGAUAAGGGUAUGCCUUCGCGAGAGUGCAUCAGCCACUACAUUCGUCUUACCUGUCUUGUAUUUGAUCACAAAGGUAAAACUGUCAAUGAAGGUAAUCCAUCUUGCAUGUCGCUUACUCAACUUGUCUUGGGACUUGAUAUGCUUGAGCGACUCAUGAUCGGUGUGCAGACAAACUCACGAGGGCGAAGGUAAUGUUGCCAUGUUUGUAGGGCUCGCACUAAGGCCAUGAGUUCCUUAUCAUAGGUUGAGUAGUUUAGAGCAGCUCCAUUUAACUUCUCGCUAAAGUAGGCAACUGGGCGGCCCUCUUGAAGUAAAACAGCUCCAAUACCUAUACCAGAAGCAUCACACUCUGCUUCAAAAGCUUUGUGAAAAUUAGGUAAACUAAGAACAGGUGCAUGUGUGAGCUUGUGUUUAAGUAAUUGGAAGGACUUAGCUUGCUCCUCUCCCCAAUGAAAUUGCACAUCUUUCUUGAUAAUUGAUGUAAGUGGUGCAGCUAUUGUGCUAAAAUCCUUGACAAAACGCCUAUAGAAGCUUGCCAAGCCAUGUAAACUUCUCACCUCACUUACAUUGGUAGGGGUUGGCCAGUCACUAAUAGCCUUCACCUUGUCUUGAUCAACAUGAAUUCCCUGCUCACUAACAACAUAGCCUAGAAAAACCAAUUGAUUUGUGCAAAAGGUACACUUCUUAAGGUUAGCGUAGAGGCUUGCCUUGCGAAGUGCAUCGAGAACCAUUUGUAAAUGUACAACAUGCUCAUCUAGAGUCUUACUAUAGAUCAAAAUGUCAUCAAAGUAAACGACCACAAAUUUACCAAUGAAAGAACGUAAAACAUGAUUCAUGAGUCUCAUAAAAGUACUUGGUGUAUUGGUUAGCCCAAAAGGCAUGACCAAUCGCUCAAAAAGUCCAUGUUUUGUUUUAAAUGCAGUUUUCCAUUCAUCUCCUUCUUUCAUGCGAAUUUGAUGGUAACCACUUUUCAAAUCAAUCUUAGUAAAAAUGAUAGCACCAUGUAAUUCAUCAAGCAUGUCAUCCAAACGAGGUAUGGGAUGGCGGUACUUUACCGUUAUGGCAUUAAUCGCUCUACAAUCAGUGCACAUUCUCCAUCCUCCAUCUUUCUUCGGAACAAGUAGAACUGGUACAGCACAAGGGCUUAGACUUUCUUGAAUCCAACCUUUACUAAGCAACUCCUCCACUUGUCGUUGUUGCUCCUUGGUUUCCUCAGGAUUGGUCCUAUAUGGUGCCUUGUUUGGAAGGGAAGAGCCAGGAAUGAAAUCAAUUUAAUGUUCAAUUCCCCUUAAUGGAGGCAAACCAUUAGGUAUAUCCUCAGGAAAGACGUCUUGAUACUCCUGUAAGAGGGUAGUAAUAACACUAGGCAAAGAAGUAUCAAGAACAUUAGUGAGUAAGGAUUCCUUGCCAAAUAAAAUAAAUAAAACCUGAUUAGAAUGCAAGGCCUUUCUCACAUCUUUCACCUUGGCAAGCAUGCUGGGUUUGUGAUCCAACUUGCUUGAAGAAGGGUCGGCCAACACUAAGUGCUUAGCUUUGGCGUUAUCCUUCUUAGUGGUAGCAUGCAAGUCAUACUCUUUUUGUAGACUAACUUGAUCCUCAUGUACUUGUUGAGGUGUAUGAGGUGCAAGUGUAAUCUUUUUACAAUUAUGCAUGAAAGAGUAUUUGUUCAAGAAACCAUCAAAAGUGACUCUUUUAUCAAAUUGCCAAGGACGCCCUAAGAGUAUAUGUGCAGCUUGCAUUGGUACUACAUCACACAUAACAUCAUCUUCAUACCUACCAAUGCGAAAAGUAACCAAAACUUGUUUAUGAACACGUACCUCUCCACUGUUGUUUAACCACUGAAACUUGUAGGGACGGGGGUGCUCACUAGUUGGCAAGUUUAGUUUCUCCACCAUCAAUGCACUAGCAACAUUAGUGCAACUUCCGGGGUCAAUUACCAAACUGCAUACCUUGUUGGUCACAUGGCACCUCGUGUAAAAGAUGUUGUCACGUUGAAGCUCAUCUUUACUAGCUUGAGUAGCUAGUGCUCUCCUUGCUACCAAUCCAACUUUGUCUUGAGUUGGAACUUCCUCUAUCUCAUCUUCCUCUUCAACCAAGGAAGGCAUGUCUUUGUACUCCUCCUCUUCAUCAUCAGUGACAAUGUCUCCAUUUGGUAGCACAGGCAUGGUCCUUGGAUUUGGACAUUGGCUUGCAAUGUGCCCAACUCCUUGACACCUCCAACAUUUGGUGUCACGAUGCCUAGGUUUUGAAGUUUCCAUUGUUGAUUUUGAAACAACCUUGGAGUCUGUUUUUGGAAAAGAUGGCCGUGAGCUGGUCCCUUGGUUUUGCUUCGGCUUUGGAGUGUUCCAAACGUUCGGACCUCUCUCCUCCCUUCUAGGCUGGAAUGGUCGAGUAAAUGGUUGUGGAGUAGUGUUAUAAUUCCGGGUUGUACCCCUCCGCUUGAGCCUUUGCUCAAUCUUGAUAGCCUUUUCGAUCAUAUCUUCUAUCUCCACAUAGUAUUGAAGCUCAAGUUGAUCGGCUAUCUCAACCCUCAGACCACUGAGAAAUCUUGCCAUUGUCGCCUCUCGGUCUUCUUGAAUAUCAGCUCUCAACAUAGAGAUUUCCAUGUCUUUGUAGUAGUCCUCAACUGAGCGUUGAUCUUGAGUCAAGUUUUGAAGUUUUUGGUACAAGUCUCUAUGGUAGUGACUUAGUACAAAUCACCUCUUCAUAAGCCUUUUGAGCUCAGUCCAAGUGGUGAUAGGCGGUUCACCACACCUCCUCCUGCUUGUAACCACUUGUUCCCACCAGACUAUGGCAUAGUCGGUGAAUUCCACCACGGCAAGUCUCAAUUUUUGUGCAUCGGUGUAGUCAUUACAAUCGAAUACUAGCUCCACUCGACUUUCCCAUUCAAGGUAUGUAUCCGGAUCAGAUUUGCCUUGGAAUGGAGGAAUCUUCAUCUUAAUCCCUUUGAUGCAUCACCAAUGGCUCUUGUGUUUCUCCUCGGUCUUCUUUGCUCGAAUGCCUCAUGAUCCGAAUCGGCGUUGGAGCCACUAGAUUCAUCCAGGACUGAUUUCCUCCUAGAUUUCCUAGAAGAAGCUUUAGAGGAAUUUAGUUGCUCAAGCUGCUCAUGGAUCGAUUCCAGCUUUUGGUCCACUCGCCUUUGCAUUUCGUUCCACAUAGUAUCCAUUUUAAGUGAUAAUUGAGCAACGGUGAGUUCAUUUUCCUGAGACAUGGUGAAACCUGCAAAACUUGGCAAAUUGUUAGUAGAAAAAAAUGCCUCACUCGCUCCCUUAAGUGUUGCACUCCUCUUGUGUUUUCACUCAAGUGUUUAUGUCCCUCUAAUGCACUCACCAAUUCACUCCUCAAGUCACUUGAUCGUUUCCUUUGAAGAAAUCAGAAAUUAUCUCAAAACAAUUCAAUCAAACUUUAACCAAUUGGCUCCCAAAUCAAAGGACAAGAGUAGAACGGAAAGCUCAAGGACUGAUUUGGUAAGAAAUGGAACAAGGAAAAAUUGAUGUACAAAAAAUUGCCCAAGUAUAAUGAUGGAGUUUCCCAAGUGUUUUUACUUAAUUUCCUAAUUGAUUUUUUUUUUGGAAACAAGUUAGGUGUUGUACUUAUUUGGAAAUUUCCUUAAAGUCGUCUAACCAAAUCAGAAUUGUUACCAAAAAAAAAAAUACUAGAUUUCCUUUCUCUUUAACCUUCCUAAAGUCGGCUGCUAACCAAGUGCCAAACAGUUUUCUUGGCAGUUUCCUAUUCUAACCGAAACUAUCCUCUGAAAAUUCCAGAAUUUCCUCUUCUUAAAUCCCUCUCAAAGUCGGCUAGAACUUCCUAAAAAUUGUCCAGAUUUGGUAGCUUUCUCACCUCUAAAAUUUUCCAGAAUAUCCUCUUCUUAAAGCCGAUCCUUACCCCCCAAAAUUUUCGUCCCUUACUCUCCCUCAAGAACAAACAAUUCGGCCCCCCUCCUCUUUGCUCCACACAAGGACAGUUUCGUCGUGUGGUUCUAGUCAAUGGCUUCACAAGAUGAUACAAGCGACGUCACUCAAGAAUUCCCCAAGCGGCCUGCUCAAGAAAUUCCCAAGAGGUUUACUCCUAAGCCAAGGAAGCCCCGUAUGGAUGCAAGGACGUACAAUAAACUUUUUAUACGAAGAGAGGUGCAAAUCUUCAAGAAUCAAGAUGGUCAAGAUCCUCAAAAAUCUCAACGGGUGAUACAAGUGAUCAAGGCUCAAGGUGCUCAAGAUUUUCAAGAGGAGGUUGGUCAAAACUUUUGAGUAGUCUUUUCUUGAUGUAAUUUUCUGGUUUGUUGGAACAAUUGCAACAAGACAGAAUUUGGCAAAUAAAAGUGCGGCUUCCUUCUUUGUUGUUUGCUACCCGAAUGCCUUUUCUCUUUUCCUUUUUCUGUUUUUGUUUUUUUUUUUUUUGACUCUAAGAACACACAAUUACUCGGCUGUUUUUGGGUAAAAAUUCCAGAAUCUAAUGUCAAUCCAAUGUUCUCCUUCAAUCCUCCAAUAAUUAUCAAGACAUGUAUCAAAGUUUCAAGACUUCAAGAUUAGUUUCAAGAAACUCAAGAAACCCUAGAUUAUGGUAGUCCCUCUCCAAGAUUCCAACCCCAAACAAGUUUAACCACAAAAAUCAGUUUAGGAAAUUAAUGAAAACAACUUGGUGGAAUAAACUAAAGUUUGGACGGAUUUGGCAAGAAACUUGCGCCCAAGGAAACCCUAGUUGCAAGUGAAAACCCUAGCCGUCGCGACAAAUUUUUUUUUUUUUUUUAAUAUUCAAACAGAAUAUGCAAGGCACACAACUCGGUUACACUUGAAGGCAGGCUUCAAGACAGAAUCACACAACAAGUAAUGCACGAAGUGGCUGCGAAGCAAAAGAAAACAAAGAGCUACGCAACAAGAACAAACAAAGGCGGACAGAAUUUUUUUUUUUUUUUGUAAAAUAAUCGGACUUGACACAAAGAGAGACACAACCAGUUUUGCAAGAUAAAAUUUACUAGAAAGCUUACGAACAAACUCAACAGGAUAUACUUGAUGUCGUCGACUAGCUCUGGAUACCAACUGAUGUGCGGCGGAUCUAGACGAACACCAAGUUGGGAUGAUUUGCGGAACUUUGACCCUUCUAGAAUCACAAGCCACGAACUAAGGAGAUUCCUUAAGCCAAGACUAGCAAAUUUAGUGAACCAAAAGUAUAGUUAGAAGAACACCACAAUCAAGGAGACUACUUGAUUGAUAAGUUCGAUGAACAACUUGAGAUUAAUUCUCAAGUAUUCAAAGGAAAUUCUCUUGAGGCAAAAGAGAGUGAAUAAACUCACGAAUAUUUUGUAAAAACCUGAAUAUCCUUCAUGAAUGAAUACCUAGGCUAUAUAUAGCCUUACAAGACAAAACCCUAGACCGUCAAUGGACGAUCUUGCCCUUCAUUAAGGGUGUAGUUGUCCAAGUUGUAUUAACUUAAUAUCUAACAACUAAUUAACUAAUCUAGGACUCAGAAUUCGGCCAAAGGUAAAGUGUAAUUGACCGAAAUUAUUUAAUGCUAACAAACAACUAAUAAUGGUAACUAAAAACCUAAUUAACAAUCUAGUGAUCCGCGACUAGUCUUCGCUUGAUUCUUCCACUUGAAGGAAAGUGUAUAAAGUAGUUUCUCCAUGGUGUAAUCCUUCAAUGGUCCUCAAGUCAUCCCCAAUUCGUUCUUGAAUCGUGCAAACAAGAGCUUGAAGUGAUUCUUGGAUUUUUCUAGCGCGCACUCGUGUAGUUGGACCACUUGGUAUUUGCAUGACUUGGGCACUAGAAGUUCGAGCAGCCGUGAGCCCUUCCUCAUUAGAGUUUCAACUUAAGUGCAUUUAAUUUCGAAACAAGAUGAGACAUUUCUAUGAUGUACUCUCUGAUAUUGUCUUUACCACUAUCUUUCAUCGAAACCAGGCGUGUCAAGAGCGUAUUAAUUUCAGCCUUUUCAUUCUUGACAAAACCUUUUUUCAAUGUCCUGAAAGAACUUUUUAGUGGUUACAGUCGUUUCUGACAUUGUUCCCCUGAAUGCCUCUGAAACAGCCUUUUUGAUGAUUAUCAGACACAAGCGAUUUGAUCACUCCCACCUCUCAUUAUUUUUCUUUUCAUCAGAGGUACUCUGAUCUGUAAGAGGUGGGGGAGAAUCAAUCCUUAACGCAAGGUCGAGAUCCAUUACUCCAAAUAUUAUCAAGAGAUUUUCUUUCCAAAAUUUGAAAUUUGUGUCAUUCAACAUAGGAAUAUUAUUGAUGUUGGAAGUAAUAUUUGUAAGAUCAUUUGCAACUGAACAGAAAACAUAAAACAAUUAAAAACUAUGCUCAUAUAAACCAAAAAUAAUAAUAAAUUCAAAUAAAGGUAACCUCAUCUCAAGAUACUGAUAUUCCAUUAAUAUUUUAUUUUUGGACAAAAAUAUUAACUUCUGAGUGAUAUCUUGGUGCAGUGAUAAAUACUGAUAAUGAUAACAUGUCGAAAAUAAAUUUUCCUUUGGGCCAAUUUAUAAAUCGCAUGUAAAGUCCAAAUAAUUAUCACGUAUUUAUUACCACAAGUGCACAUGUAAUUUCAUUAAAUAUUAACCUUCUUUGGGCCGAUCAAUAUUCAUAAAAUUACAAGUAUCCAACUAGUUAUAUUUAAAAUAAAUUAAUUUUCAUAAUAGAUGUCACUUUGGUGGCAUAUUAUUUCAAUUAAUUUAUUCUAAAAUAUAUAUAUUCAUACCAAUAUUCAAAUUUAAAAUUAUCCAAAUUAAAUAAAAAUUUUGAUCAAAGUCAACUUUGGUGAACUCUGAUCAAAACGUGGCCGAAUCUGGUCAAACUAGUCAAUUGGAUCAAGGCUUAUUAGACCAAAGGUCCAUAUUUAUAAUUUGAUCCAAAAUUAUCAUUCAAACCCAAAUUUUUUUUAAUCCAUAAGUACUUUAUAUAUAAGGAAAAACUACAUAUUUAAUGGGCCACACAUAUGAAUUUUAUAGGGUUUAAAUGCCUUAUUUAACUUUAUUAGAGUUCACUUAAAUUAAGAAAACCCUAAUUUUCUUAACAUAAUUACAGACAUAUUUAUUCUUAAGCAAAGAAACAGGUCAAAGAGCUCAAGAAUUAACCAAAUUAAUACUAUGAAGAGAACAUAGAAACUCAAAAUAUUAUAAUUCUCAAGAACAGAGAAAAAGACGAAAGCCUUCCCGAAGCCAGAAACCAAAUUAAUUUACAUUAUUAAAAGUAUGUGAGUCCUAAAACUCAUGACUUGUGCCACCAAUCAUGUGAACUUAACAUGACACCCACGUGAUAGAUAAAACCGCAACAUGACUUGAGAUAAAACACAUGCCAAGCAUGCGGGUCCUACAUAUUAGAAAGAUACGAUGGAAACUCACGAGUGAGCACUUUAUUGCAGAAAAUUGGAAUUGCAGACAACUUUAUGAAAGUUGCAAAAAAAAAAACUAGAAUUCCUCUAUGACUAGGCACCCGAAGGCAUGAAAAAACAAUAAACUUAGGAAUCAGUUACUUCUCAAGCAGUUUUAUUUUAACGAUUGCAGCAGAUGUCACUGGAUUCGAGAAUCGAAGUCAAGGGGCAUAUAAGUGAACAAUCAGCCAUUACAUCACAUAAACAAUUUUAAAAAUUGCAAACAAUUGCCGAUUCUUCACAAAUAUUAUACAUAAUUAUUCUUGAAAAAAGGAAAAUAAAAUUACUAAAUCCAAAUUAUUUCCUAAUAAUCAACCAUAUGGGCUCUGAUACCACUUGUUAGGGUGGUUAUCUAAGUUGAACCUUUGAUGAAAACCAUCACUUAUUAAAUCUAAAAUAUAUAUAUAUGGUGAUUAUUAAGAAAUAAAUUAACAUUAAAAUAGCGGAAGCGUACCUGAAUCCAUAUUAACAAACUUGAUACUUGAAUCCUUAAAGAAUUUGGGGUGGCAUUCCAGGUCAACACGUAUUCACCAAUCAUUGAGAGAGACCUUUAGGUUCUCUUUGGUAUCUUUCCUGACGAUAGGGUAUCAGGGAAGAGCUAUUUGUGGUAUUAGGAUAUACGACAACUAGAAUUGAUAUCUGUGACUUGGGGAUCAUAACCCUAUUUAUAGGUAACAUUCUUGUUAUCUUUUGGAACCCUAUUUCAGCCCAUCAUAAAAAUAUGAGCUCUUAAGUCUCUACACAUUAAAAGCUCACAUCCUAUUAGAUACAUUAAGCCUAAACUAUAUUUGAUCACUUUAAUUGGGUUUGACCUGAAUUGACAGUUUGCAAUACAUAAUUAUUCACAUAUAAGUUCAAUGUUGGAUUAAGGAUCCAACAUUUUUAACUUAAUAAACACCAAGAGGUUAAAUAUGGAUAGGGUAGGGCUAUCACUAUUAGGGGUGUUCAAACCUAAAAAGGGGGGGGGGGGUUCGCGAUCGAAUUUAGCUUAGAAAUUGGAUAACUAUAAAAUGAUUGAUAUCCAAUCUUUAAAGUUUGAUAAAAUGAGUUAAACACAAAUAUUGAAAUUUGAUUCUCACUUCUUUAGUGCAUGACGAUAUAGUAAUUUUUUUACACUAGUAGUUAUAAAUGCAUGCCACAUAUGUAUGAUUUGAAUUCAUAUUAUAUGGUAUGAUCUAAAUCUGCUAGUCUAAAAAAAAUCACUCUAACAAUGUAUAAAAACUUACUCUAAUAAUAUAUCAUAUUUAUUACAUAACCACUAGUAUAUUAUGUAUUAUAGUGAAAACUAAUCCAUAUUAAUAUAUUAUAGUGAAAACUAAUCCAUUAAUAUGUACCAUAGUGAGUUAUAGCUUAUCCUUUUAAAGGAUUCCAUUCAUUAAAAUUAAAUUGCACACCUAGUCACAUUUGAAACUCUCUAUUUAAGGAUUCUAAUGUAUGAUGCAUCACAAGGAACAUUAGAAUAUGGAUUAAUCUAAUGUAUGAUGCAUUUAAGGAUUCUAUUUAAGGAUUAAUCUCUAUUUAAUCUCUAUAUGGAUUAAUCUCUAUUUAAGGAUUCUAAUGUAUGAUGCAUCACAAGGAACAUUAGAAUAUGGAUUAAUUUUGUAUACACUGUCAGUGUAUACACUAUCACCGUUAGAUAUAUGACACAUGUAUAAAAUUUAAAUUUGAAAUUCAAAUUUUGCUCAUGUGUCAUAUAUCCAACGAUGAUAGUGUAUAUAGUGACAGUAUAUAUAAGAUUUAUUUUUAGAAUAUUCCCAGAAAUUUUUGCACUAAAUGGGAUUUGUAAUAUUGUUGAUUAAAGAUUAGGAAUAGGUCACCUUAGAAGCAGAUUAAUUAACUUAUCAAUGGCCUCUAUCUCGUUGAUUACAUACCGAAUAUGCUUCACUAAUGCAUACUAGAAAACUCAAUUUAAAAUUUUAGAUAUUACCCAUACACCAGUGAGCCGGACAGAACUGAAAUUCUCCUCAAAUUUGGACUUGGACACAAACAAUGGCUUCUUGAAGUUCAAGAAAUUUAUUGUGAUCAUGAGGAAGAACAAACCAAUAAUUGAUACUUGAAUAACUAUAUUUUCAAAUACUUAUUAUGCCUCUAGCUAAGAUUGCCUAGAUAAUAGGUCUAUUUGCUGGUUUAAUCUGGAUUGUCUAAUGCAGAAUUUAUUAAGCAUAGGCAAAUGGUUUUCACUUUUCGAUUGUGUUUGUGAGGUGCUUCAAAGACAGAUAGAUAAACAAGCCAAGUCAUUCAAGUGAAUUGGGCAUCACUUCAGGAAAGCCGAAACAGCCCAUCAAGUUCCCAAAUUUACAGUGCAUUUAAGCAGUACGCCCAUCAUCCCAAUCAAGCCCAUCAGGUUCAAGCUCCAUACCAAAUAUUUCAACUCAAGCCUAGGAGUGGUUCAAGAGGUAAUUAAUCAAAUGACAAAUGCUUUCAAUGUCCUGAAAUUCAAGAUUAAAGCUUUGAUGAUUGCGAGAAAGUAUUAUUUGGCAUAGCUAAAUAUGAGUUUGAUCAUGUGACCAAUUUGUAUCCGUUUGGAUUAGCUGUUUUUUGAUGUGUUUUUGAAAAAUUUUGCUGUAGCAGAAUUCUUAGAGUAUAUUUUGAAAUAUUUUAGAAAAUAUUUUAGGAUAUUUAAGAGUAAAAGAGUUUCUAAAAUAUAUUUUGAGAUAUUUUUUAAAAUUUUAAAAAAAUUUAAACUAAUUUUUAGAUUACCUUUUGGAGUACUUUUAUUGUAUUUGAAAAACUAGUUUUAAAAAACACUCAAAAAACAGGGGAUCCAGACUGCAACUGGCUAAAUUUUUUCUACAUUUUUAAAAGGCUACGCUAAGAAUUAUGUUUUUAAAAAACUUCUUAAUGUAUAAAUUAAGAAUCAGAAAACCAAUAACCAUUAAGCCAUCUAAUCUCAGCUGAAUACCCCUAAGUGUUGGGCACAACUGUUGAAUUAAUCUUCUUCCAAACCAUUCCAGAAAUUGGGCACUGAUGAAAAAACACAGGAGCUCCAUACAUUCCCAAGCUUCCUUGAAUAAAUCACAGAUAUUAGACUAAUAAUUCUUAAUCAGUUUGUCUUUAGUAGUCAUUUUCCCUGUGCAAAGCAACUAAACAAUAAAAGCAAAGCAUGGCAGAUACCCAGUUACCUUUUCCCCCAUACCAAUUUGUACCAAAAAACCAUGCCGCUAGGAGGAUUGAGAGCCAUCAUAUGUAGCUGACCGCACAAUAGCAGAACCAGAGGCAGUAGCAGUCCAUAUUGCAUCAUCUCCAGAAUCAGGGGAGGGAAGAAGAAACAUGUCAAGAGUACCUUGGUGCAAGUGGCCUACUUCAGCAUUUAACCUGCUGCCCUUAGGCCAGAUGCCCCGUAUAAAAGCAUCUAAUUUCUUAUUUGUUGUUGUUGUAUUCGAAGUUUGCUUCAGUAAUGGCUUUUUAUCUUAUGCUUGGGGGUAUUUCAAUUACCAUGCUGUUUGCCUUGUCCUUUUGCAGGACUAGAUUGAUACAACAUGAAUCUGUAUUAGUCUCUAGUCAUUUGCUAGUUCACAUCUCCCUAUGAUUUUGCUCAACAUUCUGUUCAAACUAACGAAUGAGCAGUAUACAUCUUCAACCAACACAACGAUGGAGCAGAAUUUGUAAUCAAAAGUCAGUUAAUUAGUUGUGUCAAAAUGAUGGUAGUAAACAGAGUUUCUUGACGGCAAAAAACCAACCAUUUUAUGGUAGUAACUGCGUACACUGUCCCAACUUUCCAAGUCCCAAUUCAGCAAAUGACACAUGUUUGAAAAGAAAUAGCACACAACAACCACUAAAUUCAGCAACACAAAGAAUUACACAAAAUACACACACAUGUAUAUAUGCUUCUUCCACACCAACAGCAAAAUAGCUGAAUAACCUUUAUGCUGCCUUGCAGAUUGAUAAUAUGGUGCACAGCGUACAAACCUCAUUGAUUGUUUCCACCAUAUCUUCACAAGAAAAGAGCCAUCCUUUCAACCUUUACCUCCAUCUUCCACAAAAGCACGAAAGAAUGCCAGACCAUACAGAUGAGCAAUUACAAUCUCAAGUGGAGAAAAUGUAUCAAUCCCAGCUGAUAUAAAAAAAAAAAAGGAGCAAUGGUUAGUUGAUACUGUUCAUCAAUGUCAUUCAAAAAAAAAAAAAAAAACCAGAACAACAAUUGUUUUGGGAAGCAAAUUAUUGGUAAUGACAAAAAAAUUAGCUAAUAUUGUACCAGUUGAGGUCCUUCAAGAUAGUAUUUGUUUGCAGGGAAAAGUGUGGAAAAGUGCAAGAAAGUUCUUUUUGGUUGGCAGGAAUAUUAUUAUUAUUAUUUGCAUUUUCUGGCACUUUUGUGCAUUUUGUAUCUUGUAAAAUUUAUGAAUUUUGAAGAAAAAUAGUUAAUUAAAACUUUUCUUCUCUUUACCUUCUUGUACAACUUUCCUUGUUUGAAACCCAAUUGAUGAUGAGCUCCAGAUCCUCAUUUCCAUAAUUUUUCUGUGCUUCUUCAAUUUCCAAUACUAAAGAUGUGACACGAUCUCUGCAAUGGUCGAUCUCAAUCGUUUCAAGAGUUGAUAUACGCCCUAAACAAGAAGGGACCAUUUUCAAUCCAGUAACGUAGUCGAGUUUUAAUCGCUGAAGACACGGAAAAUAAUCAUCACUAUCAGGGUCUGUCUCUGUCCACUCCACAAGCUUUAGAUCAGACAUAAUCAAGACCCUAAGCUUAGAGAAUCCUCCUUCCAUCAGCUCCCAUCUUUCGCCAUCCAAUGAAUUACUGUUAUGACCUGAAUUCAUGGGAAGCUAUUAAACUAACUACCAGAAAGAGUCAGCAGAGGAGGUAGCAUGAGAAAUGGGAGCACAGGGGAAGAAUCACGUGACAAAGCCUGGUCCUAACAGAAUGAAGAGUUUUGGCGGGAAAGUUAGUUAAUUGCUAGCAAUCUGGUAAUUGAAAGAACACUAGGAUUUGUAUAAGUAUUACAUCUGCAAUUGUAAUAAUCAUCAGAUUCAUUGUUGCUUAAUUCUCUUCUCAAUAAUAUCUCAGUCUCUCUCAUUAUCUUUUCCCACCUCCCUCUGAAAUUCUUCUCCUUUCUCCCUCCUGAUUUCUCUUCUUCUAUCUUCCCUACUGAUAUAAUUCAGUUUCUCGACUCCAAUCCUCAACAGUGGUAUCAGAGCUUGCGGUCCUCGGAUUGCAAGUUCUUCCACAAUCCAUAAUGGCAGAAGGUACACGCAUGAAAAGCUUCGAAGAGCAGCUUAGGAAACAGGAUGCCAGGAUUCAAGCGGUUCUCGAUUCCAUGAUAGCAGACAAGCAGGUCAUGGAGGAAAAGUUGGAAGUUAAUCAAAGGGAGAUGCGGUCCUUACUGGAAGCAAAUAGCGCAGAACUGAAGAACUUUGUGAGUAGCCAGAUCAGCUCGAUCUUGAGAAGUUUGCAGGGGGACAAAGGCAUUUUGGGAAAUCCUAAUGGUUCUGCAGAAAGGACUCCUAACAAUCGAAAUGCGGGAAAUUCGAAUACCAGGCAUGGUGAAUUUGGCAAUUCCUCUAGAGGAGAGGGGCAACACUGGCCCAUGGGGGUCCCCAGGUUGGAUUUCCCCAGAUUUGAUGGCCACAGUCCUAAGGAGUGGGUCAGGAAGUGUGAGAAAUUUUUCCAACUAUUUCGCACUACUGAGGAGCAGCAGAUGGACCUUGUGGAACUGCACUUAGAAGGAAAGGCGGAUCUCUGGUAUCAGAAUUUCAAAAAAGAUAGGGGAAUAGUCCAAUGGAAGGAUUUUGGAUCAGAAAUAUGUAGGAGGUUCAGCACUGUGGGAGAGGCUGAUGCAGUGGAAGAGUUUAGCAAACUCAAUCAAACCUCCACUGUUUUGGCUUAUCAGGAGAAGUUUGAGGAGUUGAGGUCUAUUGUAAUGAUCCAGAUGCCAGAACUGACUGAAUCCUACUACAUUUCUAGUUUCUUAAGUGGACUGAAGGGGGAAAUUAAAUCUGCCGUGAAGAUGCACAGGCCAGACAGUCUACAGUCUGCCUUUGAGAUGGCCAGAUGGCAGGAACAUCACUUGGAUCUGGUUCACAAGUCCAGUAGGCCUAUACUCAGAAAUACCAUGCACUCAACCUCAUUUGGAAUUAACAAAGGAGGAAAUGGAGCUCAGGAUCCGGGAGCAAGACAAGCGGGAACAUCACCAACAGAAUUCAGUAGGAAGUCUAAUUCACAGCAAGUUUUCAAGAAAAUCUCCCCCACUGAAUUCCAGUACAGGAAGGAUCACAACCUAUGUUUCAGGUGUGGAGAAAGAUUUAGUCCAGGUCACAAUUGCAAAAGCAAGGGGAUCCACAUGAUGAUAGUAGGAGAGGAGGAGAAGGGUGAGGAAAAUCACACAGCAGAAGAGGAGGAGGUUAUUGAAUACAUGGGAACUCAGCAAGAGCAUGAGGUGAUGCUAACCUUGCAUGCACUGUCAGGGGAAUUAUCCUCAAGCAUUAUCAAAAUGCAAGGGGAAUAUAUGAACCAGCACUUGACAAUCCUGCUAGAUGGGGGAAGUACUAAUUGCUUUAUCAGGAGGAGUGUGGCUCAGCAAUUUCCAGAAAGGGUACAGAACCACAGGCCCUUCAAGGUCAAGAUAGCUGAUGGCAAGGAGUUGACAUGUGACCAGUGGAUUCCAGGGAUGCAGUGGAGCAUGCAGGGCCACAGAUUUGCACACGAUGUGUUUGUAUUGGACCUGGAGCCUUAUGACUUGAUCCUUGGAGUUGAUUGGAUGAAGUCCUAUAGUCCUAUUACUUUUGAUUUCAAGAAGCUGAAUCUGUCUUUUGAAAAAGGAGGGGAGCAAGUGGUGCUAAAUGGAGACUCCAACAAUGCAAACGUAAGGAUGCAGCAAGGUCCCUCAGCUCACAAGUAUGUCAAACACAAGAUCAGGAAGGCAUUGCAGCAAGCAUGUAUGGUGAAGAUUCACAACUCACAGGUAAUUUCUGAACCAGAUUCUCUUACUAAGUUGUUGGCUAAGUAUGAUGAUGUCUUUGCAGAACCAAACACCCUUCCCCCAAAUAGAUGCCAUGAUCACCAAAUUCCCCUCAAACCAGAUGCCCAACCAUUCAAAAUUCCUCCCUACAGAUACCCUCAUGUACAAAAAAAUGAGAUUGACAGACAGGUGAAAGAUAUGUUGAACUCUGGCCUUAUACAAGAUAGCCAUAGCCCCUUUGCAUCACCUGCUCUUUUAGUAAAAAAGAAAGAUGGGAGCUGGAGGCUUUGUAUUGACUAUAGGCAACUGAACAACCUCACUAUUAAAGAUAAAUUUCCUAUACCUAUUAUAGAUGAUUUAUUGGAUGAACUAUAUGGAGCCAAGAUUUUUUCUAAAAUUGAUCUGAGAUCGGGCUAUCACCAAAUCAGGAUGAAUCCUGAUGACAUCCAUAAAACUGCUUUUAGGACUCAUUCUGGUCUAUAUGAAUUCUUUGUCAUGCCAUUUGGUCUAACAAACGCCCCAGCCACCUUUCAAGCACUAAUGAACUCUGUCUUUGAACCUUAUAUAAGGAAAUUUGUUCUUGUGUUCUUUGAUGACAUUUUAAUCUAUAGUCCAGACUCCAAGAGUCACCUACACCACUUAUCCAUAGUUUUGGUAACCCUGAGACAACACUCUUUGUUUGCAAAGAUAUCUAAGUGCUCUUUUGGUCAAGACCAAGUAGAGUAUCUGGGACACAUAAUUACUAGUGCAGGGGUGAAAACUGAUCCAUCCAAGGUGGAAGCUAUGCUGUCCUGGCCAACGCCCUCCUGUGUAAAGGCUCUCAGAGGAUUCUUGGGCUUGACAGGUUACUAUAGGAGGUUUGUUAAGGGGUAUGGGGAGAUUGCUAAGCCUCUUACUGAACUGCUAAAAAGGGAUCAAUUUGCAUGGAGUACUGCUGCAGAAACUGCAUUCCAACAAUUGAAGCUGGCAAUGAGUGCAGCACCAGUGUUGGCAUUACCUGACUUCUCAAAGCCAUUCCUGCUGGAAACUGAUGCCAGUCAGAAAGCCAUUGGUGCUGUUCUAAUGCAACAGGGGAGGCCAAUAGCUUACUACAGCCAAGUACUGGGACAGAAUAAUCAAGCCAGGUCUACCUAUGAGAAGGAACUCUUAUCACUCAUCACUGCAGUUCACAAGUGGAAACACUACUUGAUGGGACAUCAUUUCAUUAUCAAAACUGAUCAUGAGAGUCUCAAAUACUUGUUGGAUCAGAAAAUUAACACCUCUCUCCAACAAAAAUGGCUGGUUAAACUUAUGGGAAUGGAUUAUGAGAUUCAAUACAAAAAAGGGAAGGAAAAUGUAGUUGCUGAUGCCUUGUCAAGGAGGGGUGACUUGGAGAAUACAGCAGAAACAUCUGUGCAUACUAUCACUGCCAUCAAGCCUCAGUGGUUGACCAUGGUAGCUGAGAGCUACAACAGUGAUGAGAUGGCCAAGGAGGUUCUGCUGAAGUUAGCUAUGGGAGCUGACGCAUUACCAGAUUACUCCUAUAACCAGGGAAUUCUAAGGUUCAAAGGAAGGGUGUGGAUAGGAGCGGAUUCUGAAUUAAGACAAAGGCUGGUUUCUUGUUUUCAUGAUUCUAGUCUUGGGGGACAUUCUGGGAAUCUUGGUACUUAUCAGAGGAUUAAGAGUUAUCUAUACUGGCCUGGAAUGAAGAAGGAAGUGGAGCAAUAUGUACAGAGCUGUGAGGUCUGCAAAAGGAGCAAAAAUGAAAAUUGCCCCUAUCCAGGUUUGCUGCAGCCACUGGCCAUACCUGACCAAGCUUGGCAACAAAUUUCUAUGGAUUUCAUAGAGGGAUUACCCAAGUCCUUUGGUUGUAAUGUGAUCUACGUGGUGGUGGACAGAUUCACUAAAUACGCCCAUUUUAUCCCAAUGACCUCUCACUAUACUGCUAAAAGUGUCGCAGAGGCAUUCUUUGAUCAGAUUUUUAGGUUUCAUGGCCUACCAACGCACAUUGUCUCUGAUAGGGACAAGGCUUUUACUAGCUUGUUCUGGCAAGAGCUCUUCAAAAUGCUAGGCACAGAAUUAAAUCUGUCAUCUGCAUAUCAUCCUCAGUCUGAUGGACAGACUGAGAGGGUGAAUAGGUGUGUGGAAAAUUACCUGAGAAGUAUGUGUAUGUAUCAACCAGGGAAAUGGAGGAAAUGGCUACCUGCUGCAGAGUGGUGGUACAACACUAACCACCAUAAUAGCUUACAAAUGUCUCCCUUUCAGGCCUUGUAUGGUUACAAGCCUACUCAGAUGAACCUGAGGCCUGAUAGCACACUAGUAGCUGCAGUGGAGGAUUGGGCACAAGAGCGAGUGGGCUGGAACUCCUUGCUCAAGGAGAAUCUGUUGAAGGCUCAGAACAGGAUGAAACAAAUGGCAGAUAAAGGGAGGAGUGACAGGGAAUUUGAAGUAGGAGAAUGGGCUUAUUUGAAGCUUCAGCCUUACAGACAAACUUCUGUAGCUGUAAGAAGGAACAUAAAACUGGCGGCUAAGUAUUAUGGGCCAUAUCAAGUAGAGCAAAAGUUGGGGACUGUAGCUUACAGGUUGAAGUUACCAGCAGGAUCAACCAUACAUCCUGUUUUCCAUGUCUCCUUACUCAAGAAGUCACCUAAGGGGGCUCCUCUUAGCACUGCCUUGCCUACCCUAAAUGAUGAUGGAGAGUUUGGUGUUGCUCCCUCAGCAGUUAUAGACCAGAGGACAAUCUUUAGAAAAGGGCAAGUGGUCGAACAGGUGUUGGUGCAAUGGGAAAACAUGGAACCUGAGGAAGCCACCUGGGAAGAUUGGACAUUCAUUCAUGCUCAAUUCCCUACCUUCCAAUUUAAUCAAUCCUAGAGACUAGGAUUAUUUUUAGGGGGAGGCAUUGUUAUGACCUGAAUUCAUGGGAAGCUAUUAAACUAACUACCAGAAAGAGUCAGCAGAGGAGGUAGCAUGAGAAAUGGGAGCACAGGGGAAGAAUCACGUGACAAAGCCUGGUCCUAACAGAAUGAAGAGUUUUGGCGGGAAAGUUAGUUAAUUGCUAGCAAUCUGGUAAUUGAAAGAACACUAGGAUUUGUAUAAGUAUUACAUCUGCAAUUGUAAUAAUCAUCAGAUUCAUUGUUGCUUAAUUCUCUUCUCAAUAAUAUCUCAGUCUCUCUCAUUAUCUUUUCCCACCUCCCUCUGAAAUUCUUCUCCUUUCUCCCUCCUGAUUUCUCUUCUUCUAUCUUCCCUACUGAUAUAAUUCAGUUUCUCGACUCCAAUCCUCAACAAUUACAUCUUAAUUUGAGGACCUCAAGAUUGGGUAGUUGUUCAAUCAGUGGCAUUUUACUACAGGGAAGACACAGACGGGCAAGACACAACUUUUUCAAAUUCAUGGGAAAAGAAAGCUCAACAUGAUCCAGCUGAUUUGGUAAGAAGGAGCCCAGCUCCAAGGUGAGUGAUUCUAGGCAUUCUAGUCGACUCAUGUUGCAGCAUAGUCUAUCUAGUUCCCGAUCAUUGAAAACUUUUAGUUGGCGAAUGUUGGGAAUCCUUUCCAAUAUGCUCUCUGCUUCUUGAUCAAGAUAAAGACACAGACUGGAGAGUGUGUCCAAAUUGGGUAAAGUGGAGUGGUUUUCAAAAACGUUGUCAUUGGAAGCAAAAGGAAGAACAACAGAGCCCCCGCUAACAUGUACGUGCCUCAACUCCUUCAUGUUCCAAACGCUUUUUGGCAAAAAAACCAUCUCACAAGAUCUUAGACGAAAGGUUUCUAAAUGUGAGAGCUUGGCGAUAGACGAUGGAAUGGAUCUCAUCCACAAAGCUGUAAGGGCUAAAUACCUCAAAAAAAGAAGUGAUUCGACUUCAGUUGGAAGCUUUGUCAGACUUAGGUAAAUGCGCUCUAAAUUCAGAACUUUAAGAUGUUUGUAGAUGCAAAAAAGGAAGGAAACGUUAACCAACUGAAAAUCAUAUCCUUGAAUCCUAUCAAAGAAUAGCAGAGUACCUAAAUGUGGACAAAAUAGCCUUGACCUUAUAAAAUCUUCCCCACUGGAGCAAAUGGACAACCGAGGUGGGGUGGGAGGCUCAUCAAAGGUAGAAAGCUCAUCAUAUCCAUGCAGGACCUGAAGAAAAUUCUUUUCUUUUGCCUCGGUCUUACAGAACUCAAAUAUCAAAUCGUGAAUGUAACAAGUUUUGACUCCACCAAUGGAUCUGCUUUUACUUGCCAUAACUAAAUUGCGACCAAUCAGGUCCAUCAGAUAUUCUUCUGCAAUGUCCUCUGAUCUCUUGCCUUCAAUUUUUUCUACAAAACCUUCUGCAACCCAUAGACAUAUCAAAUCUUUUGCAUAAAUUAUUUCAUCUUCUCGAAAUGCAGCAAAGUACAACAGGCAAGCCUUCAAGUGAUAUGGUAAAUGCUCGUAACUGAGCUCCAAUGACUUUUUGCACUGGUCUGCACUAGACACCAUGGUUGAAGUUAAACUUCUAGCAAAAUCUUCCCAAACCAAAAUAUCAUGCUCUAUAGUUGCUAGGACUCCAGCUACAACAACAACUGCAAGUGGCAAUCCCGUACACUUUUUGGCAAUCUCCAUCCCAAUUCCACGCAAUACUUGAGGACAAUCUUCUUUUCCAAACACCUUCUUUUGCAAUAAUUCAAAACAUUCUUUCUCAUGGAGUGGGCGAAGAUUGUGAGGUUCUCCAGCAUAUUGAACCUGUGAAGCCACAUUAGAAAAUCGACUCGUGAAAAGGAUUCUACUUCUCUUCUUGUCAUCGGGGAAUGAAAUUCUCAGCUCAUUCCAUACCUUAAUGUCCCAGACAUCAUCAAAAACAACAAGAUAGCUCUUCGUCUUCAGCCUUUGAUAGAGCUUUUGAAGCAAUUCAUGUUCAUUCAAGUUUUUAAGCUCUUCAUCCAUGCUAGACUGUUUUCCAUCAGAGCACAAAAUUUGCAUUAACAAGCUUUUCAUGUUAAAUGCUUGAGAAACAGUACACCAAAGACGAAUGUGGAAGUUAUAGAUAAUUGAACUAUCAUUGUAAACUUUUUUGGCUAAAGUUGUUUUACCAAGCCCAGCCAUUCCGACAAUGGGAACAAAUUCCAGCUGUUCUGAUCCGCUUCUAAGUCGUUCAAUUACUUUUUCUGCCUCAUCAUCAAGACCAACCAUGACUUCAUGGACUGUUGGUAUAUUUUCUUUAGAUGGCAUGUGCCUGGAAGGCUUGCAAACUUCUUGUACUCUUAAGCUAUGAGAGUAAUUAGGAAGACUAUCUAUAAUGCUUGGGCCACUGAUCUUAUCCUUAAAAUGCUUGAUAUGGGUGUUGGUAUUAGCCAGCAUAUCAUAACAAACAAGAGCAUCUUUGGAUUCUAAGCAGCUAACUUCUCCUUCUUUCACUUUGUUUAGAGAAGGGAAAAAAAUUAUAAUCCCUGCCUCACUAAGAAGAGCUCCAACUUUUUCAUUUUCUUCAUCCAUCUUCUCAUAAUGCUCCCUUAAUAUGCUCCUCAAGAAUCUCAGUCCUGCAUAGAGUGUUUGCAUUUUAUCUUUCAUAGAAUCCAUAAAGCUAGAGCUGCAGCAUAAUAGCUCCCAGAGACAACUUAGCAGAGAAUCAUUGAAGUUGAUCAAUAUCUGCUUAUCCAUCAUUGUACUCUGCGAAGAUUUUGAGGAUCUCGUACAUCCAAGAGCUUCCAUAUAAAUCUCAUAGAGUUGAAAAUCAACAGCUCUGAUCUUCCGUUGUUGUUUAUAUAUCUUGGAGUAGAUCCUACGAUUCGUCCACCUUUUCUCAGGAUCAUCAUCCGAAAAAGAGCACAUGUAAGAGAGGCGUGCUGCGUUCAAAGCCACCACCUCAAAGUGAGACAAUAGCAAGGCAGGAAUAUCUACAGUUCCUCGUAAUUUGGCAAAGGGAAUGAAGCUUUUCAAGAAUGUUAGCUUUACUUCAAGGGCUUGCAAUUCGGCACUCAAUGCAGCAGAAAGAGAAGAUUUAUUAACUUGGGAUUCCUUACGAAGAAAUGAAUCGGAAGGCAUCAAAUCCGCUAGAUUUUGUAGAAUGAGGUCUAUGAAUUCCAUUAAUUCAUCAUCUCUCCUGCAAGAAUUUGACUGCAAUGACCUGCUGCUUACCAACAUAACGUACACUUGGAUGAUUUCUUGCUUAAAUGAUUUGAUCUGUUUUCGGAAUUUAGAGAUCAGUGGUUCGUCAAGAGUAUGUGACAUUUCUUCAGUUUCUGAUCUAAGGGAAAGAGAGUGAAUGUCCUCCUCAUAUUUGUGAACAGUAUCGUCAAUGCAAGAUAGGAAGGAUGGAAGACUCACCUUCUUAACAACAUUAUCAGAUUCCAAGUACAAAUCAUUGCUUUGGCUCCACUUUCUUGCACACACAAUAAAUGUUUUGAGGAAUUUCACGUCCCUGAUUGCAUCUGCAACAUCGGAAACAGCAACAUAAUGGCGUUUGUAGUUGUUCAUGAGCAACUCUAGAUCAAGUAAGACACGAUCGACGCAAGUGGAGGGCCUGGAGGCCAUCUCCAUCUCUCAUGCAGGGAUUUUCCUCAGUUUCACUGUCAAAUUUCAAGGGAAAAGCAAAUCUCACCUACUGCAGAGCUAGCAACUAUUUCUUUCCUGAAAAAUCUUUUUUGCCCCCUUUUCUGGUGGGAAGUUGAAGAAGAGAAAUGUGAUAAUAAAUUACUAUUCAACAGCGUACAAAUAAUCUGGAAGUCAUCUUGGUUUGAAUAAUGAUUUUUGUGAAUGGAUCCGCACCUAGACUUGCUUUUCUUUUUAAAAUAUUUUUUUUGGAUAAAUUAGUACUUUAAGUCCCUGUUAUUUAGUGCGUUUUCGUAUAAUCACCGUAUGGUAAAACGUACAUAACGCCCACGCUUUGUAAGUACAGUGUCAAAAUGAUGGGUAUCGUUCGUCCCUCCGUGAUGGAAUAAGCUAAAAUGUUAACAUUAUUCCUAUCAAAAGCCUAAAAUCUCACUUUUUCUCGCUAAAAAAUAAAAAGGAAAAAAGAUAUAUAUAAAUAUAGGGUAAAUUACACAUUUGUACCUUGUGGAUUAUUAUUGUUAAUUUUUUUAUUUUACAUAAUGCUUCUGUAUUUUGAAAAGUUAUACAUAAUCACUGGGGUUAACAAAUAAUCUCAGUCUUAAUGUUGGGAAUGCUUUUGACAUUUUAGUUAGUUUCAUUGUAGAGGAGCACGUUAAUUUAAUAUCAGGUAAAUUGUAUAUAAUCCCUCUAUGGUUUCGUCAAUUGUCAAAUAAUCCCCCUAAUAUUUCAAAAUAUUCACUUCAUCUUCUAUGGUUAUAUGUAAAGUAAAAACUUGAUAGAAAAUAUUAUAUAUAAUGCCAUUAAUUGAAAUACUAAUACUCCCCUUACUUAAAUACUAAAUCAAUUGAUGGCUUAACUCCUUGUAUAGAAGUAUAGGGAGAUUAUAUGGGUAAAUGAAAAAAUCAUAAGGGGAUAAAGUAGAUACUUAUACAAAUCAUUUAGGGGUUAUAUGGAGAUUAAGGUUUUAUCACGCAUGCUUUUAGAGCUCGUUUGGUAUAAAUGUUAUAACUGAUUGAACAUUUCGUCCAUUUUUCACUUUAGAUAAAUGCCAUGGGGAAUUAUGUGACUAUUUUGAAAUCUUGUGGGGGGGGUCAUCUUGCAUUAUAUAAAAUCACAGGAUGUUCUAAGUAAUUUAUCCUUUAAUAUUUUAGUCCAAAACAUGGGGAUAUAUUUAUAACAUUUAAAACUAUAGGAGAUUUAUGUAAAAAAGUGCAACCAUAUGAGGCCAAAUAAAUUUAACCAAGAUUUGUCCUUGUAAUCAGGAAAGAAUUUCUUGCAUAUUAGCCUAGUUACCCUUAGUUAAAGAGAGAGUGGGAAGAAAAGGACAAAACGGGCUAAAGAUAUAGGUGGCAAAUCAACCCAUUUUAUUAAAUUUAUCCAUACCCACCCAUGAAUAGAUGGGUAUGGAUUUUUUUAGUUUUUGCAUAUAGGUAUAAAUGUGUUACCCAAUAAUACCCAUUCAUAUGCAAAAUGGGUUACCCAAGAAUACUCAUUCAAUGAAUGGGUAUUAUUGGAUAACCAAUCAAACCCAAUUAAUCCAUUUAGAAUUAUUUUCCCCCAAAUCUCCUCUCUUCUCCCUCCCAAUUUUUUUUCUUCAGAUUUUUCAUUUUGUUAUGAUGUUAACUACUUUUGUUUCAUUAUUAUCUUUAUUUGUUGAUUUUAUUUUAUCAGUUUAUUUUCUCUUAAUUUGUUAACUUACUCAUUUUUUAGCAUUACCAAUUUAUGAUAAGUUUUAGCCUCUUUUCCUACAUUUCCAAAAUGAAAUUUUAAAUUUACAUUAUGAAAAAAAUAUUAGGGGUUCAAAAUUUUUGGAUUAAAUUUUUAUGUUAAUUUUUAUAGUACUUAAUUUAAAUUUUUAUAUUCUUAUUAUUCAAUUAUUAAAUAGUAUUUAAUUUUGCAACAUAGAGUACGGAUAGGAAAAAAUUGAUAAUUAGACUUAUUGAACAUUAUAAGUAAAUUUUUAAAACUAAUGAUGGGUGCAAAGAGUGGUAUAAAUUAAUAACUUAGUUUGCAAAAAUGAAUUUAAAUGAGUUUACAAAAAGUUAAAAUAAAUGGAUUAUAAAUGGGUAAUUGGGUUACCUAAUUCAUUUUUUGACUUACCAAUUUGUACCCAUCUAAUUAAUUGGGUUUAAAUGGGUUGACUCACUUAUACCCAUUACCCAUUUUACCCAAUUCAAACCCGUCCAAGUCACUCAUUUUGACACCUCUAGCUAAAGAAAGAGUUCAAGUUAAGUAGAAACUUCCAACAUCACAGAAAUAAAUUUUAAGCACGAGGAAUAACUUUUUCACUUAUCGAAAUGUUAAAAAUGAAGUGAUAAGUUACACAUCUUUGUUUUCUUAGAUUGCCAAUUAAUUAUUUCUUUCAAAAUGCAACCAUUGUUAUUAAAUACAAUACAUCUUAAUGCUGCAAACAUCAACCUGUGCAAUUAGUAGUUGUUAAUCUUAAUUACUAAGAAAACCGUAAAAUGACUAAACCGAUAUUUUAGUUUAAUGAAAUUAACAAGUUGAAUAAAAAUAAUUACAAAUUAACAAGGCCCUUAAGCGUAUCUCCCUAGUUUGGCCGGUAAAUAAUCUGGCAACUCUUAACCGUUAUAGGUCAGUUAGCUGGUACAAACAAUAGCUACGCAUCCUACUGUUCCAAAUUCUCAAACCUUCGCUUUCCCCAUUGGGGGUAUAAACAAUCAUAAUCAACCCGAAUAUCCCAGUGUCCAAACUUGUUUGAUCAUUUUAACGAAUUUGAAGUUUUAUUUAUUUAUUUACCAAACUAAGUUUGAACGAAUUUUUUAUCGCAAACUGACUUUGAACAAACUCAAUUGGUAAAGCUCCGCCCUUGCAUUGGGUAGUGUUCAAUAAAAUGUUAUUGAAUAUAAAAUGUUAUUCGAAUUUGGUUUGAUUAGUGAUCAAAUCAAGUUUGAACGUAUGAGCUCUUACCAAGUUAAGCUUGAUUCGAGUAUCGAAUAAUUUUGUUCAUUUUUCAAUCUUAUUUUUCAUCGCUUUCUAAGGUCUAAAGUCUUUGCUGGAUCACAAAUAUAAUUAAAAAGUAAAUCUAAAAUGUUUUACAUAUUUUCGCCUUGCGUGCUUUGAGCAUAAAAUUGGCAAUCAAAAUGGACCUAGGCAAUGAUAAUGAUCCUUUAAUCAUAGUGAAUCUCACAUUGGACGCUGCCAGCCAAGAUGUCACUAGCUAAUUGUACAACUACUUUCUUUGGGACUGGAUGUAUCCUGUAUCUAAGAAGUUGCGGCUCAACAAUAAUCGAAAAACUUCAAAGCAUCACAACUAACAAAUGCCAACAGCAGACUUAUGCCAUAACGUAAUUUAACAUUUAAAUUUAAUGGAUUCAAAUCUUAACAUGUUCGAUGCGUUUGAUAACCAAAAGUUAAACAUAUAAAUUAAUUAAGUAGCAUUAAAUUUUCUAAACAAAACUUACUCGUAAAAAUAAGUAACAAAUUAUUCAUUUAUCAUUGAAUAUGAUAUAUACUCAAAUAUAUUAGAUUUAAUACUUAACUAUUUAAUAAUUUAAUGAAUUCAGACUUUAGAUUUCAUAUUUCAUAUUUCAAUUUUCAAACUUUACUCUCAUCAAACAAACGCACCCUUAGAGGCCUGGCUAUCGCACAUGUCAAGUCCAACAAACGAGAAAACAUAGUCCGGGGAAAUGUAGACAAAGGGUCAAUUAAUAUCUUUGCAGAUUGUUUGAUGAUGAAUUAAUUUCUAUUAUAAAACCAUCAAGUUUAUGCUAUACUUUUCUUUUUUCCUUGUAGUGAGAUGUUUCGAAUUCAAAAUCUCUCACUUAUACUCUUGUUCUUCGUACAGUCCAACCCAUUUCUCCGCUCCCCUCAGGUUUAUGGUAUACAAAUGCUACAAGACAGAGAAAAGAAAAUUUGAUAUACUUUCAAUUUUGAAGGCCAAGAGAUCGAAUUAUUUAGCAGGGUUGUUUGUAUCAGUAAUGCCACAAAAAAAAAGAGAACUAAUUUCACUUUUCACCGUCUUCAAUGAUUUCCACUUUGCAUCUCAAACUUUUUUCCAAAUAUUUUUCACAUUAAAAUCACCUCAAAAUUUAAUUUUGAACAUUUUGCACCCUGAAAUUAGCAAUUCAUCCAUGGCAUCGCAAAAUAUUAAUGUAAUUAUAGGAAUAAUAUCCACCUACGCUAGCUUCUCAACCGUACAAAGUAGGAAUGGUUCUUUAGAAUAUCCAGGGAAAAAAAAAAGAAGAGUGAAUGCAUAUCUGUUUUUUAGCACUUCCACGUGCAAUAUGAGUUGUCGGGCUGAUAUUAGACGCUCUGAUGAUUUUAGGAUUUGAAAUGUGUAAAAUAAAAGUUAAAGAUGCAGAGUAAUAAUGGGCUGCAAACUUAAAAGCAGGGAAAGUGGAAUUAACCCCAACAAGAACGUCGUGCACGGAUCAGUCUCCUUCCUAUUAUAUUCCUCAAACUAAUUAAUAAAUAACUCAAUAAGAUAACCAACAGAAAAAAAAAAUUCCACAAGCUUGAGACCACAGAAGUUUUAAAAUCGAGUUUAAAUUCAUCAUGUUGAAGAGUUGUGGCCAGAUUCCUUCGAGAAGGAUGAGUUUUGAAGUUGUGCAUCUCGCUGGCGGAUCUACGUAUUGGACAAUGGAGGCACGUACUUUUUUUUUUUUUUUUUUAAACUAGAUCUUUUUUAUGGAGGCACGCACCCAACUGGCCAAAACGAAGUAUUUAUAUCAGGCAUGAAUUUGUUUUUUAUUAUCAUCAAUCAUCAUCAACAUAUAAGACUAACAGCGAAGGAUGGUUACUGUUCAUAAGCUUUUCGUCGUCCUCACGUGCCGAAGGAAGGUCCUCGCGUGCUACUGUAUUAUUAUUUUUCGCCUCAGCUCUUCUCGUCGUCUCGUCUCAUCUCAUUAAUGCACCCACGUGCUUUUCCAUUUUUUUUCCCUUCUCCGUCUGCUUUGGUUCUUUCUUAAUAUCUUCCCUUUCACCUCUUUUUCAUCUCAUCUCAUCAAUGCACCCGCAUGCUUUUCCAUUUUUUUAUUAUUACACGAUGGAUUUUAUCCUUUGGAUUUAUGGCCUCCGUCCUUUACCUGAAAUUUCUUCUCUUCUACCUAGCAAUUGGAGGCAUCUCAUUAAUGCACCCACGUGCUUUUCCAUUUUUUUUUCCCUCCUCCGUCUGCUCUGGUUCUUUCUUAAUAUCUUCCCUUUCACCUCUUUUCAUCUCAUCUCAUCGAUGCACCCGCAUGCUUUUCCAUUUUGUCGUCAUCCGUCUGCUGUGGUUAUGAAUGAGUGUGCUGAGAAUCUUUUUCUUAUUAAUUGGAGUAAGGCGUAUUACACGAUGGAUUUUAUCCUUUGGAUUUAUGGCCUCCGUCCUUUACCUGAGAUUUCUUCUCUUCUACUCAGCAAUUGGAGGUACGAUUCCUUUUUCUCCUUCCUAUCUCAGUUUUUGGCUCUUCCUUUUAAUGAUUGUGAUAUUUUUCUAGGGUUCCUCUCCCAGCUAUUUGCGUUCUUCAACCUUACUCUUUUGUCGGAAAUUUCUUCUGUGCUUUUUUCUUUUUUUUUUGGUUGUAUUUUCGCUUGCAUGCUGAAUUUUACAGGUGUUGUUCUUGUCUUUUUAUUUUCUAGGCUUCCUCUUCCAGCUGUUUGCGUUCCUGCAAAGGUUGAUCUUUUGUCGGAAUUUUCUUCUGUGUCUUUUCCAUUUUUCCCCUCUUUGCCUAUUUUACGAUUGUUGUUCUUGUCUUUUAAUUUUUUUGCGUUAUUUUGUUGUUUUCGGGGUAACCUUGUGCAUUUGUCUUCCAAAUCUGCGUAAAGGUACUGUUUUUUCCCCCUUAUUUUUUUUGUGAUCGCCUUUUCGUUUGAGUUGUCUUUUCUUUCUCCUUUGAACCGGUCUUAUCUGUGCCUUUUUGUUUUGCAGGAAUGACAACUGCUGCUGCUUCUACUGUUAGUUUUGAGCCCGAGCUUGGUGCCAUUCCAUGUGAGCCUUUUGACGAAUCUUCAGGUUUUUAUGUUUUAUAGGUUUUGUCUUAGUUGCCUUUGGGUAUGCUUGUUCUAUAUAUUUAUCUUAUUGCUGCUAUUGCUUCAACCGUUGCUGCUGCGCUUAAGCUUCUUCGCAUAUCAAAUGUCUCUGAAUCUACACGUGGUUGGAUGACCUUGGUUCAUGUUGUUGAGGCUGAUCGUGUAAAGGUUGCUAGCCAUGGAUCGAUUUCGAAGUCGUUCCGUUACAAGGAUUUCUCUCUCCAAACUUUUCUCUUAUCUCAGUUCUUUGCCGAUCCUUUCUCUGUUUCUAUAGUUUCUGCUAGGGUUUUUGUGCGCCGCUCUCCCUCUGUUGGUCUGCUGCUCCUCUUUGUUCUCAAAAAAAUUUUCUGAUCUCUCUUUUCCUUCUUUCCUUCUCAUUAUCUUAUCUCUUUCUCUUUCCUUUUAUUUCCUUCUUUCCUUCUUCAUUAUCUUAUCUUUUUCUCUUUCCUUUUAUUGAUAUUCAUAUUUGCUUCUAUCUUUUUCUUUAAUAUUAUCUCAAGCAGAUCUGCAUUUUUUUCAUUAGAAAUACUUAAUAUAGAGAUUGACGGUGAAUAAAGCUCCAUCGCCAUCUUAGUUGGCUAUUCCUAUACUCAACAUUGGUAAUUCUAUGAUUUUACUUCCUUGUGUUUUUUUCUUUUUCUUUUUAAUUAUUGUAACUGAUUUAAACCUUUCUUUAGAAUGAAAAUGUGUUGCAACUAAAGAUGAUUAAAGCCCCAUGACUACAAUCAGCAGCUAGCCAUAUCAAGCAACAUGCUCUACCAUCGGUAAUCCCUCCUUACUUCCUUUUUUCUUGAAAAAAAUUAUAUUAUGGUGAUAUGCUCGAAUUCCCCCUUUUUCUGACAUUAAGCAGCAUAUAAACAAUGCACUUACGGAGUAAUAAUUUUAAGAAGUAGAAAAGUGGGUUGUUCGAUAGAAUUUUGAAAAAAAUGUUACUGCCGAUGAUGCUUUGUUUGACGCUUGAAUCAACUAUUGUGUAUGACAAGAAAAAAGGCUGAUAUUUUAGAGAGAGAGAUUUCCCACAAAGAAAAAAUGAAAUUAAAGUCUGUGCACUCAAUUAUUUCAAAAUUAUUAUUUAUGUACAGUUCACAUCUUUUCUAUUUCUUGUUCGAUAUUUGGUAAUUUGAGUGGUGUUUGUGUUUUUGUGGAGUCUUCGUUUAACAUCCAUCACCUUGAUUUGAAGGUGACUAAAAUUCUUUGUUUGGUUUUUCUAUUAUAAUUAUUUGACUGGGGUUUUCUAAGUGUUUGCAGUUCAUUUGAUUUGAAAUUUUGACUUUAAUGUUUGAACCAUUUGGCACAGAUUACAUUGUUACUCAAUUCCUUAUUCUGUAUCUUAAUUUUCCAAGUGUUUUAUUGUUCUUUUCCUCCUGCACACAUUGUGCUUGUGAGACAUUGGCUAGGUUUUACUUGAAAAGAAUCUAAAAUUAGGCAUUUAUUAUGACAUGACAAUAAUGCUAUACGUAGUUCACUUGCUUGAACCCUGACUUCAAGAAAGUUGGAUGGUAAAGAAUACCUAUGUCAGGUAAAGUAAUUCUCUUAAAAGCUUUUUAUUUGAUGUCAAUCAAAAUGGACUGUUAUUUUCAUGAAUUGAUUGAAGCACUUGCAAUGUACUUUAAUUUCUUUUUACUAAGUUUGCAUAUGUUUAAUUUCAUUUUCUAUUGAAUCACAUUAGAUUAGAUAGAUAGGCAAAUCUAAUGUGUCAGUUGGCCUGUGGUGCUUGUUCCCUGUGUUAAAUUCUUUUUCUUUUUCUUUGAGUUCAUUUUUUUAUGUUCAUUUGCUUUUUCUUUCUCACCUGAUCUGAAUGAUUGUGGUUUUGUGUGUUUUAAGUUUUAUGCCAAUUUUGUGUUUCUAAAGUUCAGAAAUUCUUGAUUUAUUGCUAUAUAAAUGUGCCUUGUAGGCUAGCUGUAUUGAGACUAUGGUAGAUGGUGUCCAAUUUGCUUGCAGAUUUUGGUAUUUGGCGUUAGUUUCUUGUGACCCUUUUUUUAAUCUUUUUUCUUACUGAUGUUUGAACCGUGCCUUGAUUUUGUUUUUUCUUUUUUUUAAUCCAGUGAGAUAAGUCUAUGAUCGUCUUAGAGAGUGCUUUUCAAGAGACAUAUUUAAACUUCCUCACUAUAAGUGUUCACUAUGUGCAGGAGAAUAACAGCACAUGUGGGUGUUAUUUACUUAUAAGAUUAAUUACAAAACAUGCUUUUUUUUAAUUACAAGUUGUUCCAGAUUUUCAAACUAAAGUAGCUGCAGUACAACUUUUUCACUUAAUUAGUUCAUGCUCUAAAGUUUUGGUCUUUUACUAACCAAUUUUAGGUUCAAUCUAGAUUACCACUCAACCUAAUUUUUUGGUUUGUUGAAUGCAUGGCCAAGGUAUUUGCUCAUGUAUGCCCAAAAUGCAGGUUUCAUUUUAGCUAAUGAAUCUUUAAUUCACAGGUCUACAAUGUUGCAGGAUUACUGAAAUUUUGUUAUGCUGAUGGUUAUCAUAUACAUAUUAGGAGAUGAACACAAGGACUAUAAUAUAUAGAGGUACACACAGAUCAUUUUCUAUGGUUGAGGUGAUAUAGUGUUGGUUAAAUGCCAUUUGUUAGGUUUAUUUAAAUGCACAUACUAGCAAAGAAUGUUAGGUUCUUCUAUGCCUCAACUCAUGCCUUUAUUUUGAUAUUAAGAAAUUGUUAAUGAAUGUGAAGUUUAAUGAAUCUGAUUCAAUGCCUGUAGUCUACCAAUUUUAUAACAUUAUUUUUGCGUGCAUUGAAGGUGCUCUUAGGUGAUAUCGAUAUUUUCCAUUUUUUUUCUCUGAGUUGGACUUUCAACAUAUAAGACUUAGAGCCAAAGGGGGUUCUACUGUUCCAACUUUGGUUCAUAUCGGUGUAGUUAUGUUUGGUUGAGCAUACACUAUAUUAUUUAAUUGAAGUGAAAUUCUAUUUAAGAAUACUGAUUAUGUAUGUGUAGUUAUGCUUGGUUGAGUAUACACACUAUAAUUCUCCCUAUUAACUUAAAAGUUAAUCUUAACUUAAUAUUCUUCAAUUUUAUUAGUGGUAGGGAUGAAAUGGCCACAUUGCACUGGGUGUUCAUGAUUGUAACUCAAAUUACACUCUCAACAAGGAAAAAACUUGGUUGGGGCUUCAACUAUGAUAUUGAAGGUGUUUAUAUUGAGCAUUACAUGGUCAGGCUUCAUAGAUUCCAAGCUAACUUUUACUUUCUUAAAACCUUGAUUUCAUUUGUUGUGUUUUUGGUUCUUCACUGGUAUAAAUAGGAUGAUAACUAACUGUUCCCUAUUGUAAUUUUAAUAGGAUGGGCUUAUACUUACAUCUAAAAAGGAGAAAGCUCAUCGUGUAGAUUUAUCAUGGGACUUCUUAGGCAUUCAAAACCUUGGCUCAAGUGCAAUUUGGCUCAGUUUGUGUUGCUGAUGGCGACUGACGAGUGAACUCAUAGUUGUUUAUGCUUAAUGAAGUGAAUUUCUGUUGCAUGUAAUUGUUAUAGCAAGUGUCAAAAUAGAAAAAUGUAACAUAAUAGUCUUCUUUUUAGCUACUAAGGCAAACUGUAUAUGCUGCCUGUGUGAAAAGGGUGCAAGUUUUCUCAUACUAUAUGUAUCUAGCUUUCUUUGACAAGUUUGUGAUGAUUUGAGGCCGUAUAUUAGAUUUUGAAAUGCUUGUCAUGUUGUAGAUGUGCAUUAGUAAUUGGCUUGUGUUAUCUAACGAAGUCAAUUUCUUUUUUAUUUUUCAAAUUAUAUACAUAUUACAAAUGCUUUAUGGGCAUUCAUGGUAAAUUGUCACCGCGCAACGCGCGGUCCAUGCCUCCUAGUUAUUAACAUAACACUCUAACAGCCAAAGGAUGUUACUGUUCAUUUGGUUUUUUUCGUCGUCGUCGUCGUCGUCCGCUGUAGCAUCUCAAAUCAUUCAUCCUUUUUUUUUUCCUUUUCUUUUUUUUUUAUUUUAUUAAUUAUUUAUUCCUUUUUUUUUUCUAUUACUACAAGGCCACGCGGCCUACUCCUUCUUUUUCUUUUUUAUUACAAGGCCACGCGGCCUACUUCGUUAGCUGGAUCACUUUUUCGUCUGUCAUUUUUCUGUCCUCUUUUUCCUCUCUUGUGUAUCAUCUUCGCAUCUCAAUGGCCUGCGAAAAACUUUUCCAGCUUGAUUUCCUUAAUGAAGUUUUGUUUCUGCCGCUCAUUACCCUAUGGUUUACUGUUUUCUCGGUUUGCCCGUUUCGCUCUCUUUUGCUUGCUGGAUAUCUCGCUGCUGUUUCUUCUUCAGCUGCCUUUUGUUUUCAUUUUCAGCUGGCGUCUCUCAAAAAACUUCAUCGGAAUACUUUCCCAGACCGCUGUCCUUAACGGAGUUUCUUCUUGCUCAGCCCCGCCAAUCUUCAUCUUCAGGUGACCUGUUAUUAUUAUUUUUUUUACGUCUUUUCUGGUCUCUUUUUUUCCCCUAUGCUUUACCAGUUUCUGUUUUUCCGCGUAUUUUUCCUCCUUCUUCCAUCUGCGUUUUUGGGUCAACUGUUCCUGCUUUUUUCCCUGCUCGAUUUGUCGUUGUUUUUUGAGCUGGCCUCGGGGAAACUUUUCCACCUUCUUUUUUCCCACAGGUGGCCUCAGGAAAACUUCAGGCCACCCUUCGUCGUUUCUGCCCUUGCCGUUCUUCGGGUGCUUUUCUCCCAUUUUUUGGGUUCGUUUCUUCCUUUUCAUUUCAUCUGUGACGGCGGAGAUACUGAUUUUAUUGCAUUCUUCUUUUUUUAUGUUUUAUUGCUGAUUCUGGUUUUUAUGUUGUUCCCUUCCUUUUUUCCCUUUUGAGUCUUUGAUUUUUUUGUUAUGUCAGCCUGUUCUCUUCACUGUUUCCCCGUUUUUCCCCUCGUUCUUUGUUUAUUUCCUCUUUUCCCCUGGGUUUUUCCUUUUUCUUUCUUUUUUCAGAACAAUCACUAUAAUACUAUCACUAUAAGUUCCAAAAACAUUAUUCCAUCAUAAGAAUUGUCUUCUUUAUUAAACUGCUUUUAGUAAUUAUUGCAAUUGUACAAGAGAAUGAACAGAGCUGCGGAUUUGUCAAAGUCUGUGCCUUAACCAGUCACACCUCCCCAACGAUGCUGGAUCACAGCAUAAACCAUAAUAAUGUCUCUCAUUUGUGAAAACUGCAAAAGGGAAGCAAGUUUUUUCUAUGUUUUCUGUUUUGCCUUUCCUUGCAUUGCUGCCUAAUUGUCUGCAUGUGUUGUUUAACUGCAGAUGUAAUGGGGAUCGUUGUUCAUGCUUUCCCUGCACGAGAUGUUUAUAUGGAAGGGACUAUGCGCCAUGGGAGAGACUAUGUCAUAGUUGACCACAGGUUACCGUUUCAUUGUGGUUUACCUUACUUUUGUCCUUCGUUUGAGCCCUUUUUCCCUGUGUUAGAUAAUCCUUUGAUUUGUGACCUUGCUGCAGUAAACUUCCAAUUCUUUUGACUUUGUGGGAGGAUUUUGAAUCUAUCGAGGGCUGUGUUAUUGAUGAAGCAAUGCCUACCAUGCCUAUUAUUAUCGCUAUGAGAGUUAGGGUCUUAACGGAAAAUUGUAUGUCGCUCUUUUUCCUUGUGCAUUAUGUUUUGUUUCCUUGAUGCCUGGUUGGUUUAUUUUUAGUUGCCUCGCUUGUUUUGUUGUACUAGAUAUAUCAUUGUCGACCCAGCCAUCUUCUGUUAUACUUGUUGCUCCUGAUGUUUUGGAGGCACGUGAGCUUGACUGCUGGUUGGUUUUUAUACUUUUGAAUUGCUGUUCAUCAGUGUGUGGCCUUUUUUAUUCUGUUAUGGGCUUACUUUUCUUUGUUGUUUCUUGUAGGUGUGAAAGAAAUGUCUCGGAAUUAGUCCAUAUGAUUUUUGACAAUAAAUCAUACGCUGAUCCGGCUAUUCUUUUACCUCCUGUUCGUGCUCCAACUCUUACUGCAAUCUCCAGCGUUGCAUCCUUCACUCGCUUUGUUAGUGACUUUCUAUUUUUAUACCGCAGCUUUUUCCUUUGCUGUUGUUUUUUCCCUUUUCU